CUGCCCUGAGAUGCUUGAGGAUGUGAACUACAUCAAUAAUAACAACAACUACUACUACAACCGUCCACAACAAAAUCAAGGUUGGAAUCAACAGAGGCCUAACUACUCAGUUUGCAGAUCAGACAAUAAGUUUCCCAAAAGGAAUAUUGAAGAACCUUUGUGUCCGAGUUGGUACCUUGUAUGCCCCAGCAGACUUCGUGGUGAUAGAGACCGGUAAUGAUGAGAGAGCACCCAUCAUCUUAGGGAGGCCAUUCUUAAACACCUCGGGAGCUGUCAUCUAUGCUAGUGCUGCCAAGAUCAGUUUCUACAUCAAAGGGAGGAAGGAGACAUUUUCCUUCAAGAACAAGACUACCCAAAUCCCAGAUCAAUCUAGAUGUGAAUCAAGGAAGAGGACCAGUAGGAGGAACAGGAACAAGCAAGUGUGGUCCGAGUCAGCUAAGAUGGUCACUGCAGUUCAUGGAGGCCAAGAUCAUCAACUCAAGUCACCGUUUUUGACCAAGAAGGACGAUCCAGGAAUGCCAAGCAUCUACUGCUCCAUAAAUGGAUACAGCUUCUACAAGACGUUUCGCGACACCGGAUCGGGCAUCAACAUAAUGGCCGCAGUCACCUAUCGGCUCUUGUUCGGAACCAUGCCCUUAAAACCAACAUACAUUCAGCUCCAGAUGGCAGAUCAGACAUUUUGAGAGGUCAAAGGAAUAGUAACUGAUGUCCCAGUCAAAAUAGACGAUCAUUUUGUCUACACAGACUUUCAGGUUAUUGACAUGAGAGAAGACGAGUACGAUCCACCCGUCAUCCUUGGAAGACCGUUCCUCAGCACCGUUAAAGCAAUCAUCUACAUUGGAACUGGAGAAGUCUAUAUGCACUUCCCAUUAGAGAAGGUAUGCCGUUAUUUUACUGGCCCUAACUACAUCUUAGAAGAAUCUACGUAGGUCAGAAAACGACACAACCGCAACCAGAGGAGGCGAAUUAUCAAGGACGGAUGGGCAGACUAUGAAGGAGAAGUUGUAAGGUCAGAAGACGUAGAGUUUAAACAGAAUUAUCCAGAGGAGAUCGAAGCACCGAGUCAGGUAUGGAAAGAGAAGAUAACUAUACAUGAAGAGGAGGCGCUGCCGGAAUUACCGACUACGCCACCCAACGAAUCCCAGGACAACUAGAAAACAAAGAGUCCCGUUCGGAGGACUUAAAAACACCGAAUGCCUUGCCAAGAGGUAAACUUGGUAGUUAUCCUUUCCCUUUCAAUUAUUUUAAAAUAGUCUACUUAGUUAAUCAUAUUCAUGCUAUCAUAAAAAGAAAAUAAAAAUGUGAAAAACAGUAAGCCCCAUGUGAGUAUACGAGUGGCAUGAAACUCAUAAGUACAUUCACUGUGGUGGCAUAAAAAUAAAAUAAAUAUUUCUUUUCUGCUUUAUAAAAUAAAAAUAUAGAAAACAGGGAGUAACAUUUAUUAAGGAGUCUCAACAUGAUAAAGGCUAGAUAUUUAUGCUAACACUUAAUUAGUUCCACAAAGCUUUAUUGUCUAUUUGAGCUCUACAGAAUUUAAGAAUCAAGAAGACUAGCAGCCUGAGGACAUUCCAAUCGCUGUCAAGAUACUGCCGACUUUCAAAUACACCUCUGCCACCUGCUAGCUACAUCAAAAGAAAUUACGUCAAAAUUCAGCUUGGGGGAGAGCACCCCCAUUUAUCCCGAUAAGUAUUUCUAUCUAUCUUUAUACUUAUACUAUAUUAAAAUAUAAAUAUACAUAGUUGCUCUGUCUAAUUUGCACAUUUUAAGUUCUCUCUCAAGUUUAGAUAUAACUGUUAUAAUAUAAAGCUUGCUCUAGACCUAAACUUGUGGGAUGAAGACUUGAUCUAAAGUCUAAGUUGUUAACGGAUACGAUAUGGGAAGGUUGAGCUGCUGUUUAUAUGUUCCUAGAGAUGCUAGAAUUCUGGAGAAUUUUAUCUUUGAAAAUCUUUAAAAUGUUGCAUGAUGAGUUCCUGUAUGAUGAGAGUUUGAAAUUUCUACCACAGCCAUAUAUACAUGCUUACUAGACUUUGAGCCACACAUUUACUAUUUACUGCUUAUGAGCAUUGAGUGUGGUCAAGCUGUGUAGACCCUUAGGAGCUUGUCAUGUGGUUAAAUCAAGAUUCACUUGCACGUUCACUCAUACAUGCUACUUCUACUCUGGAAGUACCAUCCACGUAUAUCCACCCAUUUUCAUCUCCAAAACCACCUAAAAAUAUUCUACUCCUAAUCCGCGAGAGAAUAGUCAAAAAUAUUUCUAUUUUUCCUUGUGAAAUAAAUGCUCAAGAUAUCUUGUUACUACGACUUGCUAUAUUAUCUCAAGAGAUGAGUGCUCUAAAAAAAAGAGAAAAAGAGAUACGAGGAAAUAAAAAGGGGCAAGUGCCCGGAACCUCGAAAGAAAAGAAAAAGUGAGACGAGAGGUAAAAAUGGACAAGUGUCUGACAGUAGAAUUAGGGGUACAAGAUACCCACCUGAGAGAAAAGAAAAAUAUAGAGCAUCUCAUUCUCGUCAUAAAGUUUUAAAAAGCAAGGAAGGUAUGUAUCCCCUCAAAGAGCAAUGUAGAAUUAGACUUUCACCAUUGUUAUCACCAUCAUCACCAUACGCCAUUCAUUCGCCACACAUGCACAUCUUGAUUUGACUUAUUGAUUUGUUUCUUUGGAUCCAUGGUUUGACUAUACUAUAAAUGUCUUGUGAGUAUGUAUAUUUUAUCUCCCACCUAUGAGCUCCACAUAUUAAAGCCUUAUUAGAGUAGGGUGAGAGAGAAGGCAAUGUCACUAUGCCUUAUACCACAAAUACUACAUAUAUUAAGAGAAGGCAUAUACCAUCACUGCCUUGGUAAGGAUCCAGAAAUACCACAAAAGAGAUCUGAGAGAAUCAUACAAGGAAUCUCUGAGUUUUAUUUGAAAAUCUACAAAAACUCUAGAGCUAUAGCUGAUCAAGAAUAAGAGACAUGGCACUUGACUAGACUGUUCUAUCUUUUAACUACUCAAGAUAGAAGUAACGGUUACAAGUCCCAUGGUGAAAGGUAAAGUAAGUAAGUUUUAAGUCUUGACAGUUUACUCUAACUCAGAGAUGAGAUCUUAUUUAAAAAGCAUGUGUACCGUCAAUUUUUAAAGGCAUUACAACAACUUCUAAUCCAUCGCUGAGUCUAUCCUUGCUCAGGGACGAGCAAGAGGUAAGCUUGGGGGAGUUUGUUGACGGUCCUUAAGUAUCAAAUUUAAUUAUCAAAUAAACAAAGAAAAGGAUCCAAAUGAAAUCAACAUCUAGACUUAGGGUUUUAUCUGACAGAAUUCCAUGAGUUUUGGUGUUUGUCUAUUUCUGCAGGGGGUUAUCAGGAAAUACGGAAGAAAGGCCCACACAUCGGGAUUACAUAGAGAUAUUAACGUGCCGCGCAAAUAUCUUACAUCGAGAAGACUCCAAAAGCCACGGGAAGAAAGCGGAGGCCGAACGGGGCCAGAGGCAGGGCGCCCGCCCUCCUUCCCUGGGCGCCCGCCCUGACUUGGAGUCCAAUCAGGACUUGUUUCGUGGGAGAUCUUCACCGACCUAAAGGAUCAAGGAUAACCGUUCAAUCAAUGUCGGUUUGAUCCAACGACCCAUAUUCACUUGAAGGGACUAUAAAACCAGACCCCCUGGCCCCUGGAGGAGAGAGCCUCUCAACCCUAAUUCAUUAUUCCUCAUGGGAGAAGAAGCCUCUGAUCAAGAUUAGAGCCACCACAUCAAUUAGACAUCAAGAUUAGCAUAGCUACAUAGGAUUAGAACUAGAAGGAGUCAAUCUUCGAUUGGUUUCCGGAUCUGUCAAGAGGAUUCUUGGUAAUUCUCUAAUUGUGCUUCUAAUUGCUUUCUAAUUAUCUUUGCUCUUCAAUAUUAUGAAUAUGACUUUGUUCUACUUCAAUAUAUUGCUUAUGACUUUGCUCUACUUGUUUAUAUUCAAGAUUAUAUUGUUCUUAGUUUAUCAUAGUUAUGUACUUGGCUUAGUUAGAUUGGAUCUAUAUACAUGCUUUGGAUCGUAUAGCGUUUAUCCAUCGGAUCCAUGGGUAAAUGAUAGAUAUUGUGUAGGCGUGGUGCUUAUACCGUAUUUAUCUGCGAUUGUACCCAAUAUGCCAGAUCGUGGGGUAGUUCGUGAUAGUGACAGCUUCAUUGAUUCUUAUAUAGUCCCCCUCUCAUGUAUUGGGCUGGCAGAGCAACAUUAUUACAGGGGAGUGAUUGCUAUGUUUCUCAUUUACCUUGCUAAUAUCACUAUGCAUGGGCGUAGUCUUGUCUCGCAAUGAUUGCUAAGUAUGCUUGCACUAACUAUGAUAAUGCUAGACUAUAUAGUUGAGAAUAACUUAGGAAAUAUUCUUGUAGUUCGUUCUAAUUCCAUACUAAUGACUUUCUAGAGUAUCUAAUUGAGGUGCUUAUCAUAUUUAUUAUGUGGCUAGUUAUGAUCAGAUUAAUUAUCUUUGUCACUAUUCAUCAUUUCAUAUAUCUUUUAUGUGACACUUAUCCCUGUAUGAAAGAGUUAGAUAAAUAUUCUCAGUUAUACAUGCAAUGAUAGAUACUCAAUCUCAUAUUCUAUUCUGUAAUCAAUAUUGAUGAUUGUUAAUCCCAUCCCAGUGGUAAAAAUAUAAAUAACGAUACCUGGAAUACUUCUCGGUUAAAAUGCUACAUCGGUAUUAAUCUGUGCGCUUGCAGAUCCCAUUCAUUAUUUAUUUAGAAGAGCAGUUGCAUAUUUCAAUACCGCAGCUCUCAUGUCAUGCUGGGGAUGACAACUUGGCUUAAGUGGUAUGAGGAUAGGUUUGGCAUUUUUAUCACCGUUACUAGAAUUAGAAAAUUAAGUCUACUUUUGGUAGUGAUGUUAAGAAUACCCAACAGGUGGCUAGCUUCUUUCCUUUGCCCUUCUCUGCCGCUGACAGACGACGGGGAGGGUCACCUCCACCAUCACCUCCUGGAGAACCCCCUGAGCCGGCUGCCAGACCACUGACGUUCUUGCAAGAAGCCAUUACAAGAAAAACUACCUGUGAACAACUGCCGACAACUGACAAACUGCCACAAAAGAUCAACACAGAUCCGAUGUCGAGACGCGUUCCGAAUGAAAUAUCGCGAUUGAAAAGCACCGGAGAACACGACUCGACUCCUCAAAGUGCCCAAACCCUAGCCACUUCGUAGGGAGGGAAUCCCUGCGCGAGGAGAAGGAAGAGGAGAGGCCUCGGAGGAGAUCUACCCGCGGGGGAAGAUUCGAGGUCGCCGGAGAUCCUUUGAAUCACGGGCGGCAGCGGCUCAACGUCUUUAGGGCGCGACUGCGGGUGGCCUCGCGAUGGGAGAGAAGAAAACUGCUCGAGCCGAAACCCCGGGGCGCGGGUUAUAUGCGCCUAAUUCGGGGUCACCGGACGCUCCUUAUGUGGCACCGGACGCAUCCGGUGACCACCGGUCUUAUGCGCAGAGAGAUCUGCAAAAGACCUGACCACCGGACGAUGGCCACCGGACGCUGGCCUUAGCGUCCGGUGCCCUAGGGCACGCCUGGCUGAGCACCGGACGCACCUGUUGGUGCAAAAACUGGUCUGCAAACACAAAGGGCUAAUACCCGAUUGAAACGUUAAGGCGUGCUAGCCAAUUUGACCUUACUAUCGGCAAAGGUGAUAACUCGAAUACUUUAGUCCUGACAACAGCGAUGCGCCCGGAUGUCACGGCUAAGAGGUACUCACGCGGAACUUGAGAACGCGCCGAGCCUAAGUCGAAUUCCUAAGAACUCGUAAUGAAAAGGAAAAAGUAUGACGAAGUCGUCGAAAAAGUAGAUGCUGGAAUAUGAGUAAAAACGUGUGUUUGAUUGAUUGAUAGAUGUCUCAUUAUAAAGCCCUAGGGUCUAUAUUUAUACCCCGCUCAAAGAGCCACAACCAGACACGAUUAGAAUUCGAAUUCCAAAUUACACGGAAUCCGUAUACAAAACGAUUUAAAUAACUAAGGAAAUAAUAAAGCUAUCCCCCGUGACAAGCUGAAACUCUUCCACAAACCGAUCGGCAGCUUCUGGACUCUUCCUUCGUAUCAUCGGCAGACUCCCUUGUCAUAGCCAUCGGCACAGACACAUCACCACCUAUAGACUUAGUCACGCUCAACCCCUCCUUCAUCGGCAACCAUCCUCAUCGGCAACUCAUCCUGUAGACAAAACACUGCCGUCUUAUCCUGCUGGCCUGGACACGUGCCCAAAAACGGUGUCAACACAUGCCCCCCAAUUUCGGAGUAUAAAAUCAUUAAUGCUCCGAAAUUCUCUGCAGUAAUGAUGCCUUUUCCCGCAAUUAAUGCUCCUAAUCUGGUAACCGACAACCUCAAUCUGAACAACUCUGAUCCUAUUCUUUUGCAGAUCCCUCGAAAUCCUCCAUUUCCUAAACGAGCAUUUCCUUCUUCACCGCACAUCGGCAAUAUUACCGUUACAAAGAUCUAUCGAUGGACUAAUCAGGACGUUCGUACAAACGGCUAUCUUCACUUUAUUCGCCCAUCGGCAAUAUGACCGUUACAGAACGGUGCCGAUGGACCGACCAGGAAAUCCCGCACAGUAAAAUAUCUCUGGAUAAUGACCGCUUCCCGCCAAAUCACUUGCACAAUCCCUUGAUUACCGUGCGAACAGUUACCAUAUCUACCUGAGUACCCUCGGAUUUCUCGGAUGCGGCAAAGAGAUAAGUCAGAUUUACCCCUGCCCAUUUUGUCUUAUAAAUAGUUCCUUCUCGGGUACUCCUUCUCCAUCACAUCAUUCUACAACUCCAACCUCACCUUUCCGGCGGCGGCGCUGUUCCAAAAAGCUCCAAGAUCUCCGACGAGGCUCCUUCCUCACCAACUCCAAAACUCUCAAUCUUCUCCUCUGUGGCAAAAUGGUCGUCAACUUCAUCAUCCCCGAGGUCAGUUCUUCGCACCAUCUCUUGUACUUUUCUCGCACCCCCGUUCAUCUGCAAUCCGCCGUACUGAAUAUUUUUUCCCUUCUCCCUUUUUUUUGUUUUUUUAUACCUCCAAAACCAUUAGGAAUCGGCUAACAAAAUUGUCAUCCCCACUGAUCGACCACAUCUCCAAUGCCUUGGCCCGUUAGGGGAUCCAGAUCCAACCGAUCUCAUAAACGUAGAAACCAACAGGAUCCCUUUCAGGGCAGAGAACUUUUCCUUGGAUCUGUGGAAGGACACUUUUCAUUCCUGGCCCAGCCCUACCGUGGGGUGGACAGAUUGGUUUCUGAGAGUCAGCAACUCAAAUGAAGUCCAAUGGGGUGAAAGAAAUCUAGCCCAAUGCAUUAGGUUGUCUAUUGCCGAUAUGCAUAGGAACGAGUCACUGCUGAUAGCUGCAUCAUACUUCUGGUUAGACACGCUCAAUGCCUUUGUCUUUGGCCAUGGCCCUGUUUCCCCCACUCUUGCCGAUGUGGCUAUGCUCACCGGGUUAGAUAUUUCUUCUGCCGAUAGCACCCACUUCUUCGAUACUAAACCCAGUGCUAAGGUAGAAACCCGCGCCAUCGGCGGCUGGUCAGGGUAUAUCCAGAAAUACCGCAAAACAGGCCCUGUUGACGCAAAAGGGCAGACCUGCUUCUUGAACAUAUGGCUAGACAAAUUCGUGUUUUGUGGCCGAUCGGCAGGACCAACUUCUGUUCAUCUAGCAGCAGCGGAAAAUCUGGCCAAUGGUGGCCGAUUUCCCCUUGGCCGAUACCUGCUUGGAGCGGCCUAUCACCUCCUCCAUCAAGUAACUAAGAAGCUCUUGCUUGGCCAGUCUAUCGGUAACUUGGGAGGCCCCUGGUGGUUUAUCAAUAUGUGGCUCAAUCUGCAUCUGCACAAGCGCCUUGAAUUUAACCUGUUCACACAGCGUUUCCCAAGGGACAUAACCAAAAAUCAUGUGUUGGGUGAGGAGGAAUCGGAAACACGUGCUCCCUUAAACUUCGGCGAGGCUAUCAUAGUUUUGCCUGGUUCAGGGGGUAACCCAGAUCAGGUCAGCCGAUUCUUCCAAACUCAGUAUGAGGGCUUGGCCAGAGAUGAGCGAGCAUGGUUAGCCUAUGAUGACCCAGACAGUAUGCUUCCCCUGGUUUUCAACCCAUUUGAUGAAGCUCUUGACCGGGAUAACGAAGUGAUGAUGGCAAUAGUGACUCCCAGAGCCAUACCAGUGAAUUUCUUUGGUAGUGGGAAAACCUCCCCUCAGACUUAUGAAUUUUACAACCCAUCGGCACUAGCCCGUCAGUUAGCUUUCGGCCAGCUGCCGAUCGCGCUCUGCUACGCCGAUGUGAUAAAGCCCAGGGAAACCAUCAACAGUCUCCUUGAAUGGAUCCGAGUAGCCUAACUGCCAUCGAGUGCCGAUACAGAAGUGGAUUUAUCAGAGUGGGUUCCAGCAGCUUUCAUCACUCAGGCAUACAAAUAGUGGUGGGCAGAAUGGAAGGAGCAUCUGUUCUGUAAAUCGGCCCUCACGUACCGCGGCAUGAUUGACCCCGAGUACGAAGUUCCCAAUGACAUCUGUUCUUUCAAUCCUGUUUCUAUUGGCAAUUUACUUUUGAACUUUUCUGCAGGUUGAUGAUAUCCCUCCAUCGGUCAGCAAAAGUGGCAAGCCGAUUGAUCUAUUUGCAUCAGGCCCAAUCUCUUCAAUCGGCCACAACGCCCCUACCUUGGCUUCCAUCGUGCAUCGAGGUAUACGCCUGAGGAAGGCCACCACCAGGAAGACCCAGACUUCACCAUCGGUAGCUGCUUCCGCCCUAGCUCUGGCUUUUAAGGUAACUGCUAACCCUCUUCAUUUAUACCGAUCUUUACCUUUACAUCGGCUACACUUGUAUUCACAAAUCCCUCUUUGUUGUUACAGCAAACCAGUGCAUCGGCAAAAACCAAGAGUCAAGGUGCGGAUGCCCACCAGUCCAGCCAGCAGAAGAGAAAGGGUGCCAAGAGUACUAGGGCAGAAACAAAGCGCCAGAAAGUGGCAACUCCUCCUCCUCCUCCGGUAUCUCCCAUUCCGGUGGAAUCUUCCCCUUCUCCUCCGGACGUAGAGAUUCAGCAAGCACCAUCUCCCCCUCCAACGCAAGAAGCACCACAGGUAGGAGAAAUUCAACUAGAAGAACCUCAACAAGAAGUACCUCAGUCAGAAGACACAUCGGCUGACGUUCAUGAAUCAACCACCGAUCCAGCAGGUUUCAUUAUAACAUCGGUGGUUUCCUCCAUUCAGACAAGUACCGUCCUUCCUCAAUAUAACAUAUUUAUAAAGUUAAUACCGAUGAACCCAUCUUUUCAUCUCAUAAUGACUUUUAAUUUUCAGCUGACGUCGUUCCAUCGGCAACUUUGGCCGAUCAAUCUGUAGCUCCAUCGACAUCUCUGACCGAUCAGCCCGCAGCUCCAUCGGCAUCUUCCAGUCAAAGGAAAGAGAUUGCCUUGAAGCAAGUAAGUUAUCCAGCUAACAUCAAUAUUUUACCGGCAUUUUGAUCAUGGACUGACUCACUUUAUUUUCCUUUUCAGGAGCAGGACUCUCCUGACAGCCUAUUCUCCUUCGCCAUCGACAUCUCUGAAGAAGAAGGUGAAGAAGCAAGCUCUUCCCAGACAGUUGGCAUUACAUCGGCAGAGCUCAGGGCCAAGCUGGAAGAAUUAUCAGCCCUCCUUCACCAAGACACGGCGCAAUUGGUCGAUGACUCCGACCUAGCCAAAGUUCUAUUCAGAACUCUCAGAGGCCAGAUCCCAGCCGAUGUCGAAGAAAUCCUCUUCCAAGCCGCACACUUGGAGAGUCGUUAGCUGCAGUACCAGAGGGCUUCUCGGCGCCUUGCCGAUAGAGCUGCUCAGACUCAGCUCUCUGAAGAAAUGAGGAAAGAGAAGCUCCUGACCGAUGAGAAGCACAAGAACAUCGGUAUCUUGAGAUCUUCAGGAGACACGCUGAAGCAGAAGAUCUCUGACCUAUCGGCAAAAAGGGAAUCCCUGCUGGCAGAACUCAAGCAAGUAGAGGACGCCUUAUCCUAAGCCCAACAGGAAGAGAGUCAACUGCCAGAGACCAUCAAGCUUCUUGAGCACGAGCGAAACGUCCACGGUCGCAAGGCAGUACAAUUGAAGAAGAAGCUGAAGCCGAUAGAAGGUUCUGCCGAUGACGAUAUCAAGGAGAUAGAAGCAGCCAACCAAAUCCGGCUACGCGCGAUAUCGGAGAUCCAGGCGCUGCUGAACACAUGAAGCAUUCAUCGGCGACAUAUCUGUGUUUUUCUGCUCUUUUAGCUUUUAGUUCAGCCGAUAGGACUGUUAUCGACGUCUUUUGAAACAUUAAGUCCUGCCCCCAAACAUUUGAAUCCAGCCGAUAAGAGUGUUAUUGGCAUUUAAACUUUUAUGCAUCGACCCAUAUGCUGGGGUAGUACUUCUUUAAAUAUUUGCCAUUUAAUGCUCUGGGAAAUUCAACUCCUUCGAGAGUUUCUAGAAUAUAGGCAUUUCCAGGAGCCGAUCGACUUAUCCGAUAAGGACCUUCCCAAUUAGGAGACUAUUUCCCAAACUUCGAACUUUUAGUCCCGAUCGGUAAAACUAAUUUCCAUACCAAGUCCCCAUCGGCAAACUCCUUAGCCUUUACCUUUUUGUCAUACCAUCUAGCAACUCUCUUCUUAUUUUCUUCUAUACUCAUUAAAGCCUUUAACCGAUGUCCUGCUAGAUCAUCUAACUCAUCGGUCAUCAAAGUAACAUAAUCAUUAGCAGCCAAUUGAUCUUGAAAAGAUAAUCGCCUAGAUCCAGCCUUAAUCUCCCAAGGUAACACUGAAUCAUGUCCAUACACCAAUUGAUAGGGUGACACCUUGGUUGAUCCAUGACAGGCCAUCCGAUAGGACCACAACGCUUCAUUUAAUAAUGUAUGCCACCGCUUAGGAUUUUCUUCAAUCUUUCGUUUGAUGAGCUUGAUAAUUCCUUUGUUAGACGCCUCGGCCUGCCCAUUGGCUUGAGCAUAAUAAGGAGAAGAAUUCAACACUUUAAUCCCCAUACCGAUUGCAAAUUCAUCAAAUUCCCCCGAUGUAAACAUAGUGCCCUAAUCGGUAGUAAUUGUUUGAGGAAUCCCAAAUCGGUAAAUAAUAUGCUCUUUCACAAAAUCAAUCAUAUUGGCCGAUGUGACUUUCUUCAAAGGAAUAGCUUCAACCCACUUAGUGAAAUAAUCAGUGGCGACUAGAAUAAACUUAUGCCCUUUGCUAGAUGGUGGAUAAAUCUGGCCGAUCAGAUCAAUAGCCCAUCCUCGGAACGGCCAAGGCUUUAUGAUAGGAUUCAUAACCGACGCAGAUGCCCUUUGAAUAUUACCAAACUUCUGACACCCUUGACACCCUUUGAAAUAUUCAAAGCAAUCCUCAAGUAUAGUCGGCCAAUAAUAUCUAUUCCUCCUAAUCAUCCACUUCAUCUUAAAAGCCGACUGAUGUGCUCCACACACCCCUUCAUGAAUUUCUCCCAUCAAACUCCUAGCUUCAUCAUCACCUAAACAUCGGAGAAGAAUUCCAUCAAUAGUUCGAUAGUAUAAUUCAUCUUCGAGGAGCACAUACUUGGUUGCUUGAAACCGAACUCGCGUUUCAACUUUCCUAGAUGGAUCUUUCAAAUAAUCAAUAAUUUCUUUCCUCCAAUCAUUGGCAUCGAUUGCCGAUACUGUAUUAAUCAUAGGCUGAUAUCCUGAGGCAUGCUGAGCUAACCGAUUGGCCUCUUCAUUAUGCAAUCGGGGAACAUGCUCUAAACGGAAAUCUUUGAAUUCCUUUAACAGUUGCAUGCUCCUCUCAUAAUAAGUUAUGAGAAUUUCACUUUGGCAUUCAUAGCUCCCUGCCAAUUGGCUUAUAACCAACAUAGAAUCCCCGAAGACUUCGACAGCGUCAGCACGAACUUCCCUUAACAACUCCAAUCCUUUUAUCAAAGCCUGAUACUCAGCCUGAUUAUUUGUUGAUGUAGCAACAAUCGGCAAGGAAAAUUCAUACUUCCUCCCCUUAGGGGAAACUAAUACUACGCCGAUUCCUGCCCCCCGGUCACAUGUAGAUCCAUCAAAGAAAAGCGUCCAGGGCACAAUUUCCAAAGCCUCCACUGCACCGCAAUGUUGGGUCACAAAAUCGGCCAUAAUCUGCCCUUUAACUGCCUUAGCCGAUUCAUAACGCAGAUCGAAUUCCGACAAGGCCAAAAUCCAUUUACCGAUCCUGCCACUCAUAAUCGGCAUAGAUAGCAUGUACCGGACCACAUCAUCUUUGCAAAUAACAGUGCAUUCGGCCGAUAACAAGUAGUGCGUUAACUUGAUACACGAAAAAUAUAAGCAUAGGCAUAAUUUCUCAAUGGCCGAAUACCUGGUCUCAGCAUCAAUCAACCUCCUGCUGAAGUAAUAAAUUACACGCUCUUUCCCUUCAAAUUCUUGAAUUAAAGCUGAACCGAUAACCAUCCCAUCGGUAGACAAAUAUAAUCUAAAGGGCUUUCCUUGCUGAGGUGGAAUUAGAACUGGAGGAUUCACUAAAUACUUCUUGAUUUCAUCCAGAGCCAACUGCUGUUCCUUCCCCCAAAUAAAUUCUUGAUCAGCUUUUAGCUUAAGAAGAGAACUGAAAGCACGAAUUUUACCAGACAAAUUAGAUAUAAAUCUCCUGAUAAAAUUUACCUUGCCGAUCAAGGACUGGAGCUCAGUCUUGUUGGUAGGGGCCACUAUCUUAUUGAUGGCAUCAAUAGAUCUUCGACUAAUUUCAAUCCCCCUUUGAUGGACCAUGAAACCAAGAAAUUGCCCUGCCGAUACACCAAAUGCACACUUGUUGGGAUUCAUCUUCAAUCCAUGCUUCCUUGUGCACUCCAAUACCUUUCGCAGAUCGGCAAGAUGCUUUGCGAAGUCCCCAGAUUUGACCACCACAUCAUCAAUAUAAAUCUCUACCAGUUUGCCGAUGAACUCAUGAAAUAUAAAAUUCAUGGCCCUCUGAUAAGUAGCACCAGCAUUCUUAAGGCCAAAAGUCAUGACUAUCCACUCGAACAAUCCAACAUGACCAGGGCAUCUGAACGCGGUUUUUGGAAUAUCUUCUUCAGCCAUGAAUAUUUGGUUGUAUCCUGCAUUGCCAUCCAUAAAGCUAAUAAUCCGAUGCCCAGCCGCGGCGUCAACCAACAGAUCGGCAACUGGCAUUGGGUAUCCAUCCAUCGGCAUAGCUUUAUUGAGAUUCCUGAAAUCAAUACAGACCCGAAGCUUCCCGUUCUUCUUGUAGACCGGAACAAUGUUUGAAAUCCAUUCGGCAUACCGACACUGCCGAAUAAACUUAGCUUCAAUAAGUUUGGUGAUUUCGGCCUUAAUAUCAGGGAGGAUAUUAGGAUUACAUCGGCGAGCUGGCUGUUGAUGUGGCAGAAAUCCAGACUUGACAGGCAACCGAUGCUCAACAAUUGAUCGAUCCAGACCAGGCAUCUCAGUAUAGUCCCAAGCAAAGCAAUCUUUAUAUUCUUUUAACAAAUUGGUUAACUGCUGCUUACAUUCAGGAUUUAACUUAGCACUAAUAAAAGUAGGUCUAGGCUUAUCACCACUACCGAUGUCUACUUCUACCAAAUCAUCGCCGAUGUGAAUCCCUGGCCUAACUUUCCAUCAUCGGCGAACCUAUCCAUUAAAAACCGUCGUCAGAACCGACUGCUUGGAUCGGUGGAAUCUCGUAAUCGGCAACUUUGAGAAAAUCCUUCUCCCAAACUUCUCCUGAAAUACACCUAGUCCUCUCAUAGGUAUCUGCUUCUGCCGAUGCAAUGACAUAAGAAGAAUCUCCUGGGACAAUUUCAAUCUUGUCACCUACCCACUAGACCAAGCAUUGGUGCAUUGUAGAUGGGAUGCAACAAUUGGCGUGAAUCCAAUCUCUCCCUAAUAGCAAGUUGUAAGCACCCUUUCCACUGAUCACAAAGAAAGUCGUCGGCAAGGUUUUGCUGCCGAUGGUCAACUCUACACAUAUUGCCCCCUUGACUGGAGACACGUUCCCUUCAAAGUCUUUAAGCAUCAUGUCGGUCUUGGUCAAAUCCUGAUCCCCUCUCCCAAGCUUCCGAUAUACUGCAUACGGCAUGAUGUUAAUAGCAGCCCCACCAUCAACUAGAAUCUUGGUCAUCGGCUGCCCAUCAACCCUCCCUUUGACGAACAAAGCCUUGAGAUGUUGUCUUUCGUCAUCGGCAGGUUUCUCGAAAAUAGCCGUCAUUGGAUCCAGAGCCAAUUGAGCUAUUUGGUCGGAAAAUUCCAACUCAUCAUCGCUAGAUGGCGCAAGAAACUCCAUCAGCAACAUAAAGACCAUGUUGACAUCUGCCGAUGGACCUUCCCCCUCGCGACUUGUUUACUGCUGAUCUUCAGACUGACCAGAGUUCUCACCCUUGUUUAGCCCUUCUCGCCUUUCGCGCUGCAACCUCCUUUUCUGUGUCUUGGUCAACCCCUCUGGACACCAUGGAGGAAACGGUCUUUGCCUUGCCGCUGGGCGAUGAUUUUCCCUUGCCUCUAUCCGAUGCGUAUUGGCAUCCCUGCAAAAUAUGAGUUCGUCGGGAACUCGUGCAUUAGCCAUCUCCUCAAGUCCUUCCUGGUUCCUGGGAAAAUACUGGACACGAUCACCAAGCCUGUCAUGUACACUGAGUCUGCCCCCCAGCCGAUCAUGGACGGAUGCUCUCCCUCUAAUCGGCCCAUUGAAGCGCCGAUCAUUAUCACGAUAGUUCCGAUCGGACCUGUCGUACCGAUCGUAACCGUUGCAUUCAGGGCAAUCUCUGACAGUAGGAAGCUUGAUAUUCUCUUCCCAGCAAUGGAUGAAGAACGGGCAAUUCCAGUGAUCCCUAUGCCGAUUCCAUUCGUGUCGGCGUCUUUCCUCUUCCCGACGAUAAUCUUCUUGCUGGCGCCGGUACUGAUCUUCUCGUUGCUGCCAAGUUUCCCAAGGUCUUCUAUGAGUUAUAACGAUGCCAGACCGAGGAGGCCUACCUGAGCUGGUUCCUUCCUGAACCAAGCCCCUACCUCUUGCAUCGGCAGUAGUAACUUGAUGCUGAGGAUCUACCGAUGCACUUUUCUCGGCUGCUUCCGAUGUUAAUACCUUGGCCUUUCCCUUGGCAUCCAACAUGUUUGUCGGGAAAGGAUGUUGGUCUAUCUUCAUCGGCUUUUGGGUCUUGGAACUGUCAAACUUGAUCCUCCCAGACUCUAUAGCCGAUUGCAGCUGCUGUCUGAAAACUUUGCACUCAUUGGUGUCAUGAGAAGUUGCAUUAUGCCACUUGCAAUAUUUCAUCCUCUUCAGUUCCUCAGCCGAUGGGAUCACGUGAUUAGGAGACAGCUUGAUCUGACCUUCCUGAAGCAGAAAAUCAAAUAUUCUAUCGGCCUUAGCGGUGUCAAAAGCGAACUUCUCUGGUUCCUUCUGCCCAAAAGGACAAGACAUCGGCUUCUUGUUCUUUACCCACUCUGCCAAGCCAAUGAUUGGUUCCUCAUCAGAAUCUGAGCUUGUUGCCUCAUCAACAAAUGAUACCUUCUUGUUCCAUGCUCUUUUGGGCUCGAAAGGCUUGAUGUCUUGAUCAGAGAUCCUCUGCACCAGAUGACUUAAGCUUUCAAACUCCUGAGAGGCAUACUUAUCCCUGAUGUGUGGCAAUAAACCUUGGAAAGCCAAAUCGGCUAGCUGCCGAUCAUCUAGAACCAGACUAUAACAUUUAUUUUUGACUUCCCGUAUCCUCUGCACAAAACCUUCAACCGAUUCAUCAUUGCGUUGUCUCAAUUUGACCAAAUCGGUGAUCUUCUUCUCAUGAACCCCAGAAAAGAAGUAUUUGUGGAAUUGCUUCUCCAGAUCGGCCCAAGUGAUCACUAAGUUAGGAGGUAGUGAUAUGAACCAGGUAAAGGCCGAUCCAGACAAUGAUGAUGAAAAUAGACGAACCCUCAAUUCGUCUCUGUUACCGGCUUCUCCGCAUUGAAUGAUGAACCUGUUGACAUGCUCUAUGGUUGACGUGUCGUCUUGCCCAGAAAACUUAGUAAAAUCCGGCACCUUGUACCGAUGCGGAAGCGGGAUCAAAUCAUAUGCGGGAGGAUACGGUGUCUGAUAAGAGUAAGUGUUGACUUUGGGUUUUAUCCCAAAUUGGUCUCUCAUUACUUCAGCAAUCUUAUUGGCCCAGUACGCAUCGGCUUCCUGCCGAUGAGGAGGUUGCAGAUCCGGCAUUUGAUGGUGAGCCUCCACGUGUCUGUUCGGUGCGCGAUCUGCACGGAACAUUGGGUUGAUCAUCUGGCCUCCAACCUAUGGACCACCAAUCUGUUGCCCGCCAAUCUGCUGUCCGACGAGCUGCUGCCCGAGAUUCAUUGGCUGGUUAGGGAUCCCCUGAUUCUGGAACCCGGGAUAGAUCUGUCCUUGCUGGAACCCUGUAGCCUGGUGACUCUAUUGGGGUGUUUGCGGAAAGACUUGCUACCCAAGCCAUCCAUUAUUAGCGUUCAUCGGCAUAGGCCCUGCCGAUGACUGGUAAUUGGGCAUCAUCAUUGAAUUGACAUACCUUGAUUGAGCCAUAGACCUCUGUUGCAUCAGCAUCGAGUCUGCCGAUGCGUUAGGCAUCUGGAACAUUGGAGCUUGAGAAUUCCCAGUGUGAGGUCUUGCAGUAGUAGUUGUAGUAUACUGGGGACUCUGGUUCAUCGGCAUAUUGGGAGGUGCCGAUGCCAUAGGAGUCUUGCCUCUCAUAUCAGUCGUCUGCGAUGUACCCGGCGUUAACUCUGGAGGCAUGCCAUAACCCCACCAGUUGGGAGGAGGGGUUAACCCUGUCAUUGCCGAUGCUAACAGAUCUGUGGCAAGUUUAAUCUGCCCAUCCGAAGUCUGUGGAUUAGUUGUCAUCGGCAUAGACUGUCCAUUGGUGACUCCUAACGUACUUGGUGGAACAGGAAUCUCCAUACCCGCAGCGGCCGUAGCAGCCGAAGGAGCUAUGACCACUGGUGACUUUGGCUGGUGAUAAGUGGGGCCCACAUAAUCUGGUGGGAUUUGUCCUUCCUUGAAAGUUCUUGCCACGGCAUUGAAAACCGUAUUAGACAGUACACCAGCUUGAUUGAUCAAAGCGCGGUUGAUCGCGCUGUCAACCAUCUCUUGCAGCUUGCCAGGAUUGGACUCAAAAGUAACCUGCCGAGGAGCCGGCAGUGCAUCCUUCUGAAUCACCUCACCGCUCCUGUUUAUGCUGAAGGACCUCAGGCAUUGCUGCUUGUAAUCCUCCAUGGCUUUAGCAAUAGCUUGCUUCUGCUCAUCCUUGAGAUUGGCUUUCGUCACGGGGAUGACGUUCUCUUGAUCAAACUCAGAAGUCGACAUGUUGAUCUUGAUCUUGAAUCUGUCCCACUGGGCGUGCCAAAAGAUGUGUUGGUGCAAAAACUGGUCUGCAAACACAAAGGGCUAAUACCCGAUUGAAACGUUAAGGCGUGCCAGCCGAUUUGACCUUACUAUCGGCAAAGGUGAUAACUCGAAUACUUUAGUCCUGACAACAGCGAUGCGCCCGGAUGUCAUGGCUAAGAGGUACUCACGCGGAACUUGAGAACGCGCCGAGCCUAAGUCGACGAAUUCCUAAGAACUCGUAAUGAAAAGGAAAAAGUAUGACGAAGUCGUCGAAAAAGUAGAUGCUGGAAUAUGAGUAAAAACGUGUGUUUGAUUGAUUGAUAGAUGUCUCAUUACAAAGCCCUAGGGUCUAUAUUUAUACCCCGCUCAAAGAGCCACAACCAGACACGAUUAGAAUUUGAAUUCCAAAUUACACGGAAUCCGUAUACAAAACGAUUUAAAUAACUAAGGAAAUAAUAAAGCUAUCCCCCGUGACAAGCUGAAACUCUUCCACAAACUGAUCGGCAGCUUCUGGACUCUUCCUUCAUAUCAUCGGCAGACUCCCUUGUCAUAGCCAUCGGCACAAACACAUCACCACCUAUAGACUUAGUCACGCUCAACCCCUCCUUCAUCGGCAACCAUCCUCAUCGGCAACUCAUCCUGUAGACAAAACACUGCCGUCUUAUCCUGCUGGCCUGGACACGUGCCCAAAAACGGUGUCAACAACACCUCACCGGACGCUGCAGGGGCACUAUUCCUGCAUCCGGUGAGUGCUGUCCAGCAGACUCACCACACCGGACACACCGAGACAGCGUCCGGUGCAUCGUCCGGUGCACCUCUGGGUGCUUUUUCAACUUAGCACCUCGACCGACUUUCACCCAACCAAGUUCCAACUUCAACAAGACUCAAAUAAACACCAAGUGGAACUGGUAUGAGUGACCUCUCUCAAACCCUCAAAUUUUCACAAAUAUUUAGCCUUAGGCUUAGUAGUUUUUUAUGAAAAUAGUCAAAUGAAAUCACCAAGGAGCAUCGUAUGGACAUAAAGCUAGGGGUUUAAGUCAUAAUGAGCUUUGAAUGCUCCCCCUAUCUAAGGACGAACACAGCGGAUGCUCAAAACAUAACCAAAAGAAACGGUCAACUAACAAGCAUGCAUAUGAUAUGAGGUGAAAUGCAAUACUUGAAAGUAAACUAAUGCUUGUCAAGUUUGAUCCAAGGUUAAGCUUUUUCACACACACAAGGGGGUUAUCUUAACCAUGUUAGACAAGCCCUACACACAAAACUUUUUGCAUUUUAGUUUAGGUAUGCAUGAAAUGCAAAACAAAAGCUAUUUACAAGUUUCAACACACAACUUCAUUUUUUAGUGUAGUUAGAGAGAUCAAGCACAUUAAGUUCAUUUCUCAACAUACAAAACCUAGCUUCAUCUAGGGGUUUUGUGAAGAUAUCCGCCAAUUGACUUUACGUUCCCACAUUCUCUAGAGAUAUAUCACCUUUAGCAACAUGAUCCCUAAGGAAGUGGUGGCGGAUGUCAAUAUGUUUUGUGCGGGUGUGUUGAACUGGGUUGUUAGCAAGUUUUACGGCACUUUCAUUGUCACACAACAAAGGUACUUUGUCUAGUACUACUUCAUAGUCUAGCAAAGUUUGUUUCAUGUAGAGUAUUUGUGCACAACAAGCACCAGCGGCAAUGUAUUCCGCCUCGACCGUUGACAAGGCAACACUAUUUUAUUUCUUUGACAUCCAAGAGACAAGAGAUCUACCUAGGAAAUGGCACCCUUCGGAUGUGCUUUUUCUAUCAAUCCGGCACCCAGCAUAAUCCGAAUCGGAAUAGCCUACAAGUUGGAAUCUUACACCUUUGGGAUACCACAAGCCUAGGCAAGGUGUGUAUUUUAGGUACCUAAGAAUUCUCUUGACGGCAAUCAAGUGAGAUUCCAUAGGCAUUGCUUGAUAUCUAGCACACAUACACACACUAAACAUGAUAUCGGGCCUAGAUGCGGUGAGGUAGAGUAGACUUCCUAUCAUGGAAUGAUAGAGAGUCUUGUCAAUUGGGUUACCUCCCUCAUCCAAGUCGAGAUGCCCAUUUGAUGCCAUGGGAGUCUUGAUUGGCUUGCAAUCCAUCAUCUUGAAUCUCUUGAGAAGAUCUUGUGUGUACUUCUCUUGAGAGAUGAAAACCCCUUCCUUCAUUUGCUUGAUUUGAAAUCCUUGGAAGAAGGAUAGCUCACCAAUCAUGGGCAUCUCAAACUCCUUGGACAUCAAAUCACCAAAUUCCUUGCAAAAAUCUUCAUUAGUAGAGCCAAAAAUAAUAUCAUCAACAUAAACUUGGCAAAUGAAGAUUUCCCCAUUCAUUUUCUUGGUGAAGAGUGUUGUGUCAACUUUCGAAAUCUUGAAGCCCUUCUCAAUGAGGAAGUCCCUAAGCCUCUCAUACCAAGCUCUAGGAGCUUGCUUGAGACCAUAGAGAGCCUUGGACAGCCGGUAGACAUGCUUGGGGUACCUAGGGUCUUCAAAACUGGGGGGUUGCUCAACAUAGACAAGCUCAUUAAUAUAACCUUUUAAAAAGGCACUUUUCACAUCCAUUUGAAAUAACUUGAUAUCAUGACUAGAUGCAUAUGCAAGUAGGAUACGGAUUGCUUCAAGUCUUGCCACCGGUGCAAAGGUUUCACUGAAGUCAAGACCUUCCACUUGUGAAAAGCCUUUUGCCACAAGCCUUGCCUUGUUGCGUACCACUUUGCCUUUAUCAUCCUUCUUGUUCCGGAAGACCCACUGUGUUCCAAUCACUCUUGCAUCUUUGGGUCGCUCUUCAAGUGUCCAUGUUGACGGUCCUUAAGUAUCAAAUUUAAUUAUCAAAUAAAUAAAGAAAAGGAUCCAAAUGAAAUCAACAUCUAGAUUUAGGGUUUUAUCUGACAGAAUUCCAUGAGUUUUGGUGUUUGUCUAUUUCUGCAGGGGGUUAUCAGGAAAUACGGAAGAAAGGCCCACACGUCGGGAUUACAUAGAGAUAUUAACGUGCCGCACAAUUAUCUUACAUCUAGAAGACUCCAGAAGCCACGAGACCGAAGCGGAGGCGAAACGGGGCCACAGGCAGGGCGCCCGCCCUCCUGCCCUGGGCGCCCGCCCCCUCUGGGAGUCCAAUCAGGACUCUGCUUCGCGGGAGAUCUCCACCGACCUAAAGGAUGAAUCUAAACCAUACAAUCUAUGUCGGUUUGAUCCAACGGCCCAUAUUCGCUUUAAGGGACUAUAAAACCAGACCCCCUGGCCCCUGGAGGAGAGAGCCUCUCAACCCUAAUUCAUUGUUCCAUCAAGGGAGAAGAAGCCUCUGAUCAAGAUUAGAGCCACCACAUCAAUUAGAUAUCUAGAUUAGCAUAGCUACAUAGGAUUAGAACUAGAAGGAGUCAAUCUUCGAUUGGUUUCCGGAUCUGUCAAGAGGAUUCUUGGUAAUUCUCUAAUUGUGCUUUUAAUUGCUUUCUAAUUAUCUUUGUUCUUCAAUAUUAUGAAUAUGACUUUGUUCUACUUCAAUAUAUUGCUUAUGACUUUGCUCUACUUGCUUAUAUUCAAGAUUAUAUUGUUCUUAGUUUAUCAUAGUUAUGUACUUGGCUUAGUUAGAUUGGAUCUAUAUACAUGCUUAGGAUCGUAUAGCGUUUAUCCAUCGGAUCCAUGGGUAAAUGAUAGAUAUUGUGUAGGCGUGGUGCUUAUACCGUAUUUAUCUGCGAUUGUACCCAAUAUGCCAGAUCGUGGGGUGGUUCGUGAUAGUGACAGCUUCAUUGAUUCUUAUAUAGUCCCCCUCUCGUGUAUUGGGCUGGCAGAGCAACAUUAUUACAGGGGAGUGAUUGCUAUGUUUCUCAUAUUCCUUGCUAAUAUCACUAUGCAUGGGCGUAGUCUUGUCUCGCAAUGAUUGCUAAGUAUGCUUGCACUAACUAUGAUAUGCUAGACUAUAUAGUUGAGAAUAACUUAGGGAAUAUUCUUGUAGUUCGUUCUAAUACCAUGCUAAUGACUUUCUAGAGUAUCUAAUUGAGGUGCUUAUCAUAUUUAUUAUGUGGCUAGAUCAGAUUAAUUAUCCUUGUCACUAUUCAUUAUUUCAUAUAUCUUUUAUGUGACACUUAUCCCUGUAUGAAGAGUUAGAUAUAAUGUUCUCAAUUAUACAUGCAAUGAUAGAUGCUCAAUCUCAUAUUCUAUUCUGUAAUCAAUAUUGAUGAUUGCUAAUCCCUUCCCAGUGGUAAAAAUAUAAAUAACGAUACCUGGAAUACUUCCUGGUUAAAAUGCUACAUCGGUAUUAAUCUGUGCGCUUGCAGAUCCCAUUCAUUAUUUAUUUAGAAGAGUAAUUGCAUAUUUCAAUACCGCGUCUCUUAUAUCAUGCUGGGGAUGACAACUUGGCUUAAGUGGUGUGAGGGAUAGGUUUGGCAUUUUUGGCACCGUUACUAGAUUUAGAGAACUUAGUCUACUUUUGGUAAUGAUGUUAACAAUACCCAACAAGCAUUUUUGGCACCGUUGCCGGGGAAGGUUGAUUACUAAUCAGGAAUGGAAUAAAAGAUUUUGAGUUAUCAUUCGCAUCACUAAUAUGAUUGAGCUUAUCUAUUCUCUCAUACAGUUUUACCCCGAUAUUUUCCUAUUUCAUCUUAUGCAGGGGAAUGUAUGAAUGGAAGACAUCUUCUAGAAAAUUUUGUUGACAAUCCCGAAGCAUUAUUCAAGAAGACGAGAGCCAUGCUCAAGAAGAGAUCAUCAACACUUCAGCAAGAAGCUUCAUCCAAUCAAGAAGAUCACCGGAACUUGUCUUCACAGUUCGAGGCCAUGGCGAACAAAUCAAUCCGCGAGUUCUCAGCUCCCACUACGGACAACAUCCGCACUGGACCUACUGUAGAGAUUGAUGGCAACUUUGAGCUCAAGCCUGGACUUAUCAACAUGGUGCAAUCCAACCAGUUCUGUGGGAAGGCACAUGAAGAUGCUAGUGCUCAUUUACAACACUUUCUGGAGAUUUGUAACACAUUCACCAUAUCAGGAUUUUCUAAAGAUGCUAUACUACUUCGCCUCUUCCCAUUCUCACUGUUAGGAAGAGCGAAGCAGUGGUUCUACGCUACAAAGGAGAAGAAUACUACGUGGGCACUCUGCUCAACAAACUUCCUGACAAAGUUCUUUCCCAUGGGCAAGACCAAUGCUCUCCGUGGGAAGAUUACGAGUUUUCAGCAACAAAAUGAUGAAUCUGUUCCAGAAGCAUGGGAGCGCUUUCAAGACUACAUCCUAGAAUGUCCCCAUCAUGGAAUGGAGAGUUGGCUAUUGAUGCAGACGUUUUAUCAUGGGCUCGGCAACAGUGCCCGAGAGACCAUGGAUGCUGCAGCUGGAGGAGCAUUUUUAUCACUUACUAUACCACAAGCCAUAGCUCUUGUGGAGAAGAUGGCGUCCAAUCAAAGCUGGAAUGAAGAGAGGACCCAGACACGCAAGAGAGGUGGAGGUAUGCAUCAGCUGAAGGAGGUAGACAUGCUGUCUGCAAAGCUAGACCUGCUCAUGAAGAAGCUCAACGAUAGAGCUGGAGAUAAGAAAGAAGUUAUGCACAUCUACGACUCUCACAUGACUUGUGAGGAGUGUGGAGACACUGGACACUCAGGCAAUCACUGCCCUGAGAUGCUUGAGGAUGUGAACUACAUCAACAACAACAACUACUACUACUACAACCGUCCUCAACAAAAUCAAGGUUGGAAUCAACAGAGGCCUAACUACUCAGGUAAUUAUCAAGGUAACAAUUCUUGCAACAAUAAUAAUAAUUUUCCACCUUUGAGAGAGUUAGUGUCUAAUCAAGGAAAGUUAAUGGAUAACCUAUCUAAGAAAUUGGCAUCUAAUGAUAAAAUACUAGAAAAUAUAAAUAAUAGAAUGGAUAAUUUCUCUACUGCCAUCAAGAAUCAAAUUAGCUUUAAUAAAAUGAUUGAAUCUCAGUUAAAUCAAAUAGCUGCUGCUGUUCCUACUACUAACCCAGGUAUACCAUCACAACCGGAAGGAUUAGAAUCUGCAAAUCUUAUAGACACGUUUGAUGCAGGUAAUUGGAGUAACCCCGUCAAUGAAUUCUCUACUGACCUUCUACCGGUCAAGAGAGGCGAUCCAGGACGCCCCGUCAUCCCGAUCUCUAUCGGCAUGGUGGACGUUCCAGAAGCACUCUGCGACUUUGGCUCCAGUGUCAACAUUAUACCCAGGGUACUCUAUGAAAAAUUCUUUACAUAUCCUUUAUUAGAAACGACCAUGUGUUUGCAGUUUGCAGAUCAGACGAUAACCGUUCCAAAAGGAAUAGUAAAGAACCUUUGUGUCCGAGUUGGUACCUUAUAUGCCCCAGCAGACUUCGUAGUGGUAGAGACCGGAAAUGAUGAGAGAGCACCUAUCAUCUUAGGGAGGCCAUUCUUGAAUACCACGGGAGCUAUCAUCUACGCUAGUGCUGCCAAGAUCAGUUUCUACGUCAAAGGGAGGAAGGAGAUAUUUUUCUUCAAGAACAAGACUACACAAAUUCCAUAUCAAUCCAGACGUGAAUCAAGGAAGAGGACCAACAGGAGGAACAGGAACAAGCAAGUGUGGACCGAGUCAGCUAAGAUGGUCACUGUAGUUCAUGGAGGCCAAGAUCACCAACUUAAGUCACCGCUUUUGACCAAGAAGGACGACCCAGGAAUGCCAAGCAUUUACUGCUCCAUAAAUGGAUACAACUUCUACAAGACAUUUUGUGACACCGGAUCGGGCGUCAACAUAAUGGCCGCAGUCACCUAUCGGCUCUUGUUCGGGACCAUGCCACUAAGACCAACAUACAUUCAGCUCCAGAUGGCAGAUCAGACAUUUCGAGAAGUUAAAGGAAUAGUAACUGAUGUCCCAGUCAAAAUAGACGAUCACUUUGUCUACACAGACUUUCAAGUUAUUGACAUGGGAGAAGAUGAGUACGAUCCACCCAUCAUCCUUGGAAGACCGUUCCUCAGCACCGUUAAAGCAAUUAUCUACAUUGGAACCGGAGAAGUCCAUAUGCACUUCCCCUCAGAGAAGGUACGCCGUUAUGUUACUGACCCUAACUAUAUCGUUGAAGAAUCUAAGCAGGUCAGAAAGAGACGCAACCGCAACCAGAGGAGGCAAAUCAUCAAGGACGGAUGGGCAGACUACGAAGGAGAAGUUGUAAGAUCAGAAGACGUUGAGUUUAAACAGAAUUAUCCAGAGGAGACUGAAGCACCAAAUCAGGUGUGGAAAAUAAAGAUAACUAUACAUGAAGAGGAGGCACCGCCAGAAGAACCGACUACGCCACCCGACGAACCUCAGGACAAUUAAGAAAAUGGAGAGUCCCGUUCGGAGGACUUAAAAACACCGAACGCCUUGCCAAGAGGUAAACUUGGUAGUUAUCUUUUCCCUUUCAAAUUGUUUAAAAUAGUUUACUUAGUUAAUCAUGUUCAUACUAUCUUAAAAAUAAAAGAAAAUAAAAAUGUGAAAAACAGUAAGCCCCAUGUGAGUAUACAAGUGGCAUAAAACCCAUAAGUACAUUUACUGUGGUGGCAUAAAAAUAAAAUAAUUUUUUUUCUGCUUUAUAAAAUAAAAAAAAAUAUAUAUAAACAGGGAGUAAUAUUUACUAAGGAGUCUCAAUAUGAUAAAGGCUAGAUAUUUAUGCUAACACUUAAUCAGUUCCACAAGCUUUGUUGUCUAUUUGAGCUCCACAGAAUUUAAGAGUCAAGAAGACUAGCAGACGGAGGACAUUCUAAUCGCUGUCAGAAUGCUGCUGACUUUCAAAUACACCUCUGCCACCUGCUAGCUACAUCAAGAGAAAUUACGUCAAAAUUCAGCUUGGGGGAGAGCACCCCCAUUUAUCUCGAUAAGUAUUUCUAUCUAUCUAUCUUUAUACUUAUAUUAUUUUAGAAUAUAAAUAUAUAUAACUAUGGAAAACCAAAUAAAGAUUUUAUGCUUAUUUAUAUAUCUUUUGCUUAGUGUGUUUAAUAAAUAAAUAAAGUGGCUAUGCUAAUCUGUAUCUAAAUAAAACUUAAGCAUGGAUAUGAUGAAUAGUUGCUCUGCCUAAUUUGCACAUUUUAAGUUCUCUCUCAAGUUUAGAUAUAACUGUUAUAAUUUAAAGCUUGCUCUAGACCUAAACUUGUGGGAUGAAAACUUGAUCUGAAGACUAAGUUGUUAACGGAUACGAUAUGGGAAGGUUGAGCUGCUGUUUAUCUGUUCCUAGAGAUGCUAGAAUUCUGGAGAAUUUUAUCUUUGAAAAUCUUUAAAAUGUUGCAUGAUGAGUUCCUGUAUGAUGAGAGUUUAAAUUCCUACCACAGCCAUAUAUAUAUGCUUGCUAGACUUUGAGCUACACAUUUACUAUUUACUGCUUAUGAGCAUUGAGUGUGGUCAAGCUGUGUAGACCCUUAGGAACUUGUCAUGUGGUUAAAUCAAGAUUUCACUUGCACGUUCACUCAUAUAUGCUACUUCUACUCCGGAAGUACCAUCCACAUAAAUCCAUCCAUUUUCAACUCCAGAACCACCUAAAAAUAUUCUACUCCUGAUCUAGGAGAGAAUAACCAAAAAUAUUUUUGUUUUUCCCUUGUGAAAUAAAUGCUCAAGUUAUCUUGUUACUACCACUUGCUAUAUUGUCUCAAGAGAUGAAUGCUCAAUAAAAAAAAGAGAGAAAUACGAGGAAAUAAAAAGGAGCAAGUGCUCGGAACCUCGAAAGAAAAGAGAGAGUGAGACGAGAGGUAAAAAUGGACAAGUGUCCGACAGUAGAAUUAGGGGUGCAAGAUACCCACCUGAGAGAAAACAAAAAGAAGAGCAUCUCAUUCUCCUCAUAAAGUUUCAAAAAAAGCAAGGAAGGUAUGUAUACUUUAUUUCCCACCUAUGAGCUCCAGAUAUUAAAGCCUUAUUAGAGUAGGGUGAGAGAGAAGGCAAUGUCACUAUGCCUUAUACCACAAAUACUACAUAUCUUGAGAGAAGGCAUAUACCAUCACUGCCUUGGUAAGGAUCCAGAAAUACCACAAAAGAGAGACCUGAGAGAAUCAUACAAGGAAUCUCUGAGUUUUAUUUGAAAAUCUGCAAAAACCCCGGAGCUAUAGCUGAUCAAGAAUAAGAGACAUGGCACUUGACUAGACUGUUCUAUCUUUUAACCUCUCAAGACAGAAGUGACAGUUACAAGUCCCAUGGUGAAGGUAAAGUAAGUAAGUUUUAAGUCUUGACAGUUUACUCUAGCUUAGAGAUGAGAUCUUAUUUAAAAAGCAUGUGUACCGUCAAUUUUUAAAUAUAUUGCAAUAACUUAUGAUCCAUAGCUGAGUCUAUCCUUGCUCAGGGACGAGCAAGAGGUAAGCUUGGGGGAGUUUGUUGACGGUCCUUAAGUAUCAAAUUUAAUUAUCAAAUAAAUAAAGAAAAGGAUCCAAAUGAAAUCAACAUCUAGAUUUAGGGUUUUAACUGACAGAAUUCCACGAGUUUUGGUGUGUGUCUGUUUCUGCAGGGGGUUAUCAGGAAAUACGGAAGAAAGGCCCACACGUCGGGAUUACAUAGAGAUAUUAACGUGCCGGGCAAUUAUCUUACAUCUAGAAGACUCCAUAAGCCACGAGACCGAAGCGGAGGCGAAACGGAGCCAGAGGCAGGGCGCCCGCCCUCCUGCCCUGGGCGCCCGCCCCCUCUGGGAGUCCAAUCAGGACUCUGCUUCGCGGGAGAUCUCCACCGACCUAAAGGAUGAAUCUAAACCAUACAAUCUAUGUCGGUUUGAUCCAACGGCCCAUAUUCACUUGAAGGGACUAUAAAACCAGACCCCCUGGCCCCUGGAGGAGAGAGCCUCUCAACAAUAAUUCAUUGUUCCAUCAAGGGAGAAGAAGCCUCUGAUCAAGAUUAGAGCCACCACAUCAAUUAGAUAUCUAGAUUAGCAUAGCUACAUAGGAUUAGAACUAGAAGGAGUCAAUCUUCGAUUGGUUUCCGGAUCUGUCAAGAGGAUUCUUGGUAAUUCUCUAAUCGUGCUUCUAAUUGCUUUCUAAUUAUCUUUGUUCUUCAAUAUUAUGAAUAUGACUUUGUUCUACUUCAAUAUAUUGCUUAUGACUUUGCUCUACUUGCUUAUAUUCAAGAUUAUAUUGGUCUUAGUUUAUCAUAGUUAUGUACUUGGCUUAGUUAGAUUGGAUCUAUAUACAUGCUUAGGAUCGUAUAGCGUUUAUCCAUCGGAUCCAUGGGUAAAUGAUAGAUAUUGUGUAGGCGUGGUGCUUAUACCGUAUUUAUCUCCGAUUGUACCCAAUAUGCCAGAUCGUGGGGUGGUUCGUGAUAGUGACAGCUUCAUUGAUUCUUAUAUAGUCCCCCUCUCGUGUAUUGGGCUGGCAGAGCAACAUUAUUACAGGGGAGUGAUUGCUAUGUUUCUCAUAUUCCUUGCUAAUAUCACUAUGCAUGGGCGUAGUCUUGUCUCGCAAUGAUUGCUAAGUAUGCUUGCACUAACUAUGAUAUACUAGACUAUAUAGUUGAUAAUAACUUAGGGAAUAUUCUUGUAGUUCGUUCUAAUACCAUGCUAAUGACUUUCUAGAGUAUCUAAUUGAGGUGCUUAUCAUAUUUAUUAUGUGGCUAGAUCAGAUUAAUUAUCCUUGUCACUAUUCAUUAUUUCAUAUAUCUUUUAUGUGACACUUAUCCCUGUAUGAAGAGUUAGAUAUAAUGUUCUCAAUUAUACAUGCAAUGAUAGAUGCUCAAUCUCAUAUUCUAUUCUGUAAUCAAUAUUGAUGAUUGCUAAUCCCUUCCCAGUGGUAAAAAUAUAAAUAACGAUACCUGGAAUACUUCCCGGUUAAAAUGCUACAUCGGUAUUAAUCUGUGCGCUUGCAGAUCCCAUUCAUUAUUUAUUUAGAAGAGCAAUUGCAUAUUUCAAUACCGCGUCUCUUAUAUCAUGCUGGGGAUGACAACUUGGCUUAAGUGGUGUGAGGGAUAGGUUUGGCAUUUUUGGCACCGUUACUAGAUUUAGAGAACUUAGUCUACUUUUGGUAAUGAUGUUAAGAAUACCCAACAGUCCACACUUGGUUGCGAGAGAAGUUGUUCCACUCCUCUUGCAUGGCAAUGAUCCAAUCCGCAUCACAAAGAGCUUCCUCUAUAGUGUUUGGUUCAUCUUGAAGAGACACAAAAGCGUGAUGUUUAAUAAAUAAAGCAUGUCUAGAACGUGUAGUUACACCACAUGAUGGACUCCCGAUGAUGAGAUCUUGAGAGUGAUCUUGAAGUAGAUUUGAUGAUCUUCUUGGCGCCACUUGAGGGGUUGGUUGGGGAGCAUCAACAUCUUGUGCUUGUGCCACCGCUUGCUCAUGAGUGACUUGGGUGUCUUCAUGAGCAUCUCUCACAUCCUUGUCUUCAUCUUGUGGUGCAUGUGAGGUGGAUGGUGGCUCAAUGACUUGCACAUCAUCAUCUUCUUUUGGCUUGAUGUCUCCCACCGGCAUGUUCUUCAUGGCAUCCCUCAAUGGUUCACCACCUACAUCAUCAAGAUUAUCACUUGCUCCUUGGGAGCCAUUAGUUUCAUCAAAUUCAACAUCAAAUGUUUCUUCAACCAUAUUUGUGGCAUGGUUAAAGACCCUAUAUGCCUUGGACUUUGAUGAAUAGCCAACCAAGUAGCCAAUGUCACAUCUUCUUUGGAACUUGCCCAAGUGUUGGCGCUUCUUGUAGAUGUAGCACUUGCACCCAAACACUCUUAAGAAUGAGACAUCGGGCUUCUUCCCAUUGAGGAACUCAUAUGGUGUCUUCUCUAGGAACUUGUGAGGAAAGAGCCGGUUUGAUGCAUAGCAUGCGGUGUUGAUUGCCUCGGCCCACAUCUUCUCCGAAGUGUUGUACUCAUCUAGCAUUGUUCUUGCCAAGGUGAUCAAUGUCCGGUUCUUUCUUUCUACAACCCCAUUUUGUUGUAGUGUGUAUGUUGAGGAGAACUCAUGUUUGAUUCCCACUUCAUCACAAUACUCUUCAAUGUUGGUGUUGUCAAAUUCUUUGCCAUUAUCACUUCUAAUCUUUUUGAUCUUGACAUCAAAUUGAUUUUGGCCAUUCUUUGCAAACUUCUUGAAUAUUGAUGCAACUUCGGCCUUGUCUUGCAAGAAGAAUGUCCAAGUGUACCGUGAGUAAUCAUCAACUAUGACCAAGCAAUAUUUGUUGCCUACAAGACUAGCAUAUGUGGUUGGUCCAAACAAAUCCAUGUGGAGUAGCUCAAGCACUCUUGAAGUAGAGAGAUAGGCUUUGGUUGGAUGAGUGUUUGCAACUUGCUUGCCGACUUGACAUGCACUACAAAGCUUGUCUUUUUCAAAGGUCACAUCCUUCAAACCUCUAAUCAAUUCUUUCUUCAUCAACUUCUUGAGUGUGCCCAUUCCAACAUGUGCUAACCUUCUAUGCCACAACUACCCAAGUGAAGUCUUGGUGAAUAAGCAAGUCUUGACAUCAACUUCAUCGGAUGAGAAAUCAACUACAUAUAGGUUGUUGUGUCGAAAGCCUUUGAAUACCAUUUCAUUGUCAUCCUCCUUGGUCACUAUUACUUCUUUCUUCUUGAAUAAGGAUUCAAAACCAAGAUCACAAAGUUGUCCAACCGAGAGCAAGUUGAAACUCAAUGAUUGCACAUAGAGCACAUUGGUGAUGGAGUUGUCAUUUGAUAUAGCAACCUUUCUUAGUCCCUUGACCUUGCCUUUUGAAUUGUCACCAAAUGUGAUCUUCUCUUGGUUGUCAACAUCUUCAUCAAGAGAGGUGAACAUCCAGGGAUCUCCGGUCAUAUGUUGAGUGCAACCACUAUCAAUUACCCAAUGUGAUCCACCGGUCUUGUAGUUCACCUACACACAAGAGAUUAAGCUUGAGAUUUAGGGACCCACAUUUGCUUAGGGCCCUUGACUUUCUCUACUAGUUGCUUUGGCACCCAAAUCUUCUUUGGCCUUUGCUUGUUGGGCGGCCCCAUGAAGCUAACCUUGACCUUGCCACUAUUGUCUUUCCUUACAAUGUAGUGAGCAUUGAAGGCAAAUGGUCUAGCAUGCUUCGGCAAUGGUGGUGGUAGUGGUGCCUUACACUCAUGAGCAAAGUGUCCUUCUUGACCACAUUCAAAACAUCUCUUUGGCUUUGGCUUGCUUGGUUGAUCAUGAGUGGCUAGUGACUUGAUGAGCUUUGUUUGAUGAGCCUUGUAGCCAAUCCCACUCUUGUCCAUCUUCAUGAUGGUGUUCAUGAAUAGCUCACUUUGAAGGUCCUUCCCUUUUGUGAACUUUGCUAACCCCAUAGUUAGAUGUUCCUUCUAUUUCUUGAGCUUGUUAUUUUCUUGAGUUAGCUUCUUGAUGAUUGGGUCAUUGUUGCUAGCUAACUCAUCCAAGAUGAAUGUCUCAUCUUCUUCUUGCUUGUCAUACAUCAAACCAAGCUUGAGAUAUUGAUUUUCUUCCUUGAGCAACUUGUUCUCAUAUGUAAGCUUCUUGUCUUUAUCAAGUGACUCAAUCACAAUUGUCUUGUGCUUGGCUUGCUCUUGCAACUCUUUCUUGAGCAUGACAAUUUCUUCCUUGAGCUUGUGUUGACGCCGUUUUUGGACGCGUACCCGGGAUCGGUAAAGUAUAGAUUGGCAGAUGGAGCAACGGUAACUAGUUUGCAGAGAAGUUGCCGAUGAAGGUGGUUGCCGAUGAAAAGAUAAUUGAAUGUGACUAAGUCCAGAGGUGGUGACGUACUCGUGCCGAUGAUCAGUAUUAGUGUUUGCCGAUAGCCAUAACAAGGGGUCUGCCGAUGAUUCUGAAGGGAAGCGUGGAGAUUGUCGGUUGUUCUGCGGUGGUGUCCCGGUCGGUUACAGGGGGAUAGUUUUAUGUUUUCCUUAGUUGUUUAAAUUCGUUUUGUAUAAGGAUUCCGUUUAAUUUGGAAUUUGAGUCCUAGUCGUGUCUGAUUGUAGCUCUUUGAGCAGCGUAUAAAUGUAGACCCUAGGGCCUUGUAAUAAGACAUCGAUCAAUCAAUCAAACCCAAGUUUUUACUCAUAUUCUAGUAUCUACUUUUUCAACGACUUCGUCAUAUUUUCCUUUUUAUUAUGAGUUCUUAGGAAUUCAACGACUUAAGAUUGGUGCGUUCUCAAGUUCCGCGUGAUCACCUCUUGGCUGUGACAUCCGGGCGCAUCGCUGUUGUCGGGACCAAAGUGGUCGAGUUACCACCUUUGCCGAUUGUAAGGUCAAAUCGGCUGGCACGCCUUAACGUUUAAAUUGGGUAUUAGCCCUUUGUGUUUCCAGAUCAGUUUUGCAACAACACAUCUUUACGCCCAGCUCUCAGAAGAGAUGAUGAAAGUAAAGCUCCUUGCCGAUGAAAAGCAUAAGAGCAUCGGCAUUCUGAAAUCCUCAGGAGACAUGCUGAAGCAAAAGAUCUCUGAUCUAUCGGCAAAGAGAGAAGCCCUGUUGGCAGAACUCAAACUAGUGGAAGAAGCUCUGUCUCAAGCUCAACAGGAAGAAAGCCAGCUGCCCGAAGCAAUCAAGACCCUUGAACAGGAACGAAACAUUCAAGCUCGCAAGGCACUGCAGAUGAAGAAGAAACUGCAGCCAGUGGAGGGUUCUGCCGAUGAAGACAUGAAGGAGAUAGAAGAAUCCGAUCAGAUUCAUCUGCACGCCAUAUCGACGAUCCAGGCUCUGCUAAACAUGUAAACUCUUCAUCGGCGGCGUGUCCUGCUUUUUUCUUUUAAACACUCCUAAUUAUUUUGGUCUAGCCGAUAGGACUGUUAUCGACACCUUCUUAAAACAUUAAGUCCGGCCCCAGAUACACUUUAAUCCAGCCGAUAGGAAUGUUAUCGGCACUUAGACUUUCAUGCAUCAAGCCAUAUGCUAGGAUAAUAUUUCUUUAAGUAUUUGCCAUUCAAUGCCCUGGGGAAUUCAACUCCUUCGAGAGUUUCUAAAAUAUAGGCAUUGCCAGGAGCAGAUCGGUUUAUCCGAUAAGGACCCUCCCAAUUGGGAGACCAUUUCCCAAACUUUGAACUUUUAGUCCCGAUCGGGAAGAUUAGUUUCCAUACUAAGUCUCCAUCGGCAAACUCCUUAGCCUUUACUUUUUUAUCAUACCAUCUAGCAACUCUCUUUUUAUUCUUCUAUGCUUAUCAAAGCCCUCAACCGAUGCCCUUCUAAAUCAUCCAAUUCGUCUGUCAUCAAAGUGGCAUAGUCAUCAGCAGUCAAUUGAUUCUGAAAAGAUAGUCGCCUAGAUCCAGUCUUAAUUUCCCAAGGUAGCACUGCGUCAUGUCCAUACACCAACUGAUAAGGUGAAACUUUGGUCGACCCAUGACAAGCCAUCCGAUAUGACCAUAAAGCCUCAUUUAACAAUGUAUGCCACCUCCUAGGAUUCUCUUCAAUCUUCCGUUUAAUAAGUUUGAUAAUCCCUUUGUUGGACGCCUCGGCCUGCCCAUUAGCUUGAGCAUAAUAAGGAGAAGAAUUCAACACUUUAAUCCCCAUACCGAUUGCAAAUUCGUCAAACUCGCCCGAUGUAAACAUAGUACCCUGAUCGGUAGUAAUCGUUUGAGGGAUACCGAAUCGGUAAAUAAUAUGCUCUUUUUACAAAAUCAAUCAUAUCGGUCGAUGUUACUUUUUUCAAAGGAAUAGCUUCAACCCACUUGGUGAAAUAAUCAGUAGCAACCAAGAUGAACUUGUGUCCUUUGCUAGAAGGUGGAUAAAUCUGGCCGAUCAAAUCAAUAGCCCAUCCCCGGAAUGGCCAAGGUUUAAUAAUGGGAUUCAUGGCCGAUGCGAGUGCCCUUUGAACAUUGCCAAUUUUCUGACAUCCUUGACACCCCUUGAAAUAUUUAAAGCAAUCUUCAAGUAUGGUUGGCCAAUAAUACCCAUUCCUCCUAAUCAUCCAUCUCAUCUUAAAAGCCGACUGAUGUGCUCCAAACACUCCUUCAUGGAUCUCUCCCAUCAAACCUUUAGCUUCAUCAUCGCCUAAGCACCUGAGAAGAACUCCAUCAAUUGUUCGAUAAUAUAGUUCAUCUUCGAGGAGCACAUAUUUGGUAGCUUGAAACCGAACACGCCUCUCAACCUUCUUUGAUGGAUCUCUUAAAUAAUCAAUAAUUUUUUUCUCCAAUCAUCGGCACUGAUUGCCAAUAACGUGUUCAAUAUGGGUUGAUAUCCCGAGGCAUGCUGAGCCAACCGAUUAGCCUCCUCAUUAUGUAACCGAGGAAUAUGCUCUAAUCAGAAAUCGCUGAAUUCCCAUAACAGUUGCAUACUCUUUUCGUAAUAAGUUAUCAGGACUUCGCUUCGGCAUUCGUAGCUUCCAGCCAAUUGAUUUAUAACCAGCAUAGAAUCCUCGAAGAUUUCAACAGCAUCAGCACGAACUUGCUUUAAUAACUCCAACCCCUUGAUUAAAGCUUGAUACUCAGCUUGAUUAUUUGUCGACGUGGCAACAAUCGGCAAAGAGAACUCAUACUUAUUUCCCUGAGGGGAAAUUAACACUAUGACGAUUCCUACCCACCGGUCACACGUAUAUCCAUCGAAGAAGAGCGUCCAAGGCACAAUUUCCAAAGUUUCCAUUGCACCACAAUGUUGAGUCACAAAAUCGGCCAUAAUCUGUCCUUUAACCGCUUUAGCCGAUUCGUAACGCAAAUCGAAUUCCGACAGUGCCAAAAUCCACUUACCGAUCCUGCCACUCAUGAUCGACAUUGAUAGCAUAUACCGGAGCACAUCAUCUUUGCAUAUAACAGUGCAUUCGGCCGAUAGUAAAUAGUGCCUCAACUUAAUGCAGGAGAAAUAUAAGCAUAAACAUAAUUUUUCAAUAGCCGAAUACCUGGUCUCAGCAUCAAUCAAUCUUCUGCUUAAAUAGUAAAUCACACGCUCCUUCCCUUCGAAUUCUUGGAUUAAAGCCGAACCGAUGACCAUCCCAUCGGUAGAUAAAUAUAAUCUAAAGGGCUUUCCUUGCUGAGGUGGAAUCAGAACUGGAGGAUUUAUCAAAUAAUUCUUGAUUUCAUCUAAAGCCAACUGUUGCUCUUUCCCCCAUAUGAACUCUUGAUCGGCUUUCAAUUUAUGUAAAGGACUGAAAGCACGAAUUUUACCAGACAAAUUAGAUAUAAACCGUCUGAUAAAAUUUACCUUGCCGAUCAAGGAUUAGAGCUCAGUCUUGUUAGUAGGGGCAACAAUUUUGUUGAUAGCAUCAAUAGAUCGUCUACUAAUUUCGAUUCCUCUCUGAUGCACCAUGAAACCAAGAAACUGCCCUGCCGACACACCAAAGGCACACUUAUUGGGAUUCAUCUUUAAACCAUGUUUCCUUGUGCACUUCAACACUUUUCGCAAAUCGGCAAGAUGCUUUGUGAAAUCUCCAGACAUAACCACCACAUCAUCAAUAUAAAUUUCCACUAGCUUGCCGAUGAACUCAUGAAAUAUAAAAUUCAUAGCCCUCUGAUAAGUAGCACCAGCAUUUUUCAAUCCAAAGGUCAUGACUAUCCAUUCAAACAACCCAACAUGACCAGGACAUCUAAAUACAGUCUUUGGAAUAUCUUCUUCAGCCAUGAAUAUUUGAUUAUAUCGUGUAUUACCAUCCAUGAAGCUUAUGAUCCGAUGCCCACCUGCAGCAUCAACUAACAAAUCGGCAAUCGGCAUCGAGUAUCCAUCCAUCGGCGUAGCCUUAUUGAGAUUCCUGAAAUCAAUGCAAACUCAAAGCUUCCUAUUUUUCUUGUAAACUAGAACAACAUUGGAAAUCCACUCGGCAUACUGACACUGCCGAAUAAAUUCAGCUUCAAUAAAUUUGGUUAUUUUGGCCUUAAUAUCAAGAAGAAUAUUAGGAUUACAUCGGCGAGCCGGCUGCUGAUGUGGCCGAAAUCCAGAUUUGAUAGGUAACCGAUGCUCAACAAUCGAUCGAUCUGAACCAGGCAUCUCGGUAUAAUCCCAAGCAAAGCAAUCUUUAUAUUCUUUUAACAAAUCGGUCAAUUAUUGCUUACACUCAGAAUUUAACUUAGCGCUAAUAAAACUAGGUCUAGGCUUAUCUCCACUACCUAUAUCUACCUCUACCAAAUCAUCUGCCGAUGUAAACCCCUAGCCUAAUUUUCCAUCAUCGGCAAACCUAUCCAUUAAAACUCCUCAUCAGAACCGACUGCUUGGAUCGGUGGAAUUUCAUAAUCGGCAACUUUGAGGAAAUCCUUCUCCCAAAUUUCCCCCGAGAUACACCUAGUCCUUUCAUAAGUGUCUGCCUCUGCCGAUGCAAUGACAUAAGAAGAAUAUACUGGGACAAUUUCAAUCUUGUCACCUACCCACUGAACCAAGCAUUGGUGCAUUGUAGAUGGGAUGCAAGAAUUGGCAUGAAUCCAAUCUCUCCCUAGCAGCAGAUUAUAAGCACCUUUUCCACUGAUCACAAAGAAAGUUAUCAGCAAGGUUUUGCUGCCGAUGGUCAACUCGACGCAUAUUGCCCCUUUAACUGGAGACACAUUCCCUUCAAAAUCUUUUAGCAUCAUAUCGGUCUUGGUCAAAUCUUGAUCUCCUUUCCUAAGUUUCCGAUAGACUGCAUAGGGCAUAAUAUUGAUAGCAGCCCCACCAUCGACUAAUAUCUUGGUCAUCGGCUGCCCAUCAACCCUUCCUUUGAUGAACAGAACUUUAAGGUGCUGCCUUUCUUUGUUGGUAGGCUUUUCAAAGAUAGCCGUCAUAGGAUCCAGAGCCAACUGAGCUAUCUGGUCGGAAAAAUCCAGCUCCUCAUCAUCACUGGAUGGCGCAAGGAACUCCAUCGGCAACAUAAAUACCAUGUUAACAUCUGCCGAUGGCCCUUUCCCCUUAGGAUCCGGUUGCUGCUGAUCCCCAGAUUAGCCAGAAUUCUCUCCCUUGACCAAAUUUUCUCGUCUUUUGCGCUGCAACCUUCUUUUCUGUGUCCUAGUCAACCCCUCCGGACACCAUGGAGGAAGUUGUGGUUGCCUUGUCGAUGGGUGACGAAUUUCCCUUGACUCCACUCGAUGGGUAUUGGCAUCUCUGCAAAAUAUGAACUCAUCGGGAACCCAUGCAUUGGCCAUCUCCUCAAGUUCCUCUUGGUUCCUGGGAAAAUACCCGGCACGAUCACCAAGCCUGUCGUGCACACUAAGUCUGCCCCCCAGCCGAUCAUGAACUAACGCUCUUCCCCUAAUCGGCCCAUUGAACCGUCGAUCAUCGUUCUGAUACUGCCGAUUAGGUUUGUCGUACCGAUCAUAACCAUUGCACUCAGGGCAAUCUUUAACAGUGGGCAAUUUGAUGUUCUGUUCCCAGCAAUGGAUGAAGAAUGGGCAGUUCCAGUGGUCCUUGUGCCGAUUCCACUCCCGUCGGCGUCUUUCUUCUUCCCGACGAUAGUCCUCCUGCUGGCGCUGAUACCGAUCUUCACGUUGCUGCCAAGUCUCCUGAUGUCUCCUAUGAGUUAUCAGAAUGCCGGAUCGGGGCAGCCUUUCUGAGCUAGUUCCUUCCUGGAUCAAACCCUUUCCCUUCGCAUCGGCAGUAGUGAUCUGAUGCUGAGGAUCCACCGAUGCACUUCUUUCAGUUGCUUCUGAUGUUAAGACCUUGGCUUUUCCCUUAGCAUCCAGCAUAUUUGUUGGGAAAGGAUGUUGAUCAAUCUUCAUCGGCUUCUGAGUUUUGGAAUUGUCAAACUUGAUUCUCCCAGAUUCUAUAGCCGAUUGCAACUGUUGCCUAAAAACUUUGCACUCAUUGGUGCUGUGAGAAGUCACAUUGUGCCACUUGCAAUAUUUCGUCUUCCUUAAUUCCUCUGCCGACGGAAUUACAUGAUUUGGUGACAAUUUGAUUUGCCCUUCUUGAAGUAGAAAUUCAAAUAUCCUGUCGACCUUGGUGAUGUCAAAUGCAAACUUUUCUCGCUCUUUAUGCCCAAAAUGGCAAGACAUCAGCUUCUUAUUCUUCACCCAUUCUACCAAGCCGAUGACUAGCUCUUCAUCUGAAUCUGAGCUCGCUGCCUCAUCAACAAAUGAUACCUUUUUGUUCCAAGCUCUCUUAGGUUCAAAGGGUUUGAUAUCCUGGUCGGAAAUCCUCUGUACCAAGUGACUUAGGCUCUCGAACUCUUGAGAAGCAUACUUGUCUCUGAUAUGUGGCAACAAACCCUGGAAAGCCAAAUCGGCCAGCUGUCGAUCAUCUAGAACCAGACUAUAGCAUUUAUUCUUGACCUCCCGCAAUGUCUGCACAAAACUUUCAACUGACUCAUCAUUGCGUUGCUUCAACCUGACUAAAUCGGUAAUUUUGUUCUCAUGAACUCCAGAGAAGAAGUACUUGUGGAACUGCUUCUCUAGAUCAGCCCAAGUGAUCACUGAGUUGGGAGGUAACGAUAUAAACCAAGUGAACACUGAUCCAGACAAUGAUGACGAGAAUAAGCGAACCCUCAAUUCGUCUCUGUUAGCAGCUUCGCCACAUUGGAUGAUGAACCUGUUGACAUACUCCAUAGUUGACGUAUCAUCCUGUCCAGAAAACUUAGUAAAAUCGGGUACCUUGUACCGAUUAGGAAGUGGAAUUAAAUCAUAUGCAGGAGGAUACGGUGUCCGAUAAGAGUAAGUGUUGACUUUGGGUUUUAUCCCAAAUUGGGCUCUCAUCACUUCAACUAUCUUAUCGGCCCAAUAAGCAUCGGCGUCUUGCCGAUGAGGCGGCUGUGGAUCUGGCACCUGCUGAUAUACUUCCACGUGUCUCUGAGGUGCACGAUCUGCAUGGACCAUUGGGUUAACCGUCUGACCACCAAUCUGCUGACCAAGAUUCAUCGGCUGGUUAAUCAACCCUUGAUUCUGAAACCCAGGUUGAAUUUUUCCUUGUUGAAACCCUGGAGCCUGAUGAUUCUGCUGAGGCAUCUGUGGAAAGACUGGCUGUCCUGUCCAUCCAUUAUUAGCAUUCAUCGGCAUAAACCCUACCGAUGGCUGAAGAUUGGGGAUCAUCAUUGAAUUGACAUACCCUGGCUGAGUCCUAAACCUCUACUACGUCGGCAUUGAAUCUGUCGAUGCGUUAGGCAUUUGGAACAUUGGGGCUUGAGAAUUCCCAGUGUUAGGUCUUGUAGUAGUAGUUGUAGUAUACUGGGGACUCUGAUUCAUCGGCAGAUUUGGCGGUGCCGAUGCCAUAGGUGCCUUGCCCGUCAUGUCAGUUGUUUGAGAUAUCCCAGGAGUCUUCAACAUCAUCUCUAGGGGCAUGCCAUAACCCCACCAGUUGGGAGGAACAGAUCCCGACAUUGCCGAUGCCAAUAGAUCUGUCGCAAGCUUGAUCUGCCCGUCAGAUGUUGAUGGAUUGGCCAUUGUUGAUGUAGAUUGCACAUCGAUGAGCCCUAAUGUGCUUGGAGGAGAAGUAGUUUCUACACCCGCAGCAGCUGUUGUAGCCGAUGAAGCUGUGACCACUGGUGACCCUGGCUGAUGAUGAGCAGGACCCACAUAAUUUGGUGGCAAUUGUCCUUCUGUGAAAGUUCUAGCCACGACAUUGAAAACCGUAUUGGACAGCACACCAGCUUGAUUCACCAAGGCACGGUUAAUAGCACUGUCAACCAUAUCUUGAAGUCUUCCAGGAUUGGCUUCAAAAGUAACCUGCCGAGGUGCCAGCAAUGCUUCCUUUUGGAUCACCUCGCCGCUCCUAUUGAUACUGAAGGAUUUCAAGCAUUGCUGCUUGUAGUCCUGCAUGGCUUUUGCAAUAGCUUGCUUCUGCUCAUCUCUGAGCUUGGCUUCCGUCACGGGGAUGACGUUCUCCAAGUCGAACUCGGUAGUCGCCAUGUCGAUCUUGAUCUUGAAUCUAGUCCCACUGGGCGUGCCAAAAGAUGUGUUGAUGCAAAACUGAUCUGCAAACACAAAGGGCUAAUACCCGAUUUAAACGUUAAGGCGUGCCAGCCGAUUUGACCUUACAAUCGGCAAAGGUGGUAACUCGACCACUUUGGUCCCGACAACAGCGAUGCGCCCGGAUGUCACGGCCAAGAGGUGAUCACGCGGAACUUGAGAACGCACCGAGCUUAAGUUGACGAAUUCCUAAGAACUCGUAAUAAAAAGCAAAAUAUGAAGUCGUCAAAAAAGUAGAUACUGGAAUAUGAGUAAAAAAACUUGUGUUUGAUUGAUUGAUCGAUGUCUUAUUACAAGGCCCUAGGGUCUACAUUUAUACCCUGCUCAAAGAGCUACAAUCAGACACGACUAGGACUCAAAUUCCAAAUUAAACAGAAUCCGUAUACAAAACGAAUUUAAACAACUAAGGAAAACAUAAAAGUAUCCCCCUGUAACCGACCGGGACACCACCGCAGACCAACCGACAAUCUCCAUGCUUCCCUUCAGAAUCAUCGGCAGACCCCCUGUUAUGGCUAUCAGCAAACACUAAUACUGAUCAUCGGCACGAGCACAUCACCACCUCUGGACUUAGUCACAUUCAAUUGUCUUUUCAUCAGCAACCACCUUCAUCGGCAACUUCCCUGCAGACUAGUUACUGUUGCUCUAUCUACCGAUCUAUACUUUACCGAUCCCCGGGUACGCGUCCAAAAACGGUGUCAACAGCUUGAUAGUGUCCUCAUAGCUCUCGGCCACUACCACUUUCUUGCCCUUGCAAUCAACACAUUUGCUUGUGCUCUCCACAAGUAAGUCAUCACAAGAUGUGGCUACAUCAAGCUUAGCAACAUGGUUAGUAGCAACAUGUGUUUCAUCAAUUGCAAGUUCAUAAGCUAUCUCAAGGUUGUCAUAGUUUGCUUUUAGAGUUGUAAGUUCUUCUUUCAUUGCUCUAUAUCUAGUGAUAAGCUCAUCAUGAACACUCUCAAGUUUAUCAUGUUUUUCUUUGAGCUCUUUUAGAGAGAGUUUGAGCUCCUUGAGCUUAGUGGUCAUGAUCUCAUUUUGAUCUCUAAGCUCAUCACUAGAUUUAAGCUUUGCGAAAAGUGUUUCAUUUUCAAGUUCAAGCUUUUCAUUUUCACUUCUAGACUUUCUUAUGAUUUUUGUAUAUUUGUUUAGCAAUUUUACAAGUUCAUCAUAAGAAGGUGAUUCGUAUUCACUAUGUACCUUCCGGUCACCUUUAGCCAUGAGGCAUAGGUGUGUAGAGGAUGUAGAUGGUGGUGAAGAUAAUGGUGAUGGAGCAUCGAUGGCAAUGGCGGCAAUCUUCUCAUCAUCACUCUCAUUGCCGGAGGAGUCACCACUUGAGCUCUCAAUGUCGGUGAGCCAAUCACCAACAAUGUAGGCCUUGCCAUUCUUCUUCUUGUGGUACUCCUUCUUCUUGCCACCUUUCUUCUUGUAUGACUUCUUGUCAUUCUUCUCAACAUCGCUUGAAUCAUCUUGCUCUUUGUUUUUCUUCUUGUACUUGUCCUUCUUGGGCUUGGGACAUUGGUGAGCAAGAUGACCAAGUUCCCCACAAUUGUAGCAAUCCAUCUUGGAGAUGGGCUUCCUCUUGCUACUUGUGAAGAACUUCUUCUUCUUCUUGGAGUCCAAGUUGACUCCAUUCUUGUUGAGCUUCUUCUACAUCUUAGUGGUUCUUCUCACCAAGAGGGCAAUGGAUGCAUCAUCAUCACUUGAAGUUGAUGACUCAACUUCAAUCUUCUUGGCUUUGCCCUUGUGAGAAGCUUUGAGGGCCAAGUCCUUCUUCUCCUUCUUGGCCAAUGAGGAGCCAUCUUGAGGGUUCAUGUGCAUAUACAUCUCAUGAGCAUUGAUCUUCACCAAUAUAGCGGUUGGUGUAGCGGUGGAGAGAUCGCCUUGAUGAAGCAUGGUUACUAUGUGCCCAUAUUUCUCAAUGGGAAGUACACAUAGUAUCUUCCUUGCGACAUCCGCCGCACUCAUUUGAGUGAGCCCAAGUCCAUUAAGCUCCUCUACAAUCACAUUCAAGCGAGAAUACAUUUUAUUAGCAUUUUCUUUGGGAAGCAUUUCAAAUGUAUUAAGCUUGUUCAUCACUAAGUGAUAGCGUUCCUCGCGUUCACUCUUGGAUCCCUCAUGGAGCGCACAAAGUUCCUUCCAUAGAGCAUGGGCGGUUUUGUGGUUCCGAACGCGGAUGAACACCUCUUUGCAAAGACCUCUAAAGAUGUGGUUUUUGGCCUUUGCAUUCCACUUCUUGUUCUCUUGUUCUUGUGGAGUAAGAACGGCGUAUUUUGCUGGAGGGGUAAACCCUUCGGUCGCGGCUUUUAGGCACUUUGAGUCACAUGCCUCAAGGUAUGACUCCAUCCGUAUUUUCCAAUACAGGAAGUCAUCCCCAUCGAACAUGGGUGGCGGUCCAUCCCCGUUAGACAUCUUUCUCUAGGCGGUGAAGCCUAAAUAAUGAGCACUAGGCUCCGAUACCAAUUGAAAGGAUCAAGAUGCCCAAGAGGGGGGUGAAUUGGGCUUCUCUAAAAAUUUAAGCAACCUAUAAGCUCUAAUUCAACCCCUUGUGCCUAGUGUGACUAGAGAGCUACCGGAUAAAAGUUUUGCAACCUAGUUCCAAUCCUAUUCUAGCAUGGUAAUUCUAAGAAUGUAAAAACACAAAGUAAAUGCUAGAAAGUAAAGGAGUAGUGGAAGAAAGUGCUCGGCGAUGUUUUGCCGAGGUAUCAAAGAGUCGCCACUCUCCACUAGUCCUCGUUGGAGCACCUGCGCAAGGGUCUUGCUCCCCUUUGGUCCGUGCAAGGACCAAGUGCUCUCUACGGGCUGAUUCUUCGACACUCCAUCGCGGUGAAUCGCCCAGAACCGCUCACAAGCUUGACACGAGCCACCCACAAGAACUCUGGGCGGUAUUCGUGCCUCCAAACACCACCGAACUGUCUAGGUGAUGGCGAUCACUAAGAGUAACAAGCCAAGAACUCUCACUUGACCCAAACAAGGCACUAGAGAGUGGUGGAUGCACACUUGACUCUUGGAAUUCAACUAGAGAAGGAUUCUCUCAAGAAAUCACUCAAAUCUCUAUCCUCUCUAGGCUCUUGCUUCUCUCUUGCUCCACAACAAAUUUCUCAGAUGUUCAAAUGGGAAAGAGACCUCUCAUGGAUGAGGUGGAGGAGUAUAAAUACACCUCACGAAGUCCAAAGGUCAGCCAACCGUUUUCCACUGAAAAUGGGGUCACUGGACGCUGUUGAUGUUGCACCGGACGCUCUGCACCGAGCGUCCGGUGAUACUUCAACGACUAACUGUACUGACUCUGACAGGUCACUGGACGCUACUUUCCAGCAUCCGGUGGCACCGUCCGGUGCUCCAGGGAGUUUUACAAACUCCCUGAGUUUAAGACCGGACGCUACCCGGUGCGUUCGGUGCUAGCAUCCGGUGCUCGGGGCAGGUUUACAACCUCCCUGGGUAUGGGACCGGACGCUGCCUGAUGAGUCCGGUGCCAGCGUCCGGUGCCUAACCCUAAGCACCGAAACCUCCCAACAGCUAAGGACCUCACCAGACGCACUCACAGAGCGUCCGGUGCCUACUUAGGCACCGUAACUUCGUCGAAACGCGAUCGUUCCAAAACGAAGUUGGUUCCUCUUGAUCUAAGGACUAACUCUGAGCUGCCUAGUGCUAGGUUUACCAAGUGUGCACCACACGUAAACCUAAAGCCUUGCCUAAGUCAAGCUACUAGAUCAAAGCCCCUCUUAAUAGUACGGUCAAUGGAAAACAAAGUCCUAAAGUACUCUAAGUGCCCUUCUUCACCAUAUGGCACUUAGACCUAGUUUAGUCUUGACGAUAUCCAUCCAUCCUUUGAAAACCGAAACGAUUUCCACUAUUAAGUAGGCAUGUACGUCCCUGUUCAUCGAGUACCUAUUACCAUGACCUCACUCGUGACUUUGCCUCUGCAAAACACACGUUAGUCAUAGUAAUCAACAUUGUCAUUAAUCACCGAAAUCAUUAGGGGCCUAGAUGCUCUUUCAAAUGGAAAAGGUGCAUAUAAUUUACUACUGGGGAGAGAUUGGAUUCAUGCCAAUUGUUGUAUUCCUUCUACAAUGCAUCAAUGCCUUGUUCAGUGGGUAGGUGACAAGAUUGAGAUUGUCCCGGGAGAUUCUUCAUAUGUCAUUGCAUCGGUAGAAUCAGACAUCUAUGAGCGGACUAGAUGCAUAUGAGGAGAGGUUUGGGAGAAAGAUUUCCUCAAGGUUGCCGAUUAUGAAAUUCCAUCGAUCUAAGCAGUCGGUUUCGAUGAAGAGUUUUAAUGGAUAGGUUCGACGAUGAUGGAAAUUUAGGACAGGGGUUUACAUCGGCUGAUGAUUUAAUAGAAGUAGAUAUAGAAAGUGGUGAUAGGCCUAGGCCUACUUUUAUUAGUGCUAUGUUAAAUUUUGAAUGUAAGCAGCAAUUAACUGAUUUGUUGAAGGAAUAUAAAGAUUGCUUUGCUUGGGAUUAUACCGAGAUGCCUGGUUUAGACUGAUCUGUUGUUGAACAUCGGUUGCCUAUUAAGUCUGGAUUUAGGCCACAUUAGCAACCAGCAUACUGAUGUAAUCCUAAUAUUCUUCCUCAUAUUAAGGCUGAAAUAACCAAACUCAUUGAAGCCAAGUUUAUUCGGCAAUGUCGGUAUGUCGAAUGGAUUUCUAAUGUUGUUCCUGUCUACAAAAAGAAUGGAAAGCUUUGGGUUUGCAUCGACUUUAGGAAUCUCAAUAAAGCUACGCUGAUAGAUGGUUAUCCAAUGCUAGUUGCCGAUUUGUUGGUUGAUGCUGCGGCUGGACAUCAAAUUAUUAGUUUUAUGGAUGACAUUGCAAGGUACAAUCAAAUAUUCAUGGCUGAGGAAGAUAUUCCCAAAACUGCAUUUAGAUGUCCUGGCCAUGUUGGGUUGUUUGAGUGGAUAGUCAUGACUUUUGGCUUGAAGAAUGCUGGCGCUACUUAUCAAAGGGCCAUGAAUUUUAUUUUUCAUGAAUUCAUCGGCAAGUUGGUGGAAAUCUAUAUUGAUGAUGUGGUGGUUGACUCUAGAGAUUUCAUAAAACAUCUAGCCGAUUUGCGAAAAGUGCUGGAGUGCACAAGGAAGCAUGGUUUGAAGAUAAACCCUAAUAAAUGUGCAUUUGGUGUAUCGAUAGGUCAGUUUCUGGGUUUCAUGGUGCAUCAAAGGGGGAUUGAGAUUAGCAGAAGAUCCAUUGAUGCAAUCGGCAAAGUAGUUGCUCCUACCAAUAAAACUGAACUUCAGUCCUUGGUCGGCAAGAUUAAUUUUAUCAGACGAUUUAUAUCCAAUUUGUCGGGUAAGAUCCGAGCUUUCAGCCCUUUGCUUAAAUUGAAAGCCGAUUAGGAGUUUGUGUGGGGAAAAGAGCAACAGCUGGCCUUGGAUGAAAUUAAGUGUUAUUUGGCGAAUCCUCCAAUCUUGGUUCUACCUCAGCAUGGAAAGCCUUUCAGAUUAUAUUUAUCUACCGAUGAUGCAGUCAUCGGUUCAGCUCUCAUUCAAGAAUUUGAAGGGAAAGAACAUGUAAUUUACUAUCUGAGUAGAAGAUUUGUGGAUGCUGAGACAAGGUAUUCGGCCAUCGAGAAAUUGUGCCUGUGCUUGUACUUUUCUUGUAUCAAGUUAAGACACUAUUUGCUAUCGGCCGAAUGUACUAUUAUAUGCAAGGAUGAUGUAGUCAGAUACAUGUUGUCGAUGUCGAUUAUGAGUGGUAGAAUUGGCAAAUGGAUACUAGCAUUAUCAGAAUUUGACCUACGUUAUGAAUCGGCUAAAGCAGUUAUGGGGCAAGUUAUGGCCGAUUUUGUUACUCAGCAUUGUGGUGUGGUGGAUGCUUUGAAGAUUGUUCCUUGGACACUCUUCUUUGAUGGAUCUACAUGUGAUCGAGGGGUAGAUAUCGGUAUAGUGUUGAUUUCUCCUCGAGGAAAGAAAUAUGAAUUCUCUUUACCGAUCGUUGCUACAUCGAUGAAUAAUCAAGCUGAGUACCAAGACCUAGUCAAAGGGUUAGAAUUAUUAAAAGAGGCUCGCGCUGAUGCUGUCGAAAUCUUUGGUGAUUCUAUGCUUGUUAUAAAUCAGUUGGCUAGGAGUUAUGAAUGCUAAAGUGAAGUUUUGAUAGCAUAUUAUGAAAGGUGUGUACAAUUAUUAAAGGGAUUCAGGGAUUUCCGAUUAGAGCAUAUUCCCUAGUUGCAUAAUGAAGAAGCUAACUGGUUCGCUCAACACGCCUUGGGAUAUAAACCCAUCUUAGAAGUAUUAUCGGCAAUCACUACCGAUGAUUGGAGAAAAAAAAUUAAUGAUUAUUUGAAAGAUCCAUCUAAGAAAGUUGAGAGACGUGUUAGAUUUCAAUCUACAAAGUAUGUGCUUCUUGAUGAGGAAUUAUAUUAUCGUACAGUAGAUGGAGUUUUGCUUAGGUGUUUAAGUGUUGAUGAGUCCAAAAGCUUGAUGGGUGAAAUUCAUGAGGGAGUAUGUGGAGCACAUCAAUCAACUUUUAAAAUGAAAUGGAUGAUUAGAAGGAACAUAUAUUAUUGGCCGACUAUCCUUGAAGAUUGUUUCAAGUAUUUCAAAGGGUGUCAAGGAUGUCAGAAGUUUGGCAAUAUUCAAAGGGUGCCCGCAUCAGCUAUGAAUCCUAUUAUUAAACCUUGGCUGUUUCGGGGUUGGGCUAUUGAUCUCAUCGGUCAAAUUUAUCCGCCAUCCAGUAAAGGGCAUAAGUUUAUCCUUGUUGCCACUGAUUAUUUCACUAAGUGGGUUGAGGCUAUUCCUUUGAAGAAAGUGACAUCGACCAACAUGAUUGAUUUUGUAAAGGAGCAUAUUGUUUACCGAUUUGGUAUUCCCCAAACAAUCACUACCGAUCAAGGCACUAUGUUUACGUCAGGGGAGUUUGAUGAAUUUGCUAUCGGUAUGGGGAUUAAAAUGUUGAAUUCUUCCCCUUACUAUGCUCAAGCUAAUGGACAGGCCGAAGCUUCCAAUAGUGGAAUUAUUAAGCUCAUUAAGCAGAAGAUUGAGGAAAAUCUCAGACGAUGGCAUACUCUGUUAAAUGAAGCCUUAUGGUCAUAUUGGAUGGCAUGUCAUGGUUCAACCAAGGUGUCACCUUAUCAACUAGUGUAUGGACAUGAUGCAAUACUACCUUGGGAGAUUAAAACUGGUUCCAGGCGAAUGCUUUCUCAGGAUCACUUAACUGCCGAUGACUAUGCUACUCUGAUGAAAGAUGAGUUGGAUGACUUGGCAGGGCAUCAGUUAAAAGCUUUAAUUAACAUAGAAGAGAAUAAAAAUAGAGUGCCUAGGUGGUAUGAUAAAAAGGUAAAGACCAAGGAAUUUGCUGAUGGGGAUUUGGUUUGGAAGUUGAUUCUACCGAUUGGGACUAAAAGUUCAAAAUUUGGAAAAUGGUCUCCUAAUUGGGAAGGUCCUUAUCGGAUAAGUCGAUCCGCCCCUAGCAAUGCUUAUAUUUUAGAAACUCUUGAAGGGGUUGAAUUUCCCAGAGCAUUGAAUGGGAAAUAUUUAAAGAAAUACUACCCUAGUAUCCUGAUCGAUGCAUAAUAGUUUAAGUGCCGAUAACAAUCCUAUCGGCUGGACAAAAUAUCAAUGUAUCUAAGACCGUGCAUAAAUAGUUUAAGUGCCAGUAACAGUCCUAUCGGCUGGAUCAAAUGACUGAAGUUUUAAGAAGACUACCCAUGCUACCAAUGAAAGAGUUUAUAAAUUCAGCAAGGCUCGGAUGGCCGAUGUUGCACACAGGCGAAUCUAGUUGGCCUCUUCUAUCUCUCGGGUAUCUUCAUCGGCGGAACCUUGCACUGGCUUUAGCUUCUUCUUCAUUUGUAGCGCCUUGCAAGCUUGGGCAUCCCUUUCUUGCUGGAGAUUCUUGAGUGCAUCGGGCAGUUGACUUUCCUCCUGUUUGGCUUGGGUCAAAGCUUCCUCCACUUGUUUGAGUUCAACAAGCAAGGCUUCUCUUCUUGCCGAUAGAUUGGAGAUUUUCUAUUUUAGUCCAACACCUAAAGUUUGCAAAGCGCUGAUGCUUUUGUGCUUCUCAUCGGCAGCACGCUUCACUUGCAGCAUCUCCUCUUUAAGUUGAGCAUGAGUGGCUCUAUUAGCAAGGUGUUGAAUGGCCUUCUGGUACUGAAGUUGGUGGCUCUCUAGGUGGGCAGCUUGAAAGAGAAUUUCUUCAGCAUCGACAGGGAUCUGACCACGAAGAGCCUUGAAGAUAGCUUUGGCUGGAUCGGAAUCAUCGACUAGCUGGGCUGUGUCCUGCUGCAACAGAGCCAGAAAUCUUCUAGCUUGGACUUGACUUCUGCCGAUGCAAUUCCAAGUGCCAUUGAAGAGCUUGCCUCUUCACCAUCGUCAUCAGAAAUGUCGAUGGCAAAGGAGAACAAGCUAUCAGGAGAGUCUUGUUCCUGGAAGCAAGGGAGAGUGAGUUGCACGGCAUAGGAUACCGAUGAUAUAAAAUCUAAUGAAUUGGGUGACUUACUUGUUUUAGAGCAAUCUCUUGUAUCUGGUGUGGAGAUGGAGCUUGCGCUAUAAUUUGACCGGCUGGAGCUGCUGAUGGAGUAUCCUCAACUAAAAAUUACCAAGAGUGAUGAUGGUACUUAUAAAAAUCAUUGGUAAUAAUUUUGUGAUCGAUAUCUUACCUUGAGGAGGGAUAGCAACUGUUUGCUCAGGGGAAACGGUCGAUGAUGUGCCCAGAUCGACUAGGUCGGUGAUCUGUUCAAAUACAUCAGCUGGGUCUACUUGCGUCUGGGGCACUGAUUGAGGAGGAGAAGGUGCUGCUUGGAUCUAGGGUGCUGGAUGAGGUGGAGAAGAUAGUGGUGUCUUUUGCCGCUUUGGCUGGGUCUUGGUGCUUUUUGGGGCUUUCCUCUUGGGUGGAGCUUGACCAGACUGGGGGGCAUCGACACCCGAAGAUUGAGUGCUUUUGGUCUUUGCCGCUGCGCCGGUCUGCUGUCACAAAAAUCGAAGUUUUAUGGGUUAGAUAUAAAAGUAGAGAGAUAUUGCUGGGAUUUGAGAGAAUAAAGUGCUUGGUACAAGACAAAGUUACUGAUGACGUUCCAAUCGUAGCUGAUGCACCCUGAAAGAAUAAUGUGAAUAUGAGAUGAAAUCGGCAUAAUAAAAGGAAAAUUUGAAGAUUUUACCUUAAAGGCCUGAGCCAGUGUCGCGGCAGCUACCGAUGGGGAUGUUUUUGACCGUUUGGUGGUCUUCUUGAAGCGAAUGUUUCGGUGCAUCAGAACUGCUAAGCUCGAGGCGUUGUGACCGAUCAGAGAGACUGGACCUGAUGGGAGAAGGUCAAUCGGCCUCCCACUUCUACUUACUAUUGGUGCUGGGUCGUCAACCUGUUAAAAUAAAAGGGGGUAAGUUACCGAUCAAGUUAAAGUUAAACAAAAGGACUGAAGUAUCGUGAAGGGACUUACAACGUCAUCGGGGACUUUGUGCUCGGGAUCGACCAUGUUGCGGUACAUGUGAGCCGAUACCUUGAACAGAUGUUGUUUCCAUUUUUUUUCCCAUCACUGUUUUGUAUGACUGAGUGAUGAAAAGGGAUGGAACCCAAGCCGAUAGAUCAAUAUCUAUUGUAUCAGCAUCUGGCUGGAGCUGAGCUAUUCUGAUCCACUCAAGUCCACUUGUUAUUACCUCCCUUGGCUUAACCACAUCGGCAUAACAAAGUUUAAUCGGUAGCUUACCAAAUGCCAUCUGACGAGCUAGUGCCAAUGGGUUGUAGAACUCAUAGGUUGUGUUGGUGUUCUUUCCGCUACCCAAGUUGUUUACUAGGAUUUCUCUUCGGGUAAUGUGCCAUCAUCAGAUCAUUGUCCUUGUUAAGAGCGUCAUCGGUAGGAUGGAAAGUGAGUGGGAAUCUAGACUCUGCAUCUUCGUAGGGCAUCCAGGCUUGUUGAUCUUUGGAAAGGACAUCAUAUAGUGUUUGAAAGAAUCGACUGAUCUAGUUCUCAUUUGCAUCGGUACCAGGGCGAACUAUGAUGGCUUCGCCAUAAUUGAGGGGCGAGCGUGUUGCCGAUUCAUCCUCUGCUAGUUCAUCAUCCUCGGCAAUAUCUCAUGGGAACCACUGUGUGAAGAAUCCCACCGAAGGCGCUUAUGCAUAUGAGCGUUGGGCCACAUGUUAAUAAAUCACCAAGGACCUCCUAGGUUGCCGAUGGGUUAACCUAGUAGGAGUUUCUCGGCUACUUAGUGGAGGAGGUGAUAGACAGAACCAAGCAGAUGUCGGCCAAGGGGGAAUUGGUUACCAUUAGCUAGUCGCUCUGCUGCCGAUAAGUAGCCACAGAAGAUGAAUUUGUCUAACCACAUAUUCAGAAAGAUGGCGUGCUCUCUGUGGCCGACCGAUCUAGUUUGCCGAUAUUUCUGGACAUAUCCUGACCAACCGCCGAUGUUACGAGUUUCUACCUUAUAUUCAGAUUUGUGGUUGAAGAUACCACCGUCAUCAGCAAGGAUGAUGUCCAAGCCAAUAAGCAUAACAAUAUCAACAAGUGUGGGGGAAGCUGGGCCGUGUCCAAAAAUGAAGGCGUUGAAGGUAUAUGACCAGAAGUAUGAGGUUGCUAUCAUCAUUGAUUCAUUCUUUUCCAUAUCGGCAAUGGAAAGCCUGACGCAUUGGUCCAGUUUGCGUUCACCCCAGUAUACUUCGUUUGUCUUACUGACUCUCAGAAACCAGUCUUUCCAUCCCUUAGUGGGUUUUGGCCAGGAUCGGAAAGUAUCAUUCCAUAGAUCUAAGGAAAAGUUCUCGGCUCUAAAAGUAAUCCUAUUAGUUUCUGCAUUAAUUAGAUCGGUGGGGUCUGGAUUACCCAUUGGGUCGAGACAUUGGAGCUGGGGUUGUUCAGUAGGAAUAACAAUUUUUUCACUCAGAUCCUAGUGUUUGGAGAUCAAAAGAACAUGAAAAAUGGGAAGAAAAUGCUAAGUAAAUAAAGUUGCAGAAAGGAAAGAGUUGCAGUAAAAGAAAGGAGAGAUGGGGGUGGAUUAACCUCAGGAACAAUAAAGUUGAUAGCCAUUUCCUGCUGAAGAGAAGAAGAAACCGAAUAUUUGAAGACUCUAGGAGGGCUUUGCUGUAGGAGAGCUUUUCCACUGCUGAGGUCCUUGAGCUCUUCGUCAAUGUCACCGCCGUGAAGGUGAGCUUGGGGAUGGAGAAUGGCAUGGUAAAGAAUGAAUACUAGGGAAGGAGGUAUUUAUAGGUUGAAAUGAGCAGGGGCAUUUUUGACUUAUCUCUUUGCCGUAUCCGUGAAGUUCGAGGUUGUUCAAAUGGAUAUAGUAACUGUUAGCGCGAUAAUCAAGGGAUGGUACAGGUGAUUUGACAGCAAGUAAUCAUGAUUUUAGGAGAUAUUCCACUGUACAUGAUCUUUUGGUUGGUCCAUCGGCAGUCAACCCUAACAGAACGGUUGUCGAUGAGCGUGUUUUUAUGAGUUUCAGUUCGGAUGGUUAAGGAUGUGAGAUAUUCACUAGGAUAUGGAAGUCAGAAUUGAGGUUGUUUAGGAUUUGGUAAUUAAUUGUUACCAGAAGGAAAUAAUUAUGAAAAGGUCGUCAUCAAGAGAUAAUUUCAGAGCAUUAAUGAUUUCAUACUCCGAAAUUGGGGGGCAUGUGUUGACACCGGUUUUGGGCACAAGUCGGGAUGGUCAGAGAAACUUGAUCGAUAGUCAAGGAGGUGCUGUAUCUAGCUGAUAAAAAGAUUAACGAUAGUUGAUGAUGCCGAUGACGGGAUGAUGGAUGGAAGAUGAUGCUAAGCUUGACGGUAGCCGAUGAUCAUUGCUGAUUGAUUACCGAUCUUAGUGAUUACCAAUGCCGAUGAAGAAAGGUAUGUCGAUGAUGAUGAAAGGAUACAGGGAGCAUGUCGAUGGUAAUGGAGAAAGAUGGCGAUGGUGAUGUGCCGAUCACCAGGAUAGGUAGGUGGUUAUUUUCCAUAUUUGUUAGAGUUUCCUUUGUGUAGGAGUCCUGUUUGGUUUAGAAUUAAAUCCUAGUCAUAUACGGUUGUAAUUCUUUAGAAUAGAGUAUAAAUAUGGGCCUAGUAGCAAUGUAAGAAGACAAUUGUAACAUCCCCGAUGUUACAGUUAUUAAAACUGGAUCAUGUCAUCAUGAGCAUUGCAUCGCAUAUUGAUUAAGCACCAUUUGAUGCAUCAAAUUAAAACAAGUUUACUUUGAUUGCUUGUGCUUAGGGAAUUAAAGUGUGUUUGCCAGGUGUAUUGAAGCUAGUGUGGUUGUGAAAUUCCUAGGGUGGAAGGUUUCCGAGAAAAUAGGGGGGAAAAACCCUGAUUUUAGAACCCUAGAUUUGCCCCCUUUUGCACAAUUUAAAAACCAAGAAAAAUUUGAGGUUGAGUUCAAAAGCAAAGUUGUAGAUCUUGUCAAGAUGUACAACUUUGGUGUUCUGAGUUUUUGAAGUUUCAAUACAAAAUUCAAAGUAAUUUUGAAAAUACAGAUUUCUAGAAAGUGUCCCCCUUUCCAAUUUGAAUCCCCAAUUCAAAAUCUAUUUGGAAUCUUGAAAAGUGACCAACAUGAAAGUUGUAGAGCUCAACAAAAGGAACAACUUUGAUUUUGGGAAUGUUUCAAGUUAUUGAGAAAAAUCAAAAGUAAUUUUAGAAUUUCUAAUCUGCCCCAAUUCAAAAUUGGAAUUUCCCCAAUUUGAGAUUUGAAAUUCAAACUGUUUUGCUAAAUUCAAGCUCUUCCACUCAGAAUUAGUUUUGGGCACUUAAAGAUGUUUUGUAGCUUGUAAAAUUCUGCACAACUUUCAUUUUGGUGAAAAUUUGGCUCCAGUUCAACUUUUGGGAGAAUUUUGCAAAACAACAAAAUAAUUGGAUAUGGCUUGCUACAGUGCUCGAGCAGGGGGGAUGCACUGCCGCCGGGGCAGAGCUGCUGCGUCCAGCGCCGCCACGCACCUGGCCACACAGCUGCUUGCUUGCUGGGCGUCGCCCUGGCGUCCUCAUCCGCAGCAAGCACUUCGUCGCGUGGAUAAAACCCCGAGCCGCCGUGGAAAAACUUCCUCUCCCUCUGAACUCCGACAGCGACAAGCUCACUGCGCUCUCGAAAUUCGUCUUCCUCGCUCCCUUGCAAGCCACCAGAGACCCCCCAGCAGCUCCGCCCUGAACCCAGCCACCGUUUGUGUAACACCCCAGUGUUAUGGUUGCAUCAAACAUGUGCAUAGCAUGAGCAUCAUCAUUUAUUCAAAGCAUCCAUGAUCAUCAUCUAUCUUGAGACAUGUCAUUCUUUGCAAAAAUGUGUUUUAAAUUGCUUAAAUAGGCUUCCUAUGCUUAUGUUUGAGUGAACAAUGCUUGUGUUUGUGCUUAAUGCCUUGGUAAAUAGCUUAUCUAUGCUUAACUUAACCUUGGGAACAAUGUUCAUGUUGAUCACUUCUCCAAAAUAAUCACUUAAGUCAUACUUAUGCAAAUAGGCCCUAGAAACCUCUUUUGCUUAGGCUUUUAAAAAGUGUUUCAUAAAAUGUUUGCAUGUCAAAACUUCCUACAGCAAAGUUGUAGCAAAUUUUAUAAGGAACAAAAGUUGUUUUAUGGCCAUCUCAUGAAAAUGAUCACAAAUAGCUCAAAAGUGGCCCACAAGGCAGAUUUGGGGCUGUUUUCAACACUUAGAAAAUUUUCUAAGUCCUGGGUGCUUCGCAGUUUGCUCGAUCGAUUUUGGAAACUCUAUAUCUUUCAAUCCAGGCCGAUCUGGCCUUUGCUCUAGUUGACAAAGUUGUAGAUCUCGCCUAGUACUCCAAGUUUGUCAACUACGCCAUCUCCUAAUUCGCUCUGGUUUGGGAGAUAAUCACCGGUGAAGUCGCUCUGUCAGUCGGCCAAUGCUCUGCCUGAAUCGUUUUGGACCUCGCCGACGUGGCCGACCGGCGGCAGCACAACGGCGACAAUUGGCACCCGUACGCCGUUCCUGGCCCCGCCUGUCAGCCCUCAUCGCGUGCAUGACCUCCACGGCGUCGCCCGCGCAGAGUGGACGCGUCCACUUCGCUCCUCCUCGCCUCCACUCGCCUGAACCUCGCCCGCAGCGAGCUCUCCGCCGCGAGCUCACUCCGGCGAGCUCGUGUGCGCUCCUCUCUGCGUCUCCGUCCACCAAACUCCACCCAAAGCUCCGCCGUGAGCCGCUCUCCAAGCUCCACCCUCUAACUCGCCGAGAAACCCACCGGUGAGCCGACAUUUCUUUCUUCCCCCAAAUCGGUCCGCCGUGACCAUCUUCUCCGGCGAACUCAAUGCCGAGCGCUGUGAGGCUUCUCAUCGUCUUUGGUUAGGUCCUAGAGGUAGCUUAGGUCAUUAGCGAGCUUUUGCACCACCUGGUGGACGCUCUACCGGGUUCUCCGUCGCCGGACACGGUGCGCAGCGCCGCCGUGCUUCCGCCGGAGUUGGGUGCUCUCGUGGCCAGCGCUUUCCACGGGGAUCCAGGCCAAGCCGCGUACCUAGGAAGCUUCGCCCUAGUCUGCUGGUGCUGUAGAAGGCCUUAGGUCACGCUCUACCGGCCUGAGGACUCCGGCGUAACGCCGAGCACCUCCGCCGAGCCGCCAUUGCCGACGGUGAGCCCCUUCCGGUGGCUCCGCCGCGGCAAAAGUGGGGUCAAUCGAGUCGUUAGGGUUUGGGGAUCACGUUGAUGCCCUGGGUUUGGCCGGAGACCUCGCCGUCGCGGAGAAAUCGCCGGCGAAAGUCGCCUCGGCCGUGAGGAAGAAGAGCCUGACGGGUGGGACCCACUGUCAGCGUCUCUCUUUCCCUCCUUUUCUUUUAUUCAAAAUCCUGAUUUUGGCUUUCUUGCAAAAAUCAUAUCUCCUGUUUCUGAGAUCCAAAAAUUGUAAAACAAAUUUUGUGUUGUUUCUUGAGAUGGCUAGUAUUUAAUAAAAAUAUAAAAUGAAUCAUGUUUUCUGAGAAAUUAUUUAUUAAGAAUUUAAUCUUGUUAUUUAUGGAUAAAUGCAUAUCUCUGGUUUUACUGAUUAGUUUGCUCUGAAAAUUUUAUGGUGGCCUUUGCAUGGCAUUAGCGUGCUCUGAUAAUUAUUUCAUGAUUUUUGGAGCACUGCAGUUGUGAUAUGUAAUUUGUGUUUGAAAUAGGGCUUGUUUCUUUGAUUAAAUCACAUAAAAUAAUUGGUGCUUAUGCUGGUGCUCUAUUUUGGUGGUAAACUUGUUUAUGGUAUUCCUAAGAUAUAAAUAAUCUGAAAUCUGUUGUUUGACACUAUAUAAGUCAUGUCUAUGAAUUUAUGAAAUAAAUGCCUUGAUACAUGUUAAAUGCAUAUCUUUAAUUUGGCAUGUGCAUUGGUCCUGAAAUUUUUAUGGUGGUAAUCUGAGGUUAUACUUGUGCCUCUGUAAUUUUUGUAGAUUUUUCUGAGCACUUUAACUAAUAUCUUGUAAAUAUGCCUUAUCUAAAAUUAAUUAAUAAAUGCCUUGUUAAGUAAUUGUUUUGGGGUUUUCAACUGAUGAUCUGGUGACCUUGUAAUAUGUUUGUGCUCAUGAGUCAUAUGAUUGGCAUAGUUUGUGUUUUGAUCAUGUCUUUAAAUAAUUAACUAUAGGGUUAAAUGCUGUUCUGGACAGCAAGUGAGUAAUUUAACUUUGCUUAAUGAUAACUUGACUUUCUGUGAAACUUGUAUAAAACAAAGUUGUUUUAAACUUGUUGAACUAACUGUGGUUUAAAUUUGAGGUCAUUUGGCCAAGUAGUUUAAAAGUUAUAGCUGUUCCAAGUUGGGUUCCAGAAAUAGUGGUUCUCUGUUUUUCUGGGACAGAACCUGGAACUUUGUUAAAAUGACUAGUUUAAUGUUUGAAUCUUGCUGUCAUGUUUAAAGAUGAGUUGUAGACAAUUUCCUAAGCUUUCCAGAAUGUCCUUACUCAUGUUUGUUGGACCUGUCUAUCUAUACUUAUGAUUUAUUUACUGAGCAUACUUGUUUUGUGUCGUUUGCUGCUUUGGUGCCAUGAUAGGUUUUGGGUUAUGUUAACUUGUUUAUUCAUGUGAGUUAGUAUAACUCUUGCUCCGUAAAUGAGUGUCCAGUGAGUUGCUUGUGUUAUUAAGCAUUCAUCUGUAGCAUGUGCACCUUCUCAUUCAUCGAGCAUGCAAUAGGUGCACCGGACGUGGCAGUUUCCUUCGAGCUCCAAGCGAACCCCGAAGGCCAGGAAGGCAGCCAGGAGGUGGAGGUCCAGCAAGCCGGACUCGAGGAGCCCGAAGAAGAAGUUGAGUGCCCGAAUCACGAGCCGGCAUCGUUUGUGAAAGGCAAGCCCCGGAGCAUUCUAAGCCUCCUCUAUUUUCGAAAGUUUACUUAAUACGUUAUAUCUAUUGAUGCAUUACGUAUAGGAGUUGUGAUGAAACUAUUGCUGCAUUCUACUCUAUCCUUGUCCAGAUAACUCACCCUCCCUGGUUGUAGAGUUAGGUUCGAGUAGCAGCUUAGUUAUGCUUUAAUCGGUAGAAGUCGGGUGAUAUCCUGUCAUCCGCGCGAUAUAGGGUUGUGUCGGGUCACGAUGGUCUAUAUGUGCUAUCGUGGAUGGAACCUGGUUAAAUUGACUUAAGCCGGGCGGAGUUUUGCAAGUAUGUAGUAACUCCGUCUGUGGCAGCUAAGGACCGAUCGUUGUACGUCCUCUUGUCAUGUUGAACGCAUGCCUGACACUUAGUUGGCCGGAUAACUCGUUCCGACCGCGAAGCCGAGUAGUAUGACUCAGGCCGGAAGACCGGCAAGUAUAAAGUGCGCACUACCGGAGGAAGUGCGGUGUGCGGGGGACCAUUGGCGUAUGUCCAAAGGCAGGUGAGUUAAAAUUCCUGACCUCCCUGGCAGAGUGGUAGCCCUGGGAGUGCGGCGCUGAUCGGAGCCGCGAUUCCUGAGUUGUACCAAAGGUGACCCGUUGGCUCUCCGGCAGGGGAUGCCUGGGUGAGUGCUAGGAAUAAUCCUCCAGCUGGAUAGGAAUUCGAUUCGAAUCGCCGUCUCUCCCGGUUAGUGAGAACUUGACAGAGCAGCGGCAAACGUAGCAUUCACUAAUGGACUUGGUUCAUGAUAAUGAUGAUAGCAAGAAGAACAUAUGAUGAAUUUGGUAUGGUUAUUAUUGUUUGUAAUAAUCAAAUGAUGUGUUGUAGUACAGGUGCUAAUCUAGUGGUAGGCUGAUGAUAAAUAAAUUUGAUGCUCUUAAAAUGAUUUAGUUGUAAGUUAAGCUUUUGGCAAAAGGUGAGUCAACCAGCUCCACUUAAAAUUCAGCCUUGCAUGAUCCUUGGUGUCUUUUGUGUUUUACUAGACGGGUAAGUCUAGCUGAGUACAUCCUCGUACUCAGGGUUUAUUCCCACCUGUUGCAGAUGAUAUCUUCUAUGACGGUUUCUGCAAGACCUGUCUCCAUCCCGCUGGGGAUGAGGACUAACCGUUGGGCACGGUUCUCUACUCUUCUCGUCUAUGAUGCUUUUGGAAGGAUGACCUAGACUCUGGCAGUAACAAACUUGCGAACUGAACUUUGAACAAGUGUGUGUAAUUAUUUUGCUUCCGCUACUUCGAACAAGUGUUGUAAUAACUUAAUACUCCGAUGUGGUGCCGCUUCGACGGCAAUGAAUGACUAUGUAACAUUCGUUGUGUUUAUGUUGAACUAUUACGAUCUUGGUUUGUUGCGAGUUGGUUUGAAGUCCUUCGUGAUUUCGAUUGACUACCGGGAUUAUAUGGGCUCAAGUUUAGAAACUUGAUUGUUUGACGAUCGUUUCUGCACUUGAACUCUUAUAAUUUGGUCGGUUCUGUGACAGUUUGCGCCCCCGAGCGCAAGCUCUAACCUGUCGUAGCUCCAACCCGAGCCACUCCUCUCCAAGUCCGGCCGAAGCGCCGUCGUGGGUAUUUCACCGCGGCCAGACCUGCUCCGAGCCUCCCCACCGCCGCUUCUUGCUCCGUUGAAGUCGCGGUGAGCCCCUGAAGCUUAUGCGCUGGUUGGUCCACGUUCUACCCGCUUGUGGAGGUCGGUGCUCGCUCGGGUAGUGUCACCGUCCACCGUGGACGCGAGUAGGAGGGUUAGGAGGGAGUAGGGGGUGUCCUGUGUGUCCUAGGCAAUGCGCAAGAAGGCGGAGAUGCUAGCUCGCCCUACCGCGGAGGCCGAGAGCUCACCGGCGGCAGGCUGGGCGAUCGCUGGAGCCACGGCGCGAGGAAGAAGACGGAGCUGACGGGCGGGACCCGCCCGUCAGCGACCGCGUGAGAGAGGGUGGUGUCCGCGCAGGACGCGGGAAGCGCUUGGGCCGGCUUGGAACGGGCGUAAGCGGGCCGGCCUCUUUCACACAGUGACUUUUCUUUUUCCUUUUGUGCAAAAUGGAGUUAUGUUUGAUUUCGAAUAGAAAAAAUUAUGCAGAUUCAAAAAUUAUGGGGAUUUUUAUGUAGCCUCUAUAAAAUGAGUAGAAUGCAGGAAAAAUAUUAGACUCCAUUUUCUGGUAGUUUACAUGUAUAUAAAAAAUUUCAUCCUAUAAUUAAUAAAUAAAACUUCCUGGAAUUUUAAUAAUUUAGGGGUAUAUCUAAAAAUCACAAAAAACUGAGAGACACCUCUGAAUAUUAUUCCCUGGCUUCACACAAAAUUUGGUGGCAGUUGGAUAAUGUUUGAAUAAAAUAUCAUUAAACCCUUAAUUAGUAAUUUCGUAAUAAUUUCAAAAUAAUUAAGUAAUAAUUAUCUUAAUCUCUCAAAAUAGAAUUUGAGUGCUUUUGGAUUGUGUGAUGCUUAGCCCUGCUACUAGAUAUGUUUUCAAACGAGAAAGUUUGAAGGGUUGUUAUGGAAUACUCUUAUGGUCAAUGAUGUUUCAACUUGAGACCGGUCGGUGGACUUGUUUUAAGAAUGGAGUCUUAAAGUAGUGUCUCCAACUGUGUCGAUUAAGGACCGGUCCGUUGAUGGCCUGCUGGGUUGAGAACUUAUAGUACUAGCCACUUGCCCUCGGUAAGCCCGGUCUUGUGAUCCCUCGACGCGAACGGCUACUCGCGCACUGGGUGUAGAGCGAUGGCGAGAGUAGCGUGUAUCCUCCUGGCAAAUGGGCUGGGUGGUGGGGUACUGUGCUCUCGGGUGCCGCGAACCUGGUCAAAUUUGGGGAGAGCUAGAUUUGGGUCGACAUAUGCAAGAUUUGGUUCUACAUAUGUCGGGUGGUUAGGAACUCCAGCUGGAUUGCUAAGCCAUUCGAAUCGUCGUUGCUCCUCGAUUGGGAGACUCAAUUCCUUCGAACCUCAUCGUAGUUAAAUAUGCAACUAAGUGGUAAAAUGAGAAAGGGGGAAAUGUCUCAUGAGGUUCGGAUCCCAAUUCCCAGACUCAGAGUGUCACGAAGCUAUGGCCGUUGGAUAGAUAAUACUUUGAUUAAGGACUAGGAACUUACAGACUUGUCUGUGAGAAGCAACUAGAUAGACUGUCCUCGGACUCCUCGACCUCUUAAGGAGAGGAAUUCGUGGGUAAAAUUUGAAAGUAAGGAUGCACUAUUAGUAAGCUUUUUGGCAAAACAAUUUGGCUCCUUGCUCAGCCACUCCUUGUCUACCCUAAGCCUACAUCCCUAAUUUCUCCUAUUUUUCUGCCGGGUAAGUCUUGUUGAGUACUCCCGUACUCAGGGUUUUAUAACCCCUGUUGCAGGUGAAGCUCAGGAGCCGACAUGUUUCGGACCCUGUUGUGUGACCGUCGUCGAGGUUGACGACGAGGAAGAGUGUGGGUGACCCAUGGGCAGGGUCUGUAAAUUUGUAAUCUGUGUACUAAAGUUUAAGUUGCUCCGCUGGACCUGGCUUGUAAUAACACUCUACUACUUAGAAGAACUACUUUUAUGAAUUAAGUUACGUAAUGCUUCUGUUGUUUCACUCUGAAAUAUUAUUUUGGUCAUAUGUCAUUUGCGAUACUGCAAUGUCUUCGUAACGAAUGAUCCUGGUGUUAAGGUGGCCACUCACUAUGCUGUAAGGGCGAGAAGAAGUUCUCGUUAAUUGACCAUCAUGAGUGGUCAGGACGAGCUUGGGUGAUACGCCACAGGUAGCGGUGGAACGAGCGUCCUGAGAUGCUCAUCGGACUUCUAAAGUGGGGGGAUCCCCGGCAUCACCAUCAGAGGUCCUUAGGACAAUAACAGGUGUCGGUGGACCCAAACACUUAGGAGGUUCCGCCACAGCUGGUAUCAGAGCAUUCGUUGCUAAGAUGACUGCUGUAUCUUUGAAAAACUUCAAAUCCAUUUGGAUCCAAUAGCUAUAAACUUGCCUAUUUUGAGUCCAAAUGCUCUAGUCCUACCUUACCCUUGUCUGUAGGUUUUGCUAGAAUUUUUGAGGUCAUGUGGAGGAGCAACAUAAAGUAUCGCCCUAUGUUGUAAAAGUUUUAAGUGAUAUCGUUAUGAAUUCCUAGUACGAAUCGUAAGUACGUGCAUGCAUCAUGAUAUGUCACUUGGCUAAAUUCCUCCCUCUUUAUUCGGGAUGGGUUGUAUAGAAUCAAUCCUAUUCUUGCUAACCUUUAAGGUCUCUCUUACUAAUCCAAACUUACCCUCUACAGGAUGGGCCGUUGGAAGCAAACCCCUCGCAAGAGAACUGGUCCUAAAGGGGUGCCUCGACACAAGUUGGCCCCGCGAAGCGAUCAAGCUAGCAGUAGCCGUUCCCCAUCUCAGCAGGAGAUGGAAAGGUUGUCAGCCGAGCUGACCGAAGUAACGAGAGAAAGGAUGUACAAUGUUAUGGAAAUUGGUGAACUCAAAGCUCAGUUAACAAAACAAAAACAAGCCAUCGAGAAUUGCGAGGCGAUGCUAUCCCGCAUGGUGGAAGAACGAAAUGCAGCUAUUGCUCGGGAAGAGGACGCCAGGAGCGCACAUAUGCAUGAGCUGACCAGAAUGAAGGCCAAGUUGACCAAAAACAAGUACACUAAAGAUCUGUAUAUAAAUAUGGUGGCCACUGUCACUACACAGAGGGACGUCGCAUGGCAGCGGGAGGAUCAGCUGCAGCUGGAGAAGCUCGAGCUGGCGCAUCAUCUAGACACCGUCAACGACAUGGCGAUGCAGUACCGUGAUAUUGCAUUCAACUUAUACCAUCAGCUUCAUCCACCUCUAGGUGAAGGGGAGAUGGACACUGACGGAGAGUUGGCAGAUGAUGGAGAGCCCGACCAAGAACCCAGCGACGAAGAGGAAUCUGACUCCGGCGACGACAACCCGGGGGAUGACCAUGGCGAUAACAACGACGACCCGGGCUACGGCUCUGACCACACCGACUAGUUCGGUGAAGUUGCGGGUGACGUCGUUAUAGGGUUCCUAGUCUACCGUAGUUGGGUCGGGUCUGUAGUAUAGUGUUUUUCUUUAUGUUCAAGAAGUUGUACUCGUUUGUUUCCAGUGUGCCGAACUGAUGUUUGAUAAAUAAACUGAAGUAUGUAAAAUAUGUUUUUGAGUAUGGGUUCCAAGUAGUAACGAGUACAUAUAAUUCUUGUAGCAGAUGCCGAUGCGCACACGUGGAUCUGAUGGAGCCGGGUCUUCUCAUGGAGGAGAGGACAUACCUAACCCUCCACCUGCUCCGCCUUCCCUAGCAGAUGCAAUUGCUGUUCUUUUGAGCGCCACUACCGACAAUGCUCGCUUGUUGCGCGAGCUAGCGCAGCGCCAACCCCACCCCGCCCCAAACUUCAGGGCACAACACAAUGGGGAGGGAGAAACUCGGUAUGUGGAUUUUACCGAGACAAGGCCACUAGUGUUCACCAAGGCUGAUGAGCCUUUAGAGGCUGAUGACUGGCUCCAGACAAUGGAGCAUAAGUUCGGCCUGAUUCGCUGUUUGGAGAUUCACAAGCCCCUGUUCGCAGCCCAACAGCUUCGAGGAGCUGCGGGGGCCUGGUGGGAAAAUUUCCUUGCUAUCCAAAGUCCAGGACACCAGGUCACCUGGGCGGAAUUUAAGGACGCGUUUCGCGCCCUUUACAUUCUAGAAGGGCUUAUGGCCAUGAAAGCGGAAGAAUUCCUCGCCUUGCAGCAAGGCGAUAAAAGUGUGCUGGAAUACGUGGCCAAAUUCAAUCACCUUUCUCAGUAUGCCAUGGACCAUGUGAACACAGAUAAAAAGAAGAAGGCCUGUUUUAUGCGUGGUCUCAAUACAAAGCUUCAGACUAUGAUGACCACAUGUCAAAAUGCUACUUUCUAUGAGGCGGUUAAUAUUGCCAUCGCCUCGGAAGAAAAGAAUAGAAAACACAAAGAAGCCAAGAAGAAGGCCACUUCUUCCUCCUUCUCUGGUCGCGGUCAAAAGCGCCAGAGGAUCAUUUAUCACCCACAGGGCUACGGACGCUUUCCAGCACCGCCACCUUUUCGUGGUCCCUUUUCUCCUCCACAGUAUAGACCCGAGCAGCGGGUCUAUCCUCGACCCACUGCCAUCAUCACUGCACCACGCCAGCCGAAUGCCACAGGUGUUCGUCCUACUGCUCCGCCAAACCACAAUUAUCCUUGCUACAAUUGUGGUAAGCCCGAGCAUUUCUCUAAAGAAUGCCCCUACCCUCGACACAAUAACCCCACUUUCCAAAGGCCGCCCAUUGGCCAACCCCAGCCGAGCCAAUUCAAAAAUGGGGCUCAGAAAGGACAGAAUGCACAAAGGGGUAAACCUGUAAAGAAGGUGGGACAAGUCUUCCAUACCGAGGUGGAAACAAUACCGGAAGGAGAACCGGUAAUGAUGGGUACGUUCCCUGUUGCAAAACAUGCUGCCUUAAUACUUUUCGAUUCUAGUGUAUCUCAUACCUUCAUCAACCGUACAUUUGUGAUGAAGCAUGCCAUAGACGUUCCCUGUUGCAAAACAUCCUGCCUUAAUACUUUUCGAUUCUAGUGCAUCUCAUACCUUCAUCAACCGUACAUUUGUGAUGAAGCAUGCCAUACCCAUUGGGGAAACAAAAGAUCAUUUUUAUAUACAGUCGCCAGGAGGAUGACUAAGUUCUAAAGAAAUGGUUCACCAGAUACCCAUCGAAUUUGGUGGGCAUAGUUUUCCCACUAGUAUGAUUGUCCUUAAAGAUCAGGACAUUGAUGUCAUACUAGGCAUGAACUGGAUGACACAACGAGGGGUUGUGCUAGACACCUUACAUCGAACCAUUAAGGUCCCAUUGCUCAAUGAGAAUUCUUACCUUCUGAUCCAAUUAGCUACUCCCAAAUGGGCAAUUGAGCAAGUUCAUGCCACUAAUGUGACUAAAGUCGAAAAUAUCCCAGUAGUUUGGGAUUUUCUGGAUGUAUUUCUUGAGGACCUACCAGGUCUGCCACCGGACUGGGAUGUCCAGUUCAGCAUAGAAUUGAAACCAGGGACAACCCCAAUAUCUCGAAGAGCCUAUCGAAUGGCACCGAAAGAACUGGCCGAAUUGAAAACCCAAUUACAAGAGUUGUUGCAAAAAGGUUUUAUUCAGCCCAGUUCAUAUCCAUGGGGUUGCCCAGCAUUAUUUGUGAAAAAGAAAUAUCAAACAUUAAGGCUGUGUGUCGAUUAUCGUCCCUUGAAUGAGGUGACGAUUAAAAACAAGUACCCAUUGCCCCGUAUUGACUUGCUAUUUGAUCAGUUAGCUGGGGCAAAGGUAUUCUCAAAGAUUGAUUUGAGGUCGGGAUACCACCAAAUAAAAAUCAUGCCGGAAGAUGUACCCAAGACGGCUUUUACAACCCAUUAUGGGCUGUAUGAAUACUUGGUGAUGUCCUUUGGGUUGACCAAUGCACCAGCCCAUUUCAUGUAUUUGAUGAACUCUGUCUUCAUGCCAAAGCUGGACAAAUUCGUGGUUGUCUUCAUUGAUGACAUCUUGAUCUAUUCCAAAACCAAGAAAGAACAUGCUGAACAUAUGAGGAUUGUGCUGACUCGUCUCAGGGAGCAUCAAUUAUAUGCCAAGUUCUGCAAAUGUGAGUUCUGGCUAGACAAAGUCCAUUUCUUGGGUCAUGUAUUAUCAGCGGAGGGAGUCGCUGUAGACCCAGGUAAAGUAGAAGAUGUUUUGAAUUGGAAGCCCCGACUACGGUACAUGAGGUCCGUAGUUUUCUAGGUAUGGUGGGAUAUUACCGCCGCUUCAUCCUGGACUUUUCAAGAGUCGCUAAGCCAAUCACGACCUUGCUCAAGAAUCAAACAAAAUUUGUUUGGUCAUCUGAAUGUGAGCAAGUCUUCCAGACUCUGAAAAGGUUAUUAACAACUGCACCUGUGUUAGCCCAGCCGGAUAUUGAAAAGCCCUUUGAUGUGUAUUGUGACGCAUCAGGAAUAGGGAUAGGCUGUGUGCUAAUGCAAGAGUGUCGAGUAAUUGCAUAUGCCUCCAGGCAGCUUAAACCACAUGAAGAGAAUUACCCGACCCAUGAUCUUGAACUAGCCACCGUAGUACAUGCUUUGAAGAUCUGGCGCCAUUAUCUGUUGGGGAACACUUUUCACCUAUACACAGAUCAUAAAAGCUUGAAGUAUAUUUUCACUCAAGCCGAACUUAAUAUGCGCCAGCGGAGGUGGCUAGAGUUGAUCAAAGAUUACGACCUCGAGGUGCAUUAUCACCCUGGCAAGGCGAAUGUAGUAGCUGAUGCCCUCAGUCGUAAGGCUCACUGUAAUUGUUUAACAGUGAAGCCUAAAGAUAUAACUUUGUGUCAAGAGCUAGAGAACUUGGGAAUAAAAAUGACUUCCCAAGGAAGCCUUGCCAAUCUAAAGAUUGAUUUCAAUCUUGAAGCUCAAAUCAUAGGGGCACAAAAAGAAGACAAAGGCAUGAAAUAUCUUAAGGAGAAAAUUUCUAACAGAGCACCCACAAACUUUAAAGUGGAUGAUGCAGGAGUAAUAUGGUUCAAAAACCGGUUAGUGGUUCCAAAGGUACCUGAGCUACAUCAGCAAAUCCUAGAUGAAGCUCAUACAACCAGAUAUUCUAUUCAUCCGGGGAGCAAUAAAAUGUAUCGGGACCUGAAGCAAAGGUUUUGGUGGACGAAAAUGAAGAUAGAAAUAGCCCGCUAUGUGGCCCAAUGCGAUACAUGCCAAAAGGUCAAAGCUAUUCAUCUCAAAUCCGCAGGAGAGUUGCAACCCUUGCCUAUUCCAACAUGGAAAUGGGAUGAUAUUAGUAUGUAUUUCAUAGUAGCAUUGCCCAAGACGGCCAAAGGCUUUGAUUCUAUUUGGGUCAUUGUAGAUCGUCUCACCAAAACGGCGCACUUCUUGCUUGUGAAGAUAUUAUAUCCUGCCUCCACCUAUGCUAAGAUUUAUUUUGAUCAUAUACUGAGUCUGCAUGGGGUGCCAAAGACCAUAGUGUUAGAUAGAGGCACACAAUUUGUCUCCCAGUUUUGGAGAUGCUUACAUGAAUCUAUGGGCACUAAGCUUUUAUACAGUACCGCCUACCACCCUCAAACGUGUGGGCAAACAGAAAGGGUGAAUCAAACCCUAGAAGAUCUACUAAGAUCUUGUGCCCUAAACUUUCCAGAUAAGUGGGAUGACUGUUUGCCUCUAGCAGAGUUUUCCUACAACAAUAGCUACCAAGAAAGUAUUAAGAUGGCUCCCUUCGAGGCACUAUAUGGCCGUCGAUGUCGGACUCCACUACACUGGUCGGAACCCGGAGAAAGAUGGUUCUUUGGAGUUGACUUAGUGAAGGAAACCGAGAACAAAGUUAGGCAAAUUCAAAAUAACUUAAAGGUUGCUCAGUCCCGACAGAAAAGCUAUACCGAUAAAAGACGUCGACCCUUAAGAUUCGCCAAAGGUGACCAUGUGUAUCUGAAAGUAUCCCCAAUGAAAGGAGUAAAUCGUUUUGGCGUUAGAGGCAAGUUAGCACCUCGUUACAUUGGUCCAUUUCCAAUCAUUGACCGGUGUGGACAGGUAGCUUAUCGCCUUAAACUGCCCGAACGAUUAUCCGGGAUACACAAUGUAUUCCAUGUAUCUCAGCUGAAAAAGUGUCUUCGAGUACCAGGCCAGGUUCAAGAUAUUGAACGUGUAGAACUUGAACCAGAUCUGACCUAUGCAGAAUAUCCUAUCUGAGUAUUAGACCAAAGAGAUAGAGUUACUCGAAGAACAACUACCAGGUGGUACAAGGUGCAAUGGAGCCAGCACUCUGAAGAAGAAGCCACAUGGGAAUCUGAGGAUUAUCUAAUGGAGAAUUUUCCUGAGUUCCAUGCUUCUCUUCAAGACAACAUCCGAUAAAAAGGAGGUGUACUCUACUGAAGGAAAAGGGUAGCCAAAGUCAUGUACUUAAUGUACAUAUAUGCUUAGAAUGAAUGAAGUAUUCUUCCCAAACUCCUUGUCUUAUGGAAAGGUUAAAGAUGAAAUAGCUUGACAAAUUUCCUUUUCCAUUACGCACCCUAAGGCUUUAAAUCUUGGGGACGAGAUUUAUUUAAGGGGGAAGGGCUAUAACAUCCCCGAUGUUACGGUUAUUAAAACUGGAUCAUGUCAUCAUGAGCAUUGCAUCGCAUAUUGAUUAAGCACCACUUGAUGCAUUAAAUUAAAACAAGUUUACUUUGAUUGCUUGUGCUUAGAGAAUUAAAGUGUGUUUGCGAGGGGUAUUGAAGCUAGUGUGGUUGUGAAAUUCCUAGGGUGGAAGGUUUCCGAGAAAAUAGGGGGGAAAAACCCUGAUUUUAGAACCCUAGAUUUGCCCCCUUUUGCACAAUUUAAAAACCAAGAAAAAUUUGAGGUUUAGUUCAAAAGCAAAGUUGUAGAUCUUGUCAAGAUGUACAACUUUGGUGUUCUGAGUUUUUGAAGUUUCAAUACAAAAUUCAAAGUAAUUUUGAAAAUACAGAUUUCUAGAAAGUGUCCCCCUUUCCAAUUUGAAUCCCCAAUUCAAAAUCUAUUUGGAAUCUUGAAAAGUGACCAACAUGAAAGUUGUAGAGCUCAACAAAAGGAACAACUUUGAUUUUGGGAAUUUUUCAAGUUAUUGAGAAAAAUCAAAAGUAAUUUUAGAAUUUCUAAUCUGCCCCAAUUCAAAAUUGGAAUUUCCCCAAUUUGAGAUUUGAAAUUCAAACUGUUUUGCUAAAUUCAAGCUCUUCCAUCAGAAUUAGUUUUGGGCACUUAAAGAUGUUUUGUAGCUUGUAAAAUUCUGCACAACUUUCAUUUUGGUGAAAAUUUGGCUCCAGUUCAACUUUUGGGAGAAUUUUGCAAAACAACAAAAUAAUUGGAUAUGGCUUGCUACAGUGCUUGAGCAGGGGGGAUGCACUGCCGCCGGGGCAGAGCUGCUUGCUUGCUGGGCGUCGCCCUGGUGUCCUCAUCCGCAGCAAGCACUUCGUCGCGUGGAUAAAACCCCGAGCCGCCGUGGAAAAACUUCCUUUCCCUCUGAACUCCGACACCGACGAGCUCACUGCGCUCUCCAAAUUCAUCUUCCUCGCUCCCUUCCAAGCCACCAGAGACCCCCCAGCAGCUCCGCCCUGAACCCAGCCACCGUUUGCACCCCCGAGCGCAAGCUCUAACCCAUCGUAGCUCCAACCCGAGCCACUCCUCUCCAAGUCCGGCCGAAGCGCCGCCGUGGGUAUUUCACCGCGGCCAGACCUGCUCCGAGCCUCCCCACCGCCGCUCCUUGCUCCGUUGAAGUCGCGGUGAGCCCCUAUAGCUUAUGCGCUGGUUGGUCCACGUUCUACCCGCUUGUCGAGUUCGGUGCUCGCUCGGGUAGUGUCACCGUCCACUGUGGACGCGAGUAGGAGGGUUAGGAGGGAGUAGGGGGUGUCCUGUGUGUCCUAGGCAAUGCGCAAGAAGCCGGAGAUGCUAGCUCGCCCUACCGCGGAGGCCAAGAGCUCACCGACGGCAGUCUGGGCGAUCGCUGGAGCCACGGCGCGAGGAAGAAGACGGAGCUGACGGGCGAGACCCGCCCGUCAGCGACCGCGUGAGAGAGGGGGGUGUCCGCGCAGGACGCGGGAAGCGCUCGGGCCGGCUUGGGCCGGGCGUAAGCGGGCCGGCCUCUUUCACACAGUGACUUUUCUUUUUCCUUUUGUGCAAAAUGGAGUUAUGUUUGAUUUUGAAUAGAAAAAAUUAUGCAGAUUCAAAAAUUAUGGGGAUUUUUAUGUAGCCUCUAUAAAAUGAGUAGAAUGCAGGAAAAAUAUUAGACUCCAUUUUCUGGUAGUUUACAUGUAUAUAAAAAAUUUCAUCCUUUAAUUAAUAAAUAAACUUCCUUGAAUUUUAAUAAUUUAGGGGUAUAUCCGAAAAUCACAAAAAAUUGUGAGAAACCUCUGAAUAUUAUUCCUUGGCUUCACACAAAAUUUGGUGGCAGUUGGAUAAUGUAUAAAUAAAAUAUCAUUAAACCCUUAAUUAGUAAUUUAGUAAUAAUUUCAAAAUAAUUAAGUAAUAAUUAGCUUAAUCUCUCAAAAUAGAAUUUGAGUGCUUUUGGGAUUGUGUGAUGACCUGAGGUCAUUAACCUUAAUGACCUUUGGCACCUAAUUAUUGUUUGAAGUUAAUACUUAAUUACUGUCAUUAGUACUUAAUUAAGAAUUAAUUAAGGUAAAAAGGUUUAAUAGUAGUUAAUUAAGGAUAAUUAGGAAUUGAGAAAAGUCUUAAUUUACUAAUGCAACCUCUUGGGUAAAAACACUAAGAUGAUAAACAACUUUAAUUACUGUUUAGCCUGUUUUUGCACCAAGAAGGAUAGUUGUACUCAACUCGGUCCUUCUUAAAUAUUUGUCAUACGCAUAUCAUGAGCAUUCAUCAUUUUGCGUAUAGUGCACGUGACCGAAGGAGCGACCGUUGAACCGAACCCCGAGGUCGGUGCUCCGUUCGAAGAAGUAGGAUCCGAGACUUGGGAAGUCUCCGAGGGUCCCUCAGCUCUGCAACCAAGGCAAGCCCCGAAUGCAUUAACCCCUCCUUGAAUGUUUUAAAUCUUUUAUCACUUAUGAAUUGAAAAUGCUGCAUUAGGUAGUUGAGAAUUGGGUUAACCUACUUGCUGCAUUUACUACCUUGAUAUUUGUUAUCUUGUCCUUGGCACCGGUUUUAUUUUAAAACUGCAUAGUGAUGCUUAGCCCUGCUACUAGAUAGGUUUUCAAACGAGAAAGUUUGAAGGGCUGUUAUGGAAUACUCUUAUGGUCAAUGAUGUUUCAACUUGAGACCGGUCGGUGGACUUGCUUUAAGAAUGGAGUCUUAAAGUAGUGUCUCCAACUAUGUCGAUUAAGGACCGGUCCGUUGAUGGCCUGCUAGGUUGAGAACUUAUAGUACUAGCCACUUGCCCUCGGUAAGCCCGGUCUUGUGAUCCCUCGACGCGAACGGCUACUCGCGCACUGGGCGUGGAGCGAUGGCGAGAGUAACGUGUACCCUCCUGGCAAAUGGGCUGGAUGGUGGGGUACUGUGCUCUCGGGUGCCGCAAACCCGGUCAAAUUUGGGGAGAGCUAGAUUUGGGUCGAUAUAUGCAAGAUUUGGUUCUACAUAUGUCGGGUGGUUAGGAACUCCAGCUGGAUUGCUAAGCGAUUCGAAUCGUCAUUGCUCCCCGAUUGGGAGACUCAAUUCCUUCGACCCUCAUCGUAGUUAAAUAUGCAACUAAGUGGUAAAAUAAGAAAGGGGGAAAUGUGUCAUGAGGUUCAGAUCCCAAUUCCCGGACUCAGAUUGACAUGAAGCUAUAGCCGUUGGAUAGAUAAUACUUUGAUUAAGGACUAGGAACUUACAGACUUGUCUGUGAGAAGCAACUAGAUAGAUUGUCCUCGAACUCCUCGACCUCUUAAGGAGAGGAAUUCGUGGGUAAAAUUUGAAAGUAAGGAUGCCCUAUUAGUAAGCUUUUUGGCAAAACAAUUUGGCUCCUUGCUAAGCCACUCCUUGUCUACCCUAAGCCUGCAUCCCUAAUUUCUCCUCUUUUUCUGCCGGGUAAGUCUUGUUGAGUACUGCCGUACUCAGGGUUUUAUAAUCCCUGUUGCAGGUGAAGCUCAGGAGCCGACAUGUUUCGGACCCUGUUGUGUGACCGUCGUCGAGGUUGACAACGAGGAAGAGUGAGCGUGACCCAUGGGCAGGGUCUAUAAAUUUGUAAUCUGUGUACUAAAGUUUAAGUUGCUCCGCUGGACCUGGCUUGUAAUAACACUCUACUACUUGGAAGAACUACUUUUAUGAAUUAAGUUACGUAAUGCUUCUGCUGUUUUACUCUGAAAUAUUAUUUUGGUCAUAUGUCGUUUGUGAUACUGCAAUGUCUUCGCAACGAAUGAUCCUGGUGUUAAGGUGGCCACUCGCUAUCCUGUAAGGGCGAGAAGAAGAAAUUCUCGUUAAGUGACCAUCACAAGUGGUCAGGACGAGCUUGGGUGAUAUGCCACAGGUAGCGGUGGAAUGAGCGUCCUGAGAUGCUCAUCGGACUUCUAAAGUGGGAGGAUCCCCGACAUCACCAUCAGAGGUCCUUAGGACAAUGACACGUGUCGGUGGACCCAAACACUUAGGAGGUUCUGCCACAACAAUCAAUCAAUAUCAUACACAAGUUUUACAUCUACUUUUCGACGACUUUGUAAACUCACAUAUUUUCCUUUUGUUUACGAGUUCUUAAGGAUUCAACGAGUAACACUCGGCGAAUUCUCGAGUUCCGCGUGAGUACCUCUUGGCCGUGACAUCCGGGCGCAUCGCCGUUGUCAGGACCAAAGUAUUCGAGUUAUCACCUUUGUUGAUUGGUAGGUCAAAUCGGCUGGCACGCCUCAACGUUUGAAUCAGGUAUUAGCCCUUUGUGUUUGCAGAUCCCUUUUUGCAUCAACAAAAAGUAAAUAGGGAAGAUAAAAUAUAUUAAAGCAUAAGUCAUACAAGAAAAUAUACAAAUAUAUACCAGAACUCUAAUGACUUCUCUAGAAGACUCCUCUAGAACACGGUCGUAGUGCCGCUCUCCCUAACUCUCAACUAGAACUAAUCUACUACAUUGGAAAAUUUAGCCUUAAUUCUCUAGAGUUGAGAGGUCAUCCAUUCGAGGGACGCCUCUACAUCUCCAUAAUGUGGUGCCCCUAGGGAGGGGGUCUGCCUCUUUAUUUAUAGCCUAGAAAAGCCUCCCACCUCUUCUAGACAGACGAUGUGGGACUAAUUCUUCCACCGUUUGCUCUGUUGGGCUAUUAUACAUCAACUUAUGCCUUCCAAUCAUCCCUCAUGUGAGCCCACUCAAGGGAGCAUCUUGGGGUGCCUCUCUUGGGUCUCUAUCAUGCCAUAUGAGCCUCUUCUCAUGUCAUGGGCCUUGCUUGGGCGUGGGGCCCAUUAGUGGUAAUUCUCCUUUAUUUGUAAAAUUAAUAUCUUUUUACUGCAGACUCCAAAUAUAGCAAACGAUAUAUCUGUUUCGAUCAUCUCGACGAUCCCAUCGCAAUGGUGUAGUCCAAAUAAUCAUUUGACAUACUUUUAUUUGAUGGAAAAUUGCAUAUUCCUACAAAACAAGUGAGAACACCAAAACUCGUUGAACUCGUUAGAAUCAAACCCUACAACUAUGCUUUGUGAUUGAUAUCCUGUUAUAUUGAGCAAUAGUUGAUGGUAUAAAAUAGGCAUUAAGGACCGUCAACAAUGCACAACAAAAGCCAUCAUCUAUGCGGAGCACGCCAAGAUUGUCCUAUCCAUCAAGGACAAGAAGGAGAGAUUUGCAUUCAAGAACCGUGUCCUGAAAGCUCCUGCAGCCCCGAAGCAGUUCUACCAAUAAGGAAAGCAAGAACAACAAUUAGUGCCAAAGAAAAGAACAAUAGAAGAUGGAGGAAGACCAAGCAUGCAGAGACAACUCAAUUAAUCACCGCUCUCAACACUGAAAAUGAUCAUAUUCUAUCCAAGCCAUGUCCGAUCAAGAGAGGUGAUCCAGGAGUUCCAAUCAUUGAGUACACAAUCAACAACACCACCUUCCCUUACACCAUCUGUGACACUGGAUCAGGCUGCAACGUAAUGUCAAAAUAGGUAUACGAUGAAUUAUUUGAUUUACCUUUAUACCCAACACAUAUUCAGUUGCAGAUGGCGGAUCAAUCAUUAAGAUUCCUGGAAGGAAUGGUCAAGGAUGUAAUGGUAAGAAUUCAAGAAUAUUAUAUACCUACAGAUUUUCUAGUGCUUGACAUGCAAAGAGACGAUGAGAUCUCGAUCCUCUUGGGAAGACCGUUCCUCUACACAGCUAAAGCCAAUAUCUACAUCGGAUUAGGGCAUAUCCUCUUCAACCUACCUGCCGGAAAGGUAUGCUGUCAAUUUAGAAUACUAUGUAACCGUGAGCAAACCAAGAAGGAACUCAAGAGGAGAAGACGCCAAGCCUGCCGUCAAGCUGCCCAGCCUCAAUGUGGAUGGGUGGACUUUCCUAGCAAGAUUGUAAAGUAUGAAGAUCACCUCAUAGAGGAAGAAGAAGACACGCACGCACCUCGAUGGAGUGAGUGGGCCGAAGAAGCUGAAAGGAUGGACUAGAUCGCCAAGAAAGAGAAAGAAGAGAUCUUAGCUCGAUUAGAAGCCUAGGAAAAGGAGAACAGAGUUGAAGGAUUGGAACUAGAGAAGGAAGAAGCAAAAGAAAUAGAAGCAAGAUGGGAGGAAGACACACAUACCGCAUCACCGCAAGACAGGGAGUUGACUGAGGUUGUUGACGGUCCUUAAGUAUCAAAUAUAAUCAACAAAUAAGCAAAGAAAGGGAUCCAAAUGCAACCGACACCCAGACUUAGGGUUUUAUCUGACAGAAUUCCAUGAGUUUUGGUGUUUGUCUAUUUCUGCAGGGGGUUAUCAGGAAAUAUGGAGGAAAAGCCCACACGUCAGGUUUACAUAGAGAUAUUAACGUGCCGUGCAAUUAUCCAACAUCUAGAUGAGUCCAGAAGCCACGGGAACGAGCGGGAGAUCGAGCGGACCCGGGGGCAGGGCGCCCGCCCUGGCCUAAGAGCCAAUCAGGCUCCGCCUCGCGGAUCAUGCUCCACCAACCUAAGGGAUUAAGAAAAACCGUGCGAUUAAGGUCGGUUUGAUCCGACGGUCCAUAUUCAUUUGGAGGAAUUAUAUAAGGAGACCCCCUAGCCCCUGGAGGAGAGGACCUGAGAAACCCUAAUUCAUUAAUUCAUCUUGGGAGAAGAAGUCUCUGAUUAAGCCCUAGAGCCACCACAUCAACUAGAUCUCUAGUUUAGCAUAGCUACAUAGGAUUAGAACUAGAAGGAGUCAAUCUUCGAUUGGUUUUUGGAUCUGUCAAGAGGAUUCUUGGUACUUCCUUUACUGUUCUUCAUUUGUUCAUCAUUGUUCUUCAAUACUAUGGAUAUGACUUUGUUCUACUUCAAUAUAUUGAUUAUGAAUUUGCUCUACUUGUUUAUAUUUACAAUUAUAUCGUUCUUAGUUUAUCAUAGUUAUAUGCUUGGCUUAGUUAGAUUGGAAUUAUAUACAUGUUUAGGAUCGUAUAGCAUUUAUCCAUGUGUACAAUGGGUAAAUGAAAAGUAUUGUGUAGGCAUGGUGUCUAUACCAUAUUUAUCUGCGAUUGUACCCUAUAUGCUGGAUCGCGGGGUAGUUCGUGGUAGUGACAACUCCAUUGAUUCUUAUAUAGUCCCCCUCUCGUGUAUAGGGUAGGCAGAGCAACAUUAUUACAGAGGAGUGAUUGCUAUGUUUCUCAUCUUCCUUAAUAAUAUCACUAUGCAUGGGCGUAGUCCUGUCUCGCAAUGAUUGCCAAGUAUAAUUGCACUAACUAUGAUAUGCUAGACUUUAUAGUUAAGACUAACUUAGGAAAUAUUCUUGUAGUGCAUCCUAAUUCCAUGCUAAUGACUUGCUAGAAUAUCUAUUGAGGUGCUUAUCAUUAUUAAAUGUGGCUAGUUAUGGUGAUCAGAUUAAUUAUCUUUGUCACCAUUCGUACUUUAUCUAUAUUUUAUGUGACAUUUAUCCCUAUAUGAAAGAGGUAGAUAAAUGCUCUCUAUUACACAUGCAAUGAUAGAUACUCAAUUCCAUAUUCCAUUCCAUAAUCAACAUUGAUGAUUAGCAAUCCCUUCCCCGUGGUAAAAUAUAAAUAACGAUACCUAGAAUACUUUCUGGUUAAAAUGCUACAUCGGUAUCAAUCUGUGCGCUUGCAGAUCUCAUUUAUUACUUAUUCAGAAGAGCAAUUGCAUAUUUCAAUACCGCGUCUCUCAUGUCAUGCUGGGGAUGACAACUUGGCUUAAGUCGCAUGAGGGAUAGGUUUGGCAUUUUUGGCACCGUUAUCAGAAUUAGAAAACUUAGUCUACUUUUGGUAAUGACGUUAAGAAUGCCCAACAAGCAUUUUUGGCGCCGUUAUCAGAAUUAGAAAACUAAGUCUACUUUUGGUAAUGACGUUAAGAAUGCCCAACAAGCAUUUUUGGCGUCGUUGCCGGGGAAGGUUGAUUACUAAUAAGGAAUGAAUACGGAAUUUCGAGACAUCAUUAGCAUCACUAAUAUGAUUGAGAUUAUCAAUUCUCUCAUACAGUUUUACCCCAGUAUUUUUCUAUUUUGAUUAUUUUAUGCAGGGUAAUGUAUGAAUAGAAGACAUCUUCCAUGAAAUUUUGUUGACAAUCCCGAAGCAUUAUUCAGAAAAACAAGAGCCAAGCUUAAGAAGAGAUCGUCAACAUUUCAGCACGAAGCUUCAUCCAAUCAAGAAGAUCACCGAAGUUUCACCCGAAACUCGAAGUUAUGGCGAACAAAUCGAUCCGCGAGUUCUCAGCUCCCACUACGGACAAUAUCCGCACUGGACCUGCUGUAGAGAUCGACGACAACUUUGAGCUCAAUCCUGGGCUCAUCAACAUGGUGCAAUCCAACCAGUUCUGUGGGAAGGCACACGAAGAUGCUAGUGCUCAUCUCCAACACUUCCUGGAGAUUUGCAGCACAUUCACCAUGUCAGAAGUCCCCAGAGAUGCUAUACUACGUCGCCUCUUCCCAUUCUCACUGUUGGGGAGAGCGAAGCAGUAGUUCUACGCUACAAAGGAGAAGAAUACUACGUGGGCACUCUGCUCCACGAACUUUCUAGCUAAGUUCUUUCCCAUGGGCAAGACCAAUGCUCUCUGUGGGAAAAUUACAAGUUCUCAACAACAACAUGAUGAAUCCAUUCCAGAAGCAUGGGAGUGCUUCCAAGACUACACCCUAGAAUGUCCCCCAUCAUGGAAUGGAGAGCUGGCUACUGAUGCAGACGUUUUAUCAUUGGCUCGGCAAUAGUGUCUGAGAGACCAUGAAUGCUGCAGCUGGAGGAGCAUUCCUAUCACUCACCAUACCACAAGCCACAGCUCUUGUGGAGAAGGUGACGUCCAACCAAGGCUGGAAUGAAGAAAGGACCUAGACACGCAAGAGAGGUGGAGGUAUGCAUCAGCUCAAGGAGGUAGACACUCAUGAAGAAGCUCGAUGAUAGAGCUGGAGAUAAGAAAGAAGACAUGCACGUCUACAACUCUCACAUGACUGUGAGGUGUGUGGAGAUACUGGACACUCAGGCAAUCGCUGCCCUGAGAUGCUUGAGGACAUGAACUACAUCAAUAAUAACAACAACUACUACUACUACAACCGUCCUCAACAAAAUCAAGGUUGGAAUCAACAGAGGCCUAACUACUCAGGUAAUUAUCAAGGUAAUAAUUCUUACAAUACUAAUAAUAAUUUUCCACCUCUAAGACGGUUAGUGUCUAAUCAAGGAAAGCUAAUGGAUAACUUAUCUAAGAAAUUGGCAUCUAAUGAUAAAAUAUAAGAAAAUAUAAAUAAUAGAAUGGAUAAUUUCUCUACAGGCAUCAAGAAUCAAAUUAGCUUUAAUAAAAUGAUUGAAUCUCUAUUAAAUCAAAUAGCUGCUGCUGUUCCUGCUACUAACCCCGGUAUACCAUCACAAUCGGAAGGAUUAGAAUCUGCAAAUCUUGUAGACAUGUUUGAUACAGGUAACUACUGGAGUAACCCCGUUGCAGAAGUUACUACUGACCUUCUGCCGGUCAAGAGAGGCGAUCCAGGACGCCCCGUCAUCCCGAUCUCCAUCAGCAUGGUGGACUUCCCAGAAGCACUCUGCGACUUUGGCUCUAGUGUCAACAUUAUGCCUAGGGUACUCUAUGAAAAAUUCUUUACAUAUCCUUUACUAGAAACAACCAUGUGUUUGCAGCUUACAGAUCGGACGCUAAGUUUCCCCAAGGGAAUAUUGAAGAACCUCUGUGUCCGAGUUGGUACCUUGUACGCCCCAGCAGACUUAGUGGUGAUAGAGACCGGUAAUAAUGAGAGGGCACCUGUCAUCUUAGGGAGGCCAUUCCUGAACACCUCGGGAGCUGUCAUCUACGCUAGUGCUGCCAAGAUCAGUUUCUACAUCACAUGGAGGAAGGAGACAUUUUCCUUCAAGAACAAGACUGCACAAAUCCUAGAACAAUCCCGACAUGAACCAAGGAAGAGGACCAACAGGAGGAACAGGAACAAGCAAGUAUGGACUGAGUCGGCUAAGAUGAUCACUGCAGUUCAUGGAGGUCAAGAUCAUCGACUUAAGUCACCGUUCCUGCCAAAAAAGGAUGACCUAGGUAUGCCAAGCAUCCAGUGCUCUAUUAAUGGGUACAACUUCUACAAGACGCUUUGCGACACCGGGUCGGGCGUCAACAUAAUGGCCGCAGUCACCUAUCGGCUCUUGUUCGGAACCAUGCCCCUAAAACCGACAUACAUUCAGCUCCAGAUGGCAGAUCAAACAUUCCGAAAGGUUGAAGGUAUAGUAACUGAUGUCCCUGUCAAAAUAGACGAUCAUUUUGUCCAUACAGACUUUUAGGUUAUUGACAUGGGAGAAGACGAGUACGAUCCACCCAUCAUCCUUGGGAGACUGUUUCUCAGCACCAUUAAAGUAAUCAUCUACAUUGGAACCAGAGAAGUCCACAUGCACUUCCCCUCUGAGAAGGUACGCCGCUAUUUUACUGACCCUAACUAUAUAGUUGAAGACUCUAAGCAGGUCACAACAAGAAGAAGACGAUCCAACCGCAACCAGAAGAGGCAAAUCAUCAAGGAUGGAUGGGUAGACUACGAAGGAGAAGUGGUAAUGUCUGAAGACAUACAGCUUGAACAGAACUGUCCUAAAGAGACGAUAGCACCGAGUCAGGUGUGGAGAGAGAAGAUAGUUAUACACGAAGAGGAGGCACCACCGGAACCACCGACUAAGCCAUCCAGCGAAUCCCAGGACGACUAAGAAAACAGAGAGUCCCAUUCGGAGGACUUAAAAACACCGAACGCCUUGCCAAGAGGUAAAUUUGGUAGUUAUCCUUUCCUUUUCAAUUAUUUAAAAUAGUUUGCUCAGUUAAUCAGGUUCAUACUAUUCUAAAAAGAAAAUAAAAAUGUUAAAAUCAGUAAGCCCCAUGUGAGUAUACAAGUGGUAUAAAACCCAUAAGUACAUUCACUGUGGUGGCAUAAAUAUAAUAAUAAAAAUAUUGUUCUGCUCUAUAAAAAUAAAAAAAAUAAAAUUGUGAUCCUACCAAAGGAAGUAGCAAUUAUUAAGGAGGCUCAACAUUAUAAAGGCUAAGAUAUUUAUGCUAACACUUAAUCAGUUCCACAAAGCUUUGUUGUCUAUUUGAGCUCCACAGAAUUUAAGGAUCAAGAAGACUAGCAGACAGAGGACAUUCUAAUCGCUGUCAGGGUGCUGCCGACUUUCAAAUACACCUCUGCCACCUGCUAGCUACAUCAAAAGAAAUUACGUCAAAAUCCACCUUGGGGGAGAGCACCUCCAUUUACCCCGCUAAGUAUUUCUAUCUACAUUUAUACCUAUACUAUAUUAAAAUAAAAAAAGAUACAUAAUCAUGAAAUGCCAAAUAAAGAUUUUGUGCUUAUAUAUAUAUAUAUAUCUUUGCUUAGUUUGCUUAAUAAAUAAAUAAAGUGGCUAUGCUAAACUGAAUCUUAAUAAAACUCUAGCAUGGAUAUGAUGAAUAGUUGCUCUGCCUAAUUUUUUAAAUUCGAGUUCUCUCUCAAGUUUAGACAUAACUGUUAUAAUUUAAAGCUUGCUCUAAACCUGAAGUUGUGGGAAGAGAACUUGAUCUGAAGUCUAAGUUGUUAACGGAUAUGAUAUGAGAAGGUUGAGCUGCUGUUUAUCUGUUCCUAGAGAUGCUAGAAUUCUGGAGCAUUUUUUAUAUUUGAAAAUCUUUAAAAUAUCACAUGAUGAGUUCCUAUAUGAUGAGAGUUUAAAUUCCUACCACAGCCAUAUAUACAUGCUUGCUAGACUUUGAGCUACACAUUUACUUUUUACUGCUUAUGAGCAUUGAGUGUGGUCAAGCUGUGUAGACCCUUAGGAGAUUGUCAUGCGGUUAAAAUCAAGAUUCACUUGCACGUUCACUCACACAUGCUGCUUCUACUCCAGAAGUACGCAUCCACAUAUAUCCACCCAUUUCCAUCUCCAGAACCACCCAAAAGUAUUCUACUCGUAAUUCGGGAGAGAAUAGCAAAAAACAUUCUCCUAUUUCUGUUUUUCCCUAUGAAAUAAAUGUUCAAGUUAUCUUGGUUACUACCACUUGCUAUAUUAUUUCGGGAGAUGAGUGCUCUAAAAAAAGAAGAAAAAAAGAUAUGAGGAAAUAAAAAGGGGCAAGUGCCCGGAACCUCGAAAGAAAAGUAAAAGUGAGACGAGAGGUAAAAAUGGACAAGUGUCCGACAGUAGAAUUAGGGGUACAAGAUACCCACCUGAGAGAAAAGAAAAAGAAGAGAAGCAAGGAAGGUAUGUAUCCCCUCAGAAGAGCAAAAGUAGAAUUAGGCUUUCACCAUUGUUAUCACCAUCAUCACCAGACACCAUUAAUUCGCCACACAUGCACAUCUUGAUUUGACUUAUUGAUUUGUUUCUUUGGAUCCAUGGUUUGACUAUAUAAUACAUGUCUUGUAAGUAUGUAUACUUUAUCUCCCACCUAUGAGCUCCAGAUAUCAAAACCUUAUUAGAGUAGGGUGAGAGAGAAGGCAAGGUCACUAUGCUUCAUACCAUAAAUACUACAUACUUUGAGAGAAGGCAUAUACCAUCACUGCCUUGGUAAGGAUCCAGAAAUACCACAAAAGAGAGAUCUGAGAGAGUUAUACAAGGAAUCUCUGAGUUUUACUUAAAAAUCUGCAAAAACUCCAGAGCUAUAGCUGAUCAAGAAUAAGAGACAUUGCGCUCGACUUGACCAUUCUAUCUUUUAACUGCUCAAGACAGAAGUGAUAGUUACAAGUCCCAUGGUGAAAGGUAAAAUAAGUUUUAAGUCUUGACGGUUUACUCUAACUCAGAGAUGAGACCUUAUUUGAAAGCAUGUGUACCGUCAACUUUUAAAGGCAUUCCAACAACUUCUGAUCCAUCACUGAGUCUAUCCUUGCUCAGGGACGAGCAAGAGGUAAGCUUGGGGGAGUUUGUUGACGCUCCUUAAGUAUCAAAUAUAAUCAACAAAUAAGCAAAGAAAGGGAUCCAAAUGCAACCGACACCCAGACUUAGGGUUUUAUCUGACAGAAUUCCACGAGUUUUGGUGUUUGUCUAUUUCUGCAGGGGGUUAUCAGGAAAUAUGGAGGAAAGGCUCACACGUCGGUUUACAUAGAGAUAUUAACGUGCCACGCAAUUAUCCAACAUCUAGAAGAGUCCAGAAGCCACGGGAACGAGCGGGAGACCGAGCGGACCCGGGGGCAGGGCGCCCACCCUCCUGCCUUGGGCGCCCACCCUGGCCUAAGAGCCAAUCAGGCUCCGCCUGGCGGAUCAUGCUCCACCGACCUAAGGGAUUAAGAAAAACCGUGCGAUUAAGGUCGGUUUGAUCCGACGGUCCAUAUUCAUUUGGAGGGACUACAUAAGCAGACCCCCUGGCCCCUGGAGGAGAGGACCUGAGAAACCCUAAUUCAUUCAUUCAUCUCGGGAGAAGAAGUCUUUGAUCAAGCCCUAGAGCCUCCACAUCAACUAGAUCUCUAGUUUAGCAUAGCUACAUAGGAUUAGAACUAGAAGGAGUCAAUCUUCGAUUGGUUUCCGGAUCUGUCAAGAGGAUUCUUGGUACUUCCUCUACUGUUCUUCAUUUGUUCAUCAUUGUUCUUCAAUAUUAUGGAUAUGACUUUGUUCUACUUCAAUAUAUUGAUUAUGACUUUGCUCUACUUGUUUAUAUUUGCAAUUAUAUCGUUCUUAGUUUAUCUUAGUUAUAUGCUUGGCUUAGUUAGAUUGGAAUUAUAUACAUGUUUAGGAUCGUAUAGCGUUUAUCCAUGUGUACAGUGGGUAAAUGAUAAGUAUUGUGUAGGCGUGGUGCCUAUACCGGAUUUAUCUGCGAUUGUACCCUAUAUGCCGGAUCGCGGGGUAGUUUAUGGUAGUGACAGCUCCAUUGAUUCUUAUACAGUCCCCCUCUCGUGUAUAGGGCAGGCAGAGCAACAUUAUUACAGAGGAGUGAUUGCUAUGUUUCUCAUCUUCCUUGAUAAUAUCACUAUGCAUGGACAUAGUCCUGUCUCGCAAUGAUUGCCAAGUAUAAUUGCACUAACUAUGAUAUGCUAGACUUUAUAGUUAAGAAUAACUUAGGAAAUAUUCUUGUAGUUCAUCCUAAUCCCAUGCUAAUGACUUGCUAGAAUAUCUGUUGAGGUGCUUAUCAUUAUUAAAUGUAGCUAGUUAUGCUGAUCAGAUUAAUUAUCUUUGUCACCAUUCAUACUUUAUCUAUAAUUUAUGUGACAUUUAUCCCUGUAUGAAAGAGAUAGAUAAAUGCUCUCUAUUACACAUGCAAUAAUAGAAACUCAAUUUCAUAUUCCAUUCCAUAAUCAACAUUGAUGAUUAGCAAUCCCUUCCUAGUGGUAAAAAAAUAUAAAUAACGAUACCUGCAAUACUUCCCGGUUAAAAUGCUACAUCGGUAUUAAUCUGUGCGCUUGCAGAUCUCAUUUAUUACUUAUUCAGAAGAGCAAUUGCAUAUUUCAAUACCGUGUCUCUCAUGUCAUGCUGGGGAUGACAACUUGGCUUAAGUGGCAUGAGGGAUAGGUUUGACAUUUUUGGCGCAGUUAUCAGAAUUAGAAAACUAAGUCUACUUUUGGUAAUGACGUUAAGAAUGCCCAACAAGCAUUUUUGGCGCCGUUAUCAAAAUCAGAAAACUAAGUCUACUUUUGGUAAUGACAUUAAGAAUGCCCAACAGAGGUUACCUCAGACAAUGAACCCACUGAGUAAGUCUGAAAGGUCCUUGUUUGGUUUUGGUAAUUGAGUGACUACUUAGGUGGACUAAUAGUGUUUUUGUGAGAUACACAGGAGAUUAUUCCACAGGUGAUUAUGUGAUGAUGGAGGAGCUCAUUGCACAUGAGACAUGAUAUGGAGUCAUGUGACCAAGGUGGAGAAGAUCAAGAUAAGGCUUGGCUGGAUGGACCGGUUGCAAGAGUGAAGGGCAAGUCGGAGGCUUUGAAGCGAGGGACCGCGUGUGACGGUGAAGCUUGAGCAAGACUUGGCACCGAUGGACCGAGGCAACGGUUGGUGAGGUCGUUGUCCCGAUCUUCACGACGUAGGAUGGAUAACUAGCUGAAGAUCAGCCGAUAACUUGCUGCAAGCAGCGAGGAUAACUAGUGCAACCUGACGACACGCACAAGGAGCCAACCACCGUCUCUAUACGGCAGCCUGAACCAAGGAUUCGCCCAACCACACUCUCAAAGAACCAACCUACACAACCUGAACUCGAGGAUCAGGAGCACGGAUUGGGUGCCGAUGACGCGGCCGCUUCUGUAAUCUCCGCGAAGGAAAACACAAGAGCAAAGGGGUAGAGAUCACUCUCUGAAUUUGUUAGCACGCAGCUGAACAAAGGGGUUCUGUAUUUCAAUUCUCAAAGUCUUAGAUUACAAUGAGUCUUAGGGGGUAUUUAUACUAGCAACAGCCCUGCUAGAUAGGUAUGAAAACGAAAUAGAGUUUCUGAGAGAAGGCAAUGUGAAAGGUCCCCUCGAAAUGGAUUCCCGAAGUGGCUUCGCGUGACUGUUGGCCUCCAGAGCAGUUUCCAAUAAACUGACCAUAACUUUUUAUUGGGAAGUCCAAAUGAUGAACCGUUUCUUGGGUGUGAAACUAGACUCCAAGAGAUUUCCAGCAACGUAUGCCAUGCACCACGAAACGCUGUAGAGUGGUACAGUUUUACUUGGCAAGUUGUACCAACAUUCUGUCAUGACAGACUGUUGACCUUCUGAGCAGUCUGUACUAAUUCUGGUCUGCAGGCAAUAUGGAAUAUCCAAACUGGUCUCCACUUGAUUCAUUGGAAAGUAGACUUGUCAAGCUUUCCAACAAGUGCUCAUGGGCCUUCAUAGCACCUUGGUAUUGAAAGUUAUGAUCUUUUCUUUCAACUGGUCCGUUCUGCACCGCACUGGUCCGAUCUGCCCAUCUUUCAACUGGUCCGUUCUGCACCGUGUUGUUCCAAUCCUUGCGAUCCAGGUCACCUCCCUCCUCAUGUGUAUACCUAAGCACAACCAAAUUAGAACACUUAGGUAGUAUAAUAUUCUCAUUAACAUUAAUAGAACUCUCGCAAAGUAGCGCGUUCACCUCUUGUUGUAGCUUCUUGGCUCGGCUACGUGUAAUUGCUCCAUCAAUGGCUUGGGCUGGUGCCGGUGUAAUCGGUGUAGAGGUUGGCGUGGAAUUGGAGGGAGCAUGCUUGGUUGGGAUGUCCUCAUCAACGGUGAAGAGCAAGUGAGGUCAAGAUCGAUGAACCAAUACAGUCACGUGAUCAUAUGAAGUGGAUCAUAUCUUUUGGUGAUUGGUUGGUGCAUGUGUUGCAUCAACAUUGGAGGAGAUGAAAUGGAAAGCGCAAGGCAAAGGUAUAACCUAGGGCAUUUCCAUUUCACCGGUCAUAGGUUUGUAGAGAAGUUUAUGACCGGAUUUAGGAUAGAUGGCCAUACUAUCAAGAGGGGCAAACUUGUUUGCAUAUCGGUCAUCUAGUGCCACUUGAGUGAUCUAACUUUGCAUACGUGUUAGGAUCGAGUGGCGUGGCAAGUUUGAGAGCCUAACUCCUUUGGGAAAAUGUUUGUGAAAAUGCUAACACACUCGCACAUGGUGGUGUACUCUUGUUGGUGUUGGCACACUUUGCAAAGGAGGUGGAGUUCCUAGGGUUGAGAGGGGUGUGGGUUCUUUUGAGAAAAUUAAGUGCAUAUUUUCUAUUGCACCGAUGGGAAAUUUGGAGAAGUCGCGGGAGUGUUUUCUCACUAAGAAACACUCACCGGACGCUGAGUGCGGAGGCACCGGACGUUUGCCUCAGAGUCCGAUGUGCUUAACUCUGCUAGGGUUGAGCACUGGACGCGCUCUGAGAGUGUCUGGUGGUUAGCGUCCGGUGUGAGGGUGUUUUGCAACCCUCCCUGUGUUUAAGUCCGGUGAGCAACGGACGCUCAGGGUGCGUUCGGUGGCUCGCGUCCGGUGACCCUGCGAAUUUGCGGAGCUCUCUGCGCACGGGUCCGGUGUGCACCGGACGCGUCCGGUGGUGCUGUGCAGGCGCGCGUGCACAGUAGCCGUUGGCGGUAACGGUCGAGUUCAAAUGGCUAGUGACACGUGGCUGACGCCUGAGCACCGGACGCUGGUGGUUGAGCGUUCGGUGCCUCCCUGUGAGCGUCCGGUGCCCACGUGUUUUGCCCAGUGAAGGGGCAACGGCUAGUUUAGCCCUUGGGGCUAUAAGUAGAAGUGGUGGCCAGCCUUGGCUUGUGCUGAGCACCCUUGGGACUUAGUUUCCAUGCUUGGGGAGUGCUAGUGAAGCCUCUAACUCACAUAUGCUUGAUAGUGAUCAUCCAAUUGUGUGAGUGAGCGAUUCUAGUGCGUUGCAUUGAGAGAUUGCAUCGAGUGGCACUAGGUGUUCGUGUUGCAAGCCGGUAGUGCUUGUUACUCUUGGAGGUUGCUACCUCCUAGAUGACUUGGUGGCUGGUGACUCCGUCGAAGCACGCAAGGAGAUUGUGUGGUGCUCCAGAGAAGAGAUUGUGAGGGGUACGGUGUUCACUCCGUGGGGAUCGCAAAGAGCAACUCUAGUGGAGCGAGACGUGAAGAGCGACAAGUGGUCAGGCCGGGUCAAGUGCAAGAGCUUGUGGUAAGCACUCCACGUGGGAGAGUGUGACUUGCAGGUCACCACUAGCAAGAGGACCGGCGGCAACCUUGGAGCUUGUCUCAACGGGGACGUAGCUUUGUGGCAACCAAGUGAACCUCAGGAGAAAAUCAUCGUGUCAACAUUGUUCUUCCUGUUGGUUUGCAAAGUCCCUAACACAAGCUUGUUCUUACAUUCAUAUACUUGUGCUUGUGUAGUUGCUCUUGUAAUUAGUUAGCUUGUGUCGCUUGCUAGUUACCUUCUUGCUUGUGUAGCUAGAAGUAGUUCCCUUGCGUGACUAAUUUGGUUUGUGUAACCUUGUUAGUCACAUUGCUUAGUUUGUGUAGCUAAUUAAGUUGCGUUCUCUAAUUGGCAUUAGUUGCCUUGUUAUUGAGCAUUGCUAGUGAGCUUAGCAGCUUUGUGCUUUUUGCUUACUAGUUGUGUAGGAGCUCCCCAGUUUACAAAGUACUAGUUGCAUAGGUUUGUGUGACCUUGCUUCUAGAAUUGAUUAGGUGAGCUCUUGCUAAGGUAGCACCUUGCUUGCUUGUUUAGGAUCUUUUCAAGGUGCUAGAGAACUUAGAUAGAGGGAUAGUCUUGGCUAGACCGAUAGUUUUAAUUCUGCAUUUGUAUCGGUUAGUCGGCGUAGUAAAUUUUAGGAAGGACUAUUCACCCCCCUCUAGUCCGCCAUCUCGACCCUUCAAAGUCAUCUCCACUAUCUAAGUCCUAUCGAUAGACUUUAAAUUCCAUACCCUAGCCAUAAGGUUAGAAUGGUAGUUAUCUAGUUAAAUUAGCAUUCAUUAGUAAUUUUACUUUAAUAUAUUUAUUAGCAUAUUUAUUUCUCUUGGCAUAUUAAUAUGAAAUACAAACAAAAAUAUUUAUUGGUUCAAUUACUGCAUCAUAAAUACUAAAGCCCCAUGUGAAUAAACUUAUGGUAAUCCCUUAGGAAUAUUUACUGUGGUGGCGUAAAUAAUAAUAAUAAUAAUAAAAUAAAAUAAAUAGCAUUCAUAUUUAAUUUUUGCAUCAUAAAUAGAAAAUUCAAAAAGAAGAGAAAUAUGAAAUCUUGCUUAAAUCAGACAACAUGAAAAUUAGCUCAUAAGAAUAAUCAAUUGCUCAUUGGCUAACAGCUAACCCAUAUUUCAAUACGAGCCUCGAGUUUUGGUUUUCUUGUUGGAGUAUGACUAUGCAGGGAUAAUAUCAUAACGAGGAGAGAGUUCAUCAGUGGCACCCACCAUCGCCACUGGCUAGCUCACUCUAAAGGACAUCUACACCAAGUAUUGCAAACAUCUAGCUUGGGAGGAGCAUCCCCUAGUUAUCAGGUAAUUAUACCUAAACGAUUAUCGAGUCUACAUAGUCAUAAAAAUACCAAAAUAUAUGGGCACAUGAAGGUCCACAAGUCAUAGAGUCUUUUUGUGAGUUUAAAAUUAGUUAAAUAUUAGAGUUUAUUUAGAGUCAGUCUAAACUAGAGCUAAAUAAAAAUUGAUGAAUAUUUAAAUUUUGCCUUGGAAAUGAUGAAUAGUUCCUCUAUUCUUUACAAGUGCCUAGAUUCCAACUGUAGAUUUUCUCAAAUUUUAGACAUUACUAUUUUAAUUCAAAGAUUUACUCUAAACCUGCAAUUUGUGGAGGCAUAAGUUCGAGCUAAGUCUAGGUAGUUGGUUGAUAUGGUCAUUGAAAGCUUGAGCUACUAUUUAUCUUAUUCCUAGCAUUACUAAGUUCUGGAGAUUUAUUUUAAAAACCCAAAAUCCUGCAUGAUGAGCUCUACAUGUAUGACAAAGUGUUAAUUCCUACCAAAGCCAUAUAUAAUAUACAUUUAGAGUUAGGAAAACAUUUGCAAAUUUAUGCUGCUUGCUUUGCAUUGAGUUUAGUCAACCUUUGUCAUAUACCUUAUGAAAGCCUUGUCAUGCUUUCUAAAUCAAGGUUACGUACAUACUCCAGUUCAUAUAUGCAUUAUUCCUACACUGGGAGUAAACACCAACAAACACCCCAUAGGAUAACCCUUGUCUUUAAUGUUCUAAGUUCUUGUUAUUACCUCUCUAAUCAUUUAUUCAAAGGAUACAUGUGGCUAAAAGAAGAAAAGGGAGUAAAUGAUGGACAAGUGUCCCAAUAAUUAAAACAAUGGGUACUAGAUGCCCACCUCCAUGUAUAAAAAAGGGAGAGAAUAAUAAAGAUAGCCCAUGUCUUUCCUGAAAAGUUUCAAUAGAGAGUUAUUCCCAAAGAAAUGUAAAUUAGCCACAAAUACCACAAAUACUCCUAUCCACCAUAUUCCAUAGUAUGGCUCGAUUCUCUAUGGAUCCAUUAGUUGAGUUUACACAUACAUGCAUUGCAAGUAUGCUUAUCCUUGUUAUUAGCACUCCUUUAAGCUCCACCAUAUAUAUAUAUAUAUAGCUAUAGGAGGUAUAAAUGCUUCAAGAGAGAACCAUAAAUACCACAUAUAUUGAGAGACUUGAGGGUGUCAUACAAUUAAGCUCUGAGUUUUAUUCUAAAAACUUAUAAAAAACUCCAAAAUAAUGGUUUUGUAAAGAAUUUGAGACAUAUGCUUGACCUGAUUGUUCUAUCUUCUGAUUGCUCAAGACUCAUGCAAAAGCUAUAAAGCCCCAUGGUUAAAGAAAAAUGGGUAAGUUUGAAGACUAGAGCAAGUAUUGACUAAUCCGGAGGAGAAUCUUUGUUUGGGAACAUGUGUACUGGGAAAGAAUGAAAAUAUCAUAGCAACUCUUGAUCCAAAUACAUUUACUGCUUAGGCUCAGUUGCCAAGGGAUUGGCAAAAGGUGAGCUUGGGGAAAUUGUUGAUGGUCGAUAACAUCAACUUUUAUUAUAACUUUAAACCUGAAGGAGAUCAUGACUACACACUAGUAUAGGGUUUAAACAAGCAAUUUCCACGAGUUUUAUAUAUUCUGUAUUUUCCAGGGUAAAUUUUAGGAAAGCUGCAAAAGAGGGACUCUAAUGCAAAUCAAAUAUAGAAACAUAUCCGCCACGAGAAACAGCACGAGGGGGGAGCCAGCGGUUGCUAGGUGGGGCCCUAAUGCAAUCUAUAUUCAUAUUUGUUAUUCUAUAACUACGCCAAUGAAUAACUCUAAUUAGUGCAAUUAUAUCUAGAAAUCAUCAUUAAGUCAACCCUAUAUCAUAAUUACAUGUAAAGAGGCAUCAACUAAUGAGGGUUUUAAGACGCAACCGUCACCUCCUUUGCGAUUUAACCGAGACGUGCGCGCUGUCGGAUCAAACCGAUUUAACCAAGGGCCAAGAUGACUCCUCAAAGGUGGUGGAGGAAGCUUCCGGAAGGGGGGCACCAAACCCUAGAGCAGGGGGUCGGCCUAGCAAUGUAAUUAGAGAUGACAACCUACAUUUGUUAUUCUCUAUCUUUACAGUAGAACAUGUGAAUCUAUAUUAAAUUCCUAGCAAUGUAAUUAGGGAUGACAACCUACAUUUGUGCUUAGGAAUGUUUGAGUGGUUUAUUGCUAUUUGACAAGUUAAUUAAAUACCGUGCAUUUUUGGUGUUGUUACUAGGAGUAGGGUUUAUCUCUAUUUUUAGUGAUGAUAGUGAUGACAGUAGUAAAUGUCAACAACUUCUAAUCUAACUAACUAGAACUAUGAACUAGAAGGCUCUUAAUGAACUUGAAGGCACUUGAUGCUUGAUGUCUUAAGGCCUUGAUGAAUAAUGAAGUGGCUCUCUCUAGGGGGGUCUACCCAUGUAUUUAUAGUCCGGUGGGAUGCGCAUGCGUCGUAGGAUCAAACCGAUUUAAUCAAGGGCCUAGCUGCAUUAGGAGAGGCAGUGGAGGAAGCUUCCAGAAGAGGAGACCAAAACCCUAAGGGGGCACUGGUUGGCGUUAAGGUGGGGCCGACCAGCCUCACCUAGCAGCCGCCAGGCCCCCUGUUGCUUCGGGUGCCUUCUCGAUCCUUCCUGAGAAUUCUCGCGAUGUUUUCUGUGGUGGAUAAGUUUAAUGUUUAUUUUGCACUAGAGUCCCUCUUUUUAACUUUUCUGAAAUUCACCCUAAAAAUACAGAAUAUACAAAACUCAUAGAAAUUGUCGGAUAAAACCCUAGACUAGUGUGUUUUUAUGUUUUCCUUCAAGUAUAAAGUUAUAAUAAAAGUUGAUGUUAUCGACCGUCAACAAUUCCCCCAAGCUUAACUUUUGCCAGUCCCUUGGCAAACCAAGCCUAAGCAGUAUAUGUAUUUGAAUCAAGAGUUGCUACAAUGUUUUCAUUCUUUCCAAGUACACAUGCUCUCAAACAAAGAUUCUCCUCCGGAUUAGUUAAUAACUGCUCUAAUAUGUAAACUUACCCAUUUUACCUUUAACCAUGGGGCUUUAUAGCUUUUGCAUGAGUCUUGAGCAAUCAGAAGACAGAACAAUCAGGUCAAGCACUAUGUCUCAAAUUCUUUGCAGAACCAUUGUUCUAGAGUUUUUAUAAGUUUUCAGAAUAAAACUCAGAGCUUAAUUGUAUGACACCCUCAAGUCUCUUAAUAUAUGUGGUAUUUACGGUUCUCUCUUGAGGCAUUAAUGAUGUUAUGCCUCCUAUAGCUAAAGGUAUAUGUAUGGUAGAACUUAUAGGAGUUCUAAUAACAAGGAUAAGCAUACUUGCAUUGCAUGUAUUGUAAAGUCAACAAUGGAUCCAUAGAGAAUCGAGGCAUACAAUCAAACCAAGGUGUGCAUGUGUAUGGAAUAUGGUGGAUAGGUGUAUUUGUGGUAUUUGUGGCUAAUUUAUAUUUCUUUGGGAAUAGAUCUCUUUUGAAACUUUUUCAGGUAAGACUUGGGCUAUCUCUUCUCUCUUUCUCUUUUUUAAAUUCAGGGAGGCGGGCAUCCAGUACCCAUUGUUUUAUUUAUUGGGACACUUGUCCAUCUUUUACUCCCCUUUCAUCUUUUAUAUUUUUGCAUAGCCACAUGUAUCCUUUUGUUGACACUGUAUUCUAACAUGAAUUAGCAAAGUUAAUGAAGCCUGGAUCGGUAGUGUCGGUGUUUUACCCCCGGGGGGUCACACCAACGAGUAAACUUGUAUACGUGUUCCCUCUCCCAGAUGGUGAUGCGAGAAAGACACAGAGAUUUAUCCUGGUUCAGGCAAGAGAAGGCCCUACGUCUAGCGGGGGGAUGUUUUUCUAUUAUCUCGCACCUAAGUGCUUGUACAGGGGUGAAUACAGGCCAGUGUCGCUGAGAAUGGUGAUGUAUCGGUGGCUGUUCUACGUGUGGUGUUGUUCUUAUACUCUUCCCCAGCCUCCCCUUUUAUAGUUCCAAGAGGAGACCUAGGUUACAUGGUAUAGGUAAUAAAAUAAGGGUCGAUAGGAGCGUGGUGUGCUGACUUACUCGAGACUUUCGUACCGGCGUGGCUUCGAGUCGUCUUGUUUACCGGGUUCUUUGGUGAUGAUUGCGCAUGCUUCUGUAUUCGGCUCUUGUGCGUCGCCUUGGAUUGGUUUAACCGUGGGCACACCUGUACGUCAUGGCAGUAGUCGCGUCCAGAGUGGUUGAGGUGCUGACUUUCGUCACCUGACUCUUCUCUGGGAAGGAACGUACUCGUUCGAGGGUCCGGCACUACGCAGGGCUUUGUUGAGCGGUGCGCUGACUUUGGGUGCUUUGAGGGGUGCCGUGAUGUGACAUCCCGACUGUCUCACCGUUCUUGGCUGUACUCUUGCUCAUCUGGGGGAUAAAGCUGUGAAAAGUGGGAUUGGACGGGUGCUCGCUCCCUAUCACGUUUCCCAUGACUGUCGGGUUAGAUGAGAGCGUGGCAGGCGCAUUAAAUACCCUGACUCCCAUACCCAUGACAGGCGGCGGACGGCGCCCUUGUGCUCGAGGCCUGUUGAUUCGCCCGAGCCACUUCCGUAUUCGACGGUUGCCGUUUAGUCGACCCUCCAUUGAUUCGCACGACCCUAUUUCCGUGUUCAAGGCUAUGGUUAGCGUCGAGCUUUGGUGAUCGUGCGUAUAAGCGGGGGCGUCGAGUUAGGGCCUCGACUUAUGUACAGAUCUCUUCAUUAUGAGCAUUAGUUGGGAUACCCCUUAUUGACACCCUCGACAGUAGCCCCCGAGCCUCUGCUCGAGUGCUUGCACUCGAGUGGAGGUUCUUCCGUUGGUCGGGUUUUCGCGGGGUCGCGCGAGCGACCCCCGCGGGGGUAGCCCCCGAGCCCUUGGAGGAGUCUUUAACUCCCUUGAGGGCUAUAUGGCUUUUUCUAAUGGAAUUGUUCUCGCCCUCCCCUUUCUCCAAAAGUCAUUUGUUGUGGAAGAGGGGUCUCGAGCCUUAGCCGGUCGUUUCUGCCUUUUCGAGGCUGGGGUCGUGACGUACUCCUGAGGAGCGAUCGUCACUUAUCCCUGGAUGAGUCCCUAUCGAGUAAUCAAAGUGAGAAUCUGUGCCAAGUUCAAGGGGGUUAGCUGCAGCCCGGAGGCAUUCUCAUAAAAGCGGGGCUAGCGCGGUCGGGGUUACUGGCCUCGUUUGAUAGAGUGCAGUGGCUCGUUGCCUCCCUCCAUGGGGAUUCCUCUCGACCUUCUUGCCCCUGCCUUGGAUAUCCCCAGCGAGUCUUUUGAGGCAGGCCUCGUUUUCGACCCUUCGCCGGGCACCCCUGACUCUGGUACUCGAGGGCGACCGUCGAACCCAUCCGGUGGGCCAGUCUGCGAUCCCUCGAGAUUGCUAUUGCGGUGCGCGCGUACCUUACCUUACAAGAGAAGGAAAAGCCGUGGCGGUUCACUUUCUUGCCCGUUGGGCGCACCCUUUUAGGCGGGAGCUGUUGCAGCAUUUGCGCCGUUGUGGAAGUCGUAGCGCCCUGUCAGUGAGAGUAACAGGACCGUUAGGCGGCGCAUUUACUAGGGAGGUUACCAUAUUCACCGGAUCUGCCCAUUUGGGGUUGGAUGUCUAUAAAUAUCGUUGGGUCCCUCAGCCGCUACUCCUUCCGCCUUCCGCCAUUGUUCCUGCCCUUGCUCUUCUUUGUCAUCCUACGCGCGCGCGUCCUCGAGCACUUAGCAGCGGAGCCGACUUUCUUCUUCCGUCAAGAUGCCGGUGAGGUUCAUCACUGUCGAUGACUGGCGCCCAUCGUCGAUGACAGAGCGCCGCCUACUGGACCUCGAGAAGGAGGGACUUCUGCGCCCCCGCAUUUCCUCAUCGUGGCUGGAGUGGAUCGCACCGGCGGCAGACCACCGGGAGCCGAGGCCGCCUAUGGGGUAUGUGGUCUCCUUCGCCAAAUUUCAUCGUCACGACCUCGGUUAUCCCCAAGCCGCUUCAUGCGGGCGCUCUGCCACCACUAUGGUGUGGAGCUCUAGCAUUUUUCGCCUAACGCCAUCACCACCGCGGCGAUUUUUGCCGAGGUGUGUGAAGGCUACCAGGGGAUGAUGCCGCAAUGGGAUCUUUGGCUCCAUCUAUACCAGGGCAAACUCUUUCACACCCCUGGUGGAGCCACAGGGGUGAGGAAGCCAGUGCAAGCCGGAUGCCUUAACCUGGUGCAGAAGACAGGCAAGGCGGAGGAGCCUCGGGAGUACAUCCUAGUUGGGCUGACGUCGAACCACGCCCAAUGGGACUCCCAGUGGUUCUAUCUUCGAAACGACGACGACCUCUUCCACGACUACACCGGGAGUUUGAUCUCGGAGCGUCUGGACAACUAGAAUUAUGGCAUCAUCAAGACCCUUCAGUCGCGGCUCCGCCCCAUCCUCGACGCCCUGAAGAAGCUACGUGAGGAAGGUCUGACCGCCGCGUUCGUCCUCUCGGCUGUCCACCAUCGACGGGUACUCCUGUUGAUGUCUCGACCGCUGAGAAUGGAUGAGAUGAGUCCCGGCGUCUCGUCUCGCGACCUCGAGGCAUGCCGGAUGUCCAAUGAGGCGCCUGCGGAUGAGGAGGUCACCGCCAGGGUCAGGGCAGCCGUCGCCGGCGAUUUUCAGCCUGAGCACGUCAACGGCUUCCCCAUGAAGCCUGACGAGGGCUCGAUCAACCUGGUAAGCUCUUCCUAUUGCCGUUACUCAAUUUUUGAUCUUUCCGAUCCUCCCUAGGACUCAUGCCUGCUUGCACAGGGACCGAUCGACGCUCGGUCCUCGAAGCCUCCGGUAAAGGAGGACGACGUCGACCGUGAGAGGUGGCGCAAAUCCGCAGAGAAGCAAAAGUCCACAAAGGACUUGGAAAAGAAAAAAGAGAAGAAAAAGAACCUCGAGUGACAAGCGCUCGAGAAACGCCAUGCGAAAUCGAGGCAGAAGGGGGAGUCCGAGGAAGAUUCCCCUGACGAGGACGAUGGAAACGAGGGCGACGAUGAUAGCGACGACUCCGAGGGGAUGGCAGCUCGUCUUGACAGGAUCCUCGAGGGCCCGCCACAAGCCGACGUCGACGUACCACGGACGGGGGCUCCUAAGAGGGCAUCGGGUGAUCCCCGCGACGGUCAGCAAAAGGAGUCCUCGCCACGCUGUUCUCGUGCCGACACCCUUCCUGCACCAGCACAGGGCCGGGCCGUUCCUCAGCCGCAACCUCCUCCCGCGUCUGGGGUGGGCCACCAGGUCAAGACUAUGGCGACGGGGCCAUUGACCCAUGGCCGCGCCGCCGUGGCGGCCUCAAGUCAGAAGGAAGGAGGUCGUGGGAGCUCUAGCCCCGGUGCUCGCCGGGCGGGAGAUGUGGAGCCGAGGCCCGUGCCUGCCCAGGAAAAGCCCGGGGUAUCGACGCGGGGCGGCUCGAGGCCAGUUGGUCGAGGGACUGGCAGGCGGGUUGUUCUUCUCGUGGGGUAAGAUUUUUACAUUGGGACUUUUGCUUUCCGAUGUCUUGCACCCCGUUUGGUCUAUGCUUCUCUUAGGCUAUUCCCCAUUUUCUUAGGUUGAAGCGACCGUUCGAACAGGCCCAAUGUUGGGUAUUCUUGACAUCACUACCACAAGUAGACUUAGUUUUCUAAUUCUGAUAACGGUGCCAAAAAUGCGAAACCUAUCUCUCAUACCACUUAAGCCAAGUUGUCAUCCCUAGCAUGACAUGAGAGACGCGGUAUUGAAAUAUGCAAUUGCUCAUCUAAAUAAAUAAUGAAUGGGAUCUGCAAGCGCACAGAUUAAUACCGAUGUAGCAUUUUAACCGGGAAGUAUUCCAAGUAUCGUUAUUUAUAUUUUUACCACUAGGAAGGGAUUAGUAAUCAUCAAUGUUGAUUAUAGAAUAGAAUAUAAGAUUGAGCAUCUAUCAUUGCAUGUAUAAUUGAGAACAUUUACCUAACUCUUUCAUAUAGGGUUAAGUGUCACAUAAAGGAUAUAUAAAGUAAUGAAUAGUGACAAAGAUAAUUAAUUUGAUCAGCAUAACUUAGCCACAUAUAAAUAUAAUAAGCACCUCAAUUAGAUAUUCAAGCAAGUCAUUAGCAUGGAAUUAGAACGAACUACAAGAAUAUUUCCUAAAUUAUUCUUAACUAUAGAGUCUAGCAUAUCAUGGAUAGUGCAAUUAUACUUAGCAAUCAUUGUGAGACAAGAUUACGCCCAUGCAUAGUGAUAUUAUCAAGGUAAAUGAGAAACAUAGCAAUAACUUCCCUGUAAUAAUAUUGCUCUGCCAGCCCUAUACUUGAGAGGGGGACUAUAUAAGAAUCAAUGAAGCUGUCACUAUCACGAACUACCCCGCGAUCUGGCAUAUAGGGUACAAUCGCAGAUAAAUACGGUAUAAGCACCACGCCUACACAAUAUCUAUCAUUUACCCAUGGAUCCGAUGGAUAAAUGCUAUACGAUGCUGAACAUGUAUAAUUUCAUUAUUUAUUUAGAUGAGCAAUUGCAUAUUUCAAUACCGCGUCUCUCAUGUCAUGCUGGGGAUGACAACUUGGCUUAAGUGGUAUGAGGGAUUGGUUUGGCAUUUUUGGCACCGUUAUCAGAAUUAGAAAAUUAAGUCUACAUUUGGUAAUGAUGUUAAGAAUACCCAACAAGCAUUUUUGGCGCCGUUGCCGGGGAAGGUUGAUUACUAAUCAGGAAUGGAUAUACAUUUUCGAGUCAUCAUUCGCAUCACUAAUAUGAUUGAGCUUAUCAAUUCUCUCAUACAGUUUUACCCCAAUAUUUCUCUAUUUCAUCUUAUGCAACGGAAUGUAUGAAUAGAAGACAUCUUCCACGAAAUUUUGUUGACAAUCCCGAAGUGUUAUUUAGAAAACAAGAGCCAAGCUCAAGAAGAGAUCAUCAACACUUCAGCAAGAAGCUUCAUCCAAUCAAGAAGAUCACCGGAACUUGUGUUCAGAGUUCGAAGCCAUGGCGAACAAAUCGAUCCGUGAGUUCUCAGCUCCCACUACGGACAACAUCCGCACUGGACCUGCUGCAGAGAUCGAUGGCAACUUUGAGCUCAAGCCUGGACUUAUCAACAUGGUGCAAUCCAAUCAGUUCUGUGGGAAGGUACACGAAGAUGCUAGUGCACAUCUCCAACACUUCCUGGAGAUUUGCAACACAUUCACCAUGUCAGGAGUCCCUAGAGAUGCUAUACUACUUCGCCUCUUCCCGUUCUCACUGUUAGGAAGAGCGAAGCAGUUGUUCUAUGCUACAAAGGAAAAGAAUACUACGUGGGCACUCUGCUCCAUGAACUUUCUGGCUAAGUUCUUUCCCAUGGGCAAGACUAAUGCUCUCCGUGGGAAAAUUACAAGUUUUCAGCAACAACAUGACGAAUCCGUUCCAGAAGCAUGGGAGCGCUUCCAAGACUACAUCCUAGAAUGUCCCCAUCAUGGAAUGGAGAGCUGGCUACUAAUGCAGACGUUUUAUCAUGGGCUCGGCAACAGUGCUCGAGAGACCAUGGAUGCUGCAGCUGGAGGAGCAUUCCUAUCACUUACCAUAUCACAAGCCACAACUCUUGUUGAGAAGAUGGUGUCCAACCAAAGCUGGAAUGAAGAGAGGACCUAGACAUGCAAGAAAGGUGGACGUAUGCAUCAGCUCAAGGAGGUAGACAUGCUGUCUGCAAAGCUAGACCUGCUCAUGAAGAAGCUCGAUGAUAGAGCUGGAGAUAAGAAAGAAGUUAUGCACAUCCUCACAUGACUUGUGAGGAAUGUGGAGAUACUGGACACUCAGGCAAUCACUGCCCUGAGAUGCUUGAGGAUGUGAACUACAUCAACAAUAACAACAACUACUACUACAACCGUCCUCAACAAAAUCAAGGUUGGAAUCAACAGAGGCCUAACUACUCAGGUAAUUAUCAAGGUAACAAUUCUUAUAACAAUAAUAAUAAUUUUCCACCUCUGAGAGAGUUAGUGUCUAAUCAAGGAAAGCUAUUGGAUAAUCUAUCAAAGAAAUUGGCAUCUAAUGAUAAAAUGCUAGAAAAUAUAAAUAAUAGAAUGGAUAAUUUCUCUACUGCCAUCAAGAAUCAAAUUAGCUUUAAUAAAAUGAUUGAAUCUCAGUUAAAUCAAAUAGCUGCUGCUGUUCCUGCUACUAACCCCGGUAUACUAUCACAAUUGGAAGGAUUAGAAUCUACAAAUCUUGUAGACAUUUUUGAUGCAGGUAACUGGAGUAACCCCAUCAUUGAAGUUACUACUGACCUUCUGCCAGUCAAGAGAGGCGAUCUAGGAUGCCCCGUCAUCCCGAUCUCCAUCGGCAUGGUGGACUUCCCAGAAGCACUCUGCGACUUUGGCUCUAGCGUCAACAUUAUGCCCAGAGUACUCUAUGAAAAAUUCUUUACAUAUCCUUUACUAGAAACAACCAUGUGUUUGCAGUUUGCAGAUCAGGCGUUAAGUUUUCCAAAAGGAAUAUUGAAGAACCUUUGUGUCCGAGUUGGUACCUUGUAUGCCCCAGCAGACUUCGUGGUGAUAGAGACCGGUAAUGAUGAGAGGGCACCCAUCAUCUUAGGGAGGCCAUUCUUAAACACCUCGGGAGCUGUCAUCUACGCUAGUGCUGCCAAGAUCAGUUUCUACAUUAAAGGGAGGAAGGAGACAUUUUCCUUCAAGAACAAGACUACACAAAUCCCAGAUCAAUCUUGACAUGAACCAAGGAAGAGGACCAACAGGAGGAAUAGGAACAAGCAAGUGUGGAUCGAGUCAGCUAAGAUGGUCACUGCAGUUCGUGGAGGUCAAGAUCAUAGACUUAAGUCACCGUUUCUGACCAAGAAGGAUGACCCAGGAAUGCCAAGCAUCUAUUGCUCCAUAAAUGGAUACAACUUCUACAAGACGACUUGCGACACCGGAUCGGGCAUCAACAUAAUGGCCGCAGUCACCUAUCGGCUCUUGUUCGGAACCAUGCCCCUAAAACCAACAAACAUUCAACUCCAGAUGGCAGAUCAGACGUUUCGAGAAGUUAGAGGAAUAGUAACUGAUGUCCCUAUCAAAAUAGACGAUCACUUUAUCUACACAGACUUUCAGGUUAUCGACAUGGGAGAAGACGAAUACGAUCCACCCAUCAUCCUUGGAAAACCGUUCCUCAGCACCAUUAAAGCAAUCAUCUACAUUGGAACUGGAGAAGUCCAUAAGCACUUCCCCUCAGAGAAGUUACGCCGCUAUUUUACUGACCCUAACUAUAUCGUUGUGUUGACACCAUUUUUGGACAUGUACCCAGAGAUCAGUGGAGUAUAGAUCGGCAGGUGGAGCAACGGUAACUAUCUGCAGGGGAGUUGCCGAUGAAGGCAUUUACCGAUGAAGAGACAGCUAAAUGUGACUAAGUCUAGAAGUAAUAACGCGUUCGUGCCGAUGGUCAGCGUUAGUCUUUGCCGAUGGCUAUGAUGAGAAGUCUGCCGAUGACUCGGAAGGAGAACGUGAAGGUUGCCGAUUGAUCUAUGGCGGUGUCCCAGUUUGUCACAGGAGGAUAUUUUUAUGUUUUUCAUAGAUAUUUAAAUUCAUUUUGUAUACGGAUUCCGUUUAAUUUGGAAUUCGAGUCCUAGUCAUGUCUGAUUGUAGCUCUUUGAGCAGGGUAUAAAUGUAGACCCUAGGGCCUUGUAAUCAAUCGAUCAAUCAAUCAAACACAAGUUUUUACUCAUAUUCCAGCAAUCUACCUUUCGACGACUUCGUCAUAUUUUCUCUUUUUACUACGAGUUCUUAAGGAUUCAUCGACUUAAGCUCGGCGUGUUCUCAAGUUCCGCGUGAUCACCUCUUGGCCGUGACAUCCGGGCGCAUCGCUGUUGUCGGAAACAAAGUGGUCGAGUUAUCACCUUUGCCGAUAGUAAGGUCAAAUCGGUUGGCACGCCUUAACGUUUGAAUCGGGUAUUAGCCCUUUGUGUUUGCAGAUCAACUUUUGCAUCAACACAUCUUCUGGCACGCCUGGUGGGACCUAAUCAAGAUCAAGAUCAACAUGUCGACUACCGAGUUCGACUUGGAGAACGUCAUCCCCGUGACGGAAGCCAAUCUCAGAGAUGAGCAGAAGCAAGCUAUUGCAAAAGCCAUGGAGGACUACAAGCAGCAAUGUUUGAAGUCUUUUAGCAUCAACAGGAGUGGCGAGGUGAUCCAGAAAGAGGCACUGCCGGCACCUCGGCAGGUCACUUUUGAAGCCAACCCUGGUAAACUUGAAGACAUGGUUGAUAGUGUUGUUAACCGUGCCUUGAUCAAUCAAGUUGGUGUGUUGUCCAAUACGGUUUUCAAUGCCGUGGUUAGAACUUUCAAAGAAGGACAAUUGCCACCAAAUUAUGUGGGCCCUUCUCAUCAUCAGCCAACGGCACCAGAGGUCACGGCUCCAUCGGCUGCCUUGACGAAUGCAAGUGCACAGAAACUACUGUUCCUCCAAGCACGUUAGGAGUCACUAACACGCAAUCUACGCCGAUGACGACCAAUCCAUCGACUUCAGAUGAGUAGAUCAAGCUUGCUAUAGAUCUAUUGGCAUCGGCGAUGUCGGGAUCAGUCCCUCCUCCUAACUGGUGGGGUUAUGGUAUGCCCCCAGAGUUGACGUUGAAGACACCAGGCAUAUCUCAGACAACCGAUGUGAGAGCCAAGGCUCCUAUGGCAUCGGCACCUCCAAAUAUGCCGAUGAAUCAGAGUCCCCAGUAUACUACAACUACUACUACUGCAAGACCUUACACUGGGAAUUCUCAAGCUCCAACAUUCCAGAUGCCUAUUGCAUCGGCAGAUUCAAUGUCGACACAACAGAGGUUUAUGACUCAGCCAGGGUAUGUCAAUUCAAUGAUGAUGCCCAAUUACCAGUCAUCGGCAGGACCUAUGCCGAUGAAUACUAAUAGUGGUUGGCCUGGGCAGCAGGUCUUUCCACAGAUGCCUUAACAGAAUCAUCAGGCUACAGGGUUUCAACAAGGCCAGAUCUACCCCGGGUUCCAGAAUCAAGGGUUGCCCAACCAGCCGAUGAAUCAUGGUCAAUAGUUUGGUGGUCAGACAAUCAACCCCAUGUUCCAUGCAGAUCGUGCGCCGCAGCGACACAUGGAAGUUUAUCAGCAGGUGCCAGAUCCGCAACCACCUCAUCGGCAUGAUGCCGAUGCUUAUUGGGCCGAUAAGAUUGCUGAAGUAAUGAGAGACCAAUUUGGGAUAAAACCCAAAGUCAACACUUACUCUUAUCGGACACCGUAUCCUCCUGCAUACGACUUGAUUCCACUUCCAAAUCGAUACAAGGUACCAGAUUUCACUAAGUUUUCUAGACAGGAUGAUACAUCGACCAUGGAGCAUGUCAACAGGUUCAUCAUUCAGUGUGGAGAAGCUGCAAACAGGGAUGAAUUGAGGGUUCGAUUAUUUUCAUCAUCCUUGUCUGGAUCGGCUUUCACCUGGUUUACAUCAUUGCCUCCUAACUCAGUGAUUACUUGGGCCAAUCUAGAGAAACAAUUCCACAAGUAUUUCUUUUCUGGAGUCCAUGAGAAGAAAAUCACCGAUUUGGUCAAACUGAAGCAACGCAAUGAUGAAUCGGUUGAAAGCUUUGGGCAGAGUCUGUGAGAGGUCAAGAACAAAUGCUAUAGUCUGGUUUUGGACGAUCGGCAGCUGGCCGAUUUAGCUUUCCAAGGUUUGUUGCCGCAUGUCAGGGACAAGUAUGCCUCUCAGGAGUUUGAAAGCUUAAGUCAUUUGGUGCAGAGAAUUUCUGAUCAGGAUAUCAGGCCUUUUGAGCCCAAGAGAGCAUGGAACAAAAAGGUGUCAUUUGUUGAUGAAGCAACAAGCUCGGAUUCUGAUGAGGAGCCAGUCAUCGGCUUGGCAGAAUGGGUAAAGAAUAAUAAGCCGAUGUCUUGCCCUUUCGGGCAUAAAGAGCCAGAGAAGUUCACAUUUGAUAUCACUAAAGCUGAUAGGAUAUUUGACUUUCUACUUCAGGAAGGGCAAAUCAAGUUAUCACCCAAUCAUGUGAUCCCAUCGGCUGAAGAGUUGAAGAAGAUGAAAUAUUGCAAGUGGCACAACGCAACUUCUCACAGCACCAAUGAGUGCAAAGUUUUUAGACAACAGCUGCAGUCGGCUAUAGAAUCUGGGAGAAUCAAAUUUGAUAGUUCCAAAGCCCAGAAGCCGAUGAAGAUCGAUCAACAUCCUUUCCCAACAAAUAUGUUGGAUGCUAAGGGAAAAACCAAGGUCUUGACAUCGGAAGCAGCUGAGAAGAGUGCAUCGGUAGAUCCCCAGCAUCAAAUUACUGUUGCCGAUGCCAAAGGAAAAGGCUUAAUCUAAGAGGGAACUAACUCAGGAAGGCCUCCCCGAUCCGGUAUUGUGAUAACUCAUAGAAGGCCUUGGAAAACUUGGCAGCAGCGUGAGGAUCGGUAUCGGUGCCAGCAAGAGGAUUAUCGUCGGGAAGAAGAAAGACGCCGUCAAGAGUGGAAUCGGCACAAGGAUCAUUGGAAUUGCCUGUUCUUUAUCCAUUGCUGGGAGCAAAACAUCAAGUUGCCCACUGUUAGAGAUUGCCCUGAAUGCAAUGGUUAUGAUCGGUAUGACAGAUCCGAUCGGCGCUAUCACGGUGACGAUCGACGAUUUAAUGUGCCGAUUAGGGGGGAGCCUCCAUUCAUGAUCGGCUGGGGGCAGACUCAGUGUGCAUGAUAGGCUUGGUGAUCGUGUUGAAUAUUUUCCUAGGAAUCAGGAAGAGCUUGAGGAGAUGGCUAAUGCACGAGUUCCCGAUGAGUUCAUAUUUUGCUGGGACGCCAAUACACAUCGGAUGGAGUCAAGGGAAUAUCGUCGUCCAUCGGCAAGGUAGUCACCACUUCCCCCAUGGUGUCUAGAGGGGUUGACUAAGACACAGAAGAGGAGACUGCAGCGUGAGAGACGAGAAGAGCUAAGCAAGAGCGAAAACUCUGGACAGUUUGGUCAGCAACAGCUGGAUCCAAAGGGAAAGAGACCAUCGGCAGACGUCAACAUGGUAUUCAUGUUGCCGAUGGAGUUCCUUGCGCCAACUAGUGAUGACGAAGAGUUGGAGUUUUCCAACCAAAAAGCUCAGUUGGCUCUGGAUCCGAUGACAGCUAUCUUCGAAAAGCCUGCCGACAAUGAAAGGCAGCAUCUUAAAGCCCUGUUUGUCAAAGGAAGAGUGGAUGGUCAGCCGAUGACCAAGAUUUUAGUUGAUGGUGGAGCUGCUAUCAACAUCAUGCCAUAUGCAGUCUAUCGGAAGCUUGGAAAGGGAGAUCAAGAUCUAACCAAGACCGAUAUGAUGCUAAAAGACUUUGAGGGAAAUAUAUCUCCAGUUAAGGGAGCAAUCUGUGUCGAGUUGACCAUCGGCAACAAGACCUUGCCAACAACUUUCUUUGUGAUCAGUGGAAAAGGGGCUUAUAAUUUGCUGCUAGGGAGAGACUGGAUUCAUGCUAAUUGUUGCAUUCCGUCAACCAUGCACCAAUGCUUAGUCCAGUGGGUAGGUGACAAGAUUGAGAUUGCCCCGGGAGAUUCUUCCUAUGUUAUUGCAUCGGCAGAGGCGGACACUUAUGAAAGGACUAGGUGCAUCUCGGGAGAGAUUUGGGAAAAAGAUUUCCUCAAAGUUGCCUAUUAUGAAAUUCCACCGAUCCAAGCAGUCGGUUGUGAUGAGGAAUUUUAAUGGAUAGAUUCGCCGAUGAUGGAAAAUUAGGCCAGGGAUUCACAUUGGCCGAUGAUUUAGUAGAAGUAGAUAUAGGUAGUGGUGAUAAACCUAGACCUACUUUUAUUAGUGCUAAGUUAAAUUCUGAGUGUAAGCAGCAGUUAACCGAUUUGUUAAAGGAAUAUAAAGAUUGUUUUGCUUGGGAUUAUACUGAGAUGCCUGGUUCGGACCGAUCAAUUGUUGAACAUCGGUUACCCAUCAAGUCUGGAUUUUGGCCACAUCAGCAGCGAGCUCGCCGAUGUAAUCCUAAUAUCCUUCCUGAUAUCAAGACCGAAAUAACCAAGCUUAUCGAAGCUAAAUUUAUUCGGCAAUGUCGGUAUGCCGAAUGGAUUUCCAAUGUUGUUCCAGUAUACAAGAAAAAUGGGAAGCUUCGGGUUUGCAUUGAUUUUAGGAAUCUUAAUAAAGCUACACCGAUGGAUGGCUACCCCAUGCCGGUUGCCGAUCUAUUAGUUGAUGCUGCGGCUGGACAUCGGAUUAUCAGCUUUAUGGAUGGCAAUGUAGGAUACAAUCAAAUAUUCAUGGCUGAAGAAGAUAUUCCAAAGACUACAUUUAGAUGUCCUGGUCAUGUUGGAUUGUUUGAAUGGAUAGUCAUGACCUUUGGCUUGAAAAAUGCUGGUGCUACUUAUCAAAGAGCUAUGAAUUUUAUUUUUCAUGAGUUCAUCGGCAAGCUGGUGGAAAUUUAUAUUGAUGAUGUAGUGGUUAAGUCUGGAGAUUUCAUAAAACAUCUUGCCGAUUUGCGAAAGGUGUUGGAAUGCACAAGGAAGUAUGGUUUGAAGAUGAACCCUAACAAGUGUGCAUUUGGUGUAUCGGCAGGACAAUUCCUUGGUUUCAUGGUGCAUCAAAGGGGGAUUGAAAUUAGUAGGAGAUCCAUCGAUGCUAUUAUUAAGAUAGUUGCUCCUACCAAUAAAACUGAGCUCCAGUCCUUGAUCGGCAAGGUAAAUUUUAUCAGGAGGUUCAUAUCCAACUUGUCUGUUAAAAUUUGUGCUUUCAGUCCUUUACUUAAGUUGAAAGCCGAUCAAGAAUUUAUAUGGGGAAAAGAGCAACGAUUGGCUUUAGAUGAAAUAAAAAAUUACUUGAUAAAUCCUCCAGUUCUGACUCUACCUAAGCAAGGAAAGCCCUUCAGAUUAUAUUUAUCUACCGAUGGGAUGGUCAUCGGCUCGGCUUUGAUUCAAGAAUUUGAAGGGAAAGAGCGUGUGAUUUACUAUUUAAGCAGGAGAUUAGUUGAUGCUGAAACCAAGUAUUCGGCUAUUGAAAAGUUGUGUUUAUGCCUAUAUUUCUCAUGUAUUAAAUUACGGCACUAUUUACUAUCGGCCGAAUGCACUAUUAUAUGCAAAGAUGAUGUGGUCUGGUAUAUGCUAUCUAUGCCGAUCAUGAGUGGCAGGAUCGGUAAAUGGAUUUUGGCACUGUCGGAAUUCGAUCUACGUUAUGAAUCGGCUAAAGCGGUUAAAGGACAGAUUAUGGCUGAUUUUGUAACUCAACAUUGCAGUGCAGUGGAGACUUUGAAAAUUGUUCCUUAGACGCUCUUCUUUGAUGGAUCCACGUGUGAUCGAGGGGCAGGAAUCGGCAUAGUGUUAAUUUCCCCUCGAGGAAGAAGAUAUGAGUUCUUCUUGCCGAUUGUUGCCACGUCAACGAAUAAUCAAGCUGAGUAUCAAGCUUUGAUAAAGGGGUUAGAAUUAUUAAAGGAGGUUCACGCUGAUGCUAUUGAAAUCUUUGGGGAUUCUAUGCUGGUUAUAAAUCAAUUGGCUGGGAGCUACGAAUGCCGAAGUGAAGUCUUGAUAGCUUACUAUGAAAGAAGCAUGCACCUGUUAAGGGAAUUUAAGGCUUUCCAGUUAGAACAUAUUCCUCGAUUGCAUAAUGAAGAGGCCAAUCGGUUGGCUCAGCAUGCCUCGGGAUACCAACCCAUAUUAAACAUAAUAUCGGCAAUCAGUGCCGAUGAUUGGAGAAACGAAAUCGUUGAUUAUUUAAAGGAUCCAUCUAAGAAAGUUGAGAGACGUGUACGGUUUCAAGCCCCCAAGUAUGUGCUUCUCGAAGAUGAAUUAUAUUACCGAACAAUUGAUGGGAUUCUUCUGAAAUGCUUAGGUGAUGAUAAAGCUAAAAGUUUGAUGGGGGAGAUCCAUGAGGGAGUGUGUGGAGCACAUCAGUCGGCAUUUAAGAUGAAAUGGAUGAUCAGAAGAAAUGGGUAUUAUUGGCAGACUAUACUUGAGGAUUGUUUUAAGUAUUUCAAAGGUUGUCAAGGAUGUCAGAAGUUUGGCAAUGUUCAAAGGGCACCCGCAUCGGCCAUGAAUCCCAUUAUUAAACCUUGGCCAUUCCGAGGAUGGGCUAUUGACUUGAUCGGCCAGAUUUAUCCACCGUCAAGCAAAAGACAUAAGUUCAUCUUGGUUGCCACCGAUUAUUUCACUAAGUGGGUUGAAGCUAUUCCUUUGAAGAAAGUCACAUCGGCCAAUAUGAUUGAUUUUGUUAAAGAACAUAUUAUUUACCGAUUUGGAAUCCCUCAAACAAUUACUACCGAUCAGGGUACUAUGUUUACAUCAGGGGAGUUUAAUGAGUUUGCAAUCGGUAUGGGAAUUAAAGUAUUAAAUUCUUCUCCUUAUUAUGCUCAAGCUAAUGGGCAGGCCAAGGCAUCUAACAAAGGGAUUAUCAAGCUUAUUAAACGGAAGAUUGAAGAAAAUCCUAGGAGGUGGCAUACGUUGUUAAAUGAAGCCUUACGGUCGUAUCGGAUGGCUUGUCAUGGGUCGACCAAAGUUUCACCUUAUCAGUUGGUGUAUGGACAUGAUGCAGUGUUACCUUGGGAAAUUAAGACUGGGUCUAGGCGAUUAUCUUUUCAAGAUCAAUUGGCUGCCGAUGAUUAUGCUACUUUGAUGACAGACGAGUUGGAUGAUCUAGCAGGGCAUCGACUAAGAGCUUUGAUGAGUAUAGAAGAGAAUAAGAAGAGAGUUGCCAGAUGGUAUGAUAAGAAGGUAAAAGCUAAGGAGUUUGCCGAUGGAGAUUUAGUAUGGAAGCUAGUCUUACCGAUCGGGACUAAAAGUUCAAAAUUUGGGAAGUGGUCUCCCAAUUGGGAGGGUCCCUAUCGGAUAAAUCGAUCUGCUCCUGGCAACGCCUAUAUCUUAGAAACUCUCGAAGGAGUUGAAUUUCCCAGAGCAUUAAAUGGCAAAUAUCUAAAGAAAUAUUACCCGAGCAUAUGGGUCGAUGCAUGAAAGUUUAAGUGCCGAUAACAUUCCUAUCGGCUGGGUUAAACUGUAUCUAGGGCCGGACUUAAUGUUUAAAAGGGGCCGAUAACAGUCCUAUCGGCUAGACCAAAAUAUUGGGAGUGUUUAAAAGAAAAGAGCAAAUGUGCCGCCAAUGAAGAAUUCACAUGUUUAACAAAGCCUGGAUCGUCGAUAUGGCACGCAGACAGAUCUGGUUGGCUUCUUCUAUCUCCUUCAUGUCGUCAUCGGCAGAGCCCUCCACUGGCUUCAGCUUCUUCUUCAUCUGCAGUGCUUUGCGGGCUUGGACAUUCGCUCUUGUUCAAGGAGCUUGAUCGCCUUAGGUAGCUGGCUUUCUUCUUGUUGAGCUUAGGACAAAGCUUCUUCUACCUGUUUGAGCUCUGCCAACAGAGCAUCCCUCUUCGCUGAUAGAUCAGAGAUCUUUUAUUUUAGCACAUCUCUUGAGGACUCCAGAGUGCCGAUGCUCUUAUGCUUCUCAUCGGCAAGGAGCUUCACUUUCGUCAUCUCCUUCGAGAGCUGAGCGUGAGUAGCUCUAUCGGCAAGGCGCUGCACGGCCUUUUGGUAUUGAAGCUGCCGACUUUCUAAGUGAGCAGCCUUGAAAAGGAUCUCCUCGGCAUCGGCAGGAAUUUGGCCUCUGAGGGUCUUGAACAAGGCCUUGGCCGGAUCAAAGUCGUCAAUCAACUGGGCCGUGUCUUGAUGAAGGAGGGCCCAUAAUUCUUCUAAUUUUGCUCUGAUUUUUGCCGACGAGAUUCCGACAGCUCGAGAAGAACUUGCCUCCUCACCUUCAUGCUCAGAGAUCUCGAUGGCGAAGGAGAACAAGCUGUCGGGAGAAUCCUGUUUCUGAAAAGGAAAAUAAAAUAAGUUGUUCUAUGAUCAAACACUGAUAAACAAUACAGAUAGAGAUUGGGUAACUUACUUGUUUCAGGGCUAUCUCUCGCCUCUGACUAGAUGAUGCCGAUGGAACCAUGGGCUGAUCGGCUGGAAUCGCCGAUGAAACUAUGUCAGCUGAAAGAUUAACAGAAGUGAUUAGUAAAGUGGAAAUAUAGGUUCAUCGGCAAUAAAUGGAAAAUAUAUUACCUUGAGGGGAUGCAGUACUCGUCUGGACCGAGGAGACUACCGAUGCUAUGAUUAGACUUGCUGGAUCGGUGGUCUGCUCGUGUACAACAGCCGACAUUUCUUCUGGCUGAGGUUCUUUUUGCUGGAGUUCUUCCGCUUGGGGUUCUUCCUGUGGCUGAGGAGGAGGUGGCGUCUGCUGUGUCUGGACUUCUGGAGAAGAAGGGGAUGAUUCUACCGGAAUCGGAGAUACUGGGGGAGGAGAGGGCGUUGCUGUUUUUUGGCACUUUGCAUGUAAUCUGGUACUCUUGGAGCCUUUUCUCUUUGGUUAACUGGACUGGGGGGGCAUCGGCAGUCGUGCUUCUAGUCUUUGCCGAUGUACCGGUGUGCUGAUACAAUAAUAAGAAGUUUGUAAGUACAAGUGUGAUAGGUGUAAAAAUAAAAUCGGUAUGAAUAAAAGAAUUCGAAAAUUUUACCUUGAAGGCUUGUGCUAAGGUAGAGGCAGCUACCAAUGGGGAUGUCCUCGUUCGCCUGGUGGUGACCUUCUUGAGGCGAACACCCCGAUGCAUUAUGGCAGCCAAGGUUGGGGCAUUGUUACCGAUCAAAGAGAUCGGGCCCGAUGGAAGGAGCUCAAUCGGCUUACCACUCCUGCUGACCAAUGACGGUGUGUCAUCGACCUGUAUAUUACAAAUAAAGUGAGUUACCGAUUGGAAAUGAUAGCGACGGAAUUGAAGCAUCGGUAUUAAAGUACUUACAGUGUUAUCAGGGACUUUGUACUGGGGGUCGAUCAUGCCACGGUAUGUGAGAGACGAUCUCCAGAAAAGAUGUUCUUUCCAUUCUUCCCACCACUGUUUGUAUGUCCGAGUGAUGAAGAGGGCUGGAACCCAAGCUGAUAGAUCAACAUCUGUAUCGGCAUUUGGUGGAAGUUGGGCUACUCUGAUCCACUCGAGGUAGUUGGUAAUGGUCUCCCUUGGCUUUACUACAUCGGCGUAGCAGAGUGCAAUCGGCAGUUGGCCGAAAGCUAGUUGGCGAGCUAGUGCUGAUGGGUUGUAAAACUCAUAAGUCUGAUUAGAAGCUUUAACACUACCAAAGAAAUUCACCGGUAUAACUCUUGGACUGAUAAUUGCUAACAUCACUUCAUGGUCCUUAUUAAGAGUGUCGUUAAAAGGGUGGAAAGUCUGGGGGAAUCUGGUAUCUGGAUCUUCAUAAGGCAUCCAUGCCCGCUGUUCCCUAGUCAAACACUCAUACAGAGUUUGAAAGAAUCGGCUAACUUGGUCUGCGUUGCCAUCUGUGCCAGGCAGAACUAUGGCGGCUUCGCCAAAGUUCAGAGGGGAACGGGUUGCCGAUUCUUCUUCAUCCAGUUCAUAAUCUUCGGCUAUAUCGAAGCGCUGUGCAAAGAGGUCAAACUCGAGGCGCUUGUGCAUGUGGAGACUAAGCCACAUAUUGAUGAACCACCAGGGACCACCUAAGUUGCCGAUGGACUGACCAAGCAGUAGUUUCUGGGCUACCUGAUGGAGGAGGUGAUAAGCAGAGCCAAGCAGGUAUCGGCCAAGAGGAAAUCGGCCACCAUUAGCUAACCUUUCUGCUGCCGAUUGAUAGACAGAAGUUGGUCCUACCGAUCAACCACAGAACACAAACUUAUCUAACCACAUAUUCAGGAAGGUGGUCUGUUCCUUUAUAUUGACGGGUCCUGUUCUGCGGUACUUCUGAAUAUACCCUGACCAACCGCCGAUAGAACGAGUUUCCACUUUAGCACUGGGUUUGGUAUCAAAUAGGUGGGUGCUAUCGGCAGUGGAUACAUCUAAACCGGUGAGCAUAAGCACAUCGGCAAGCGUGGGAGAAGCGGGGCCAUGGCCAAACACAAAAGCAUUGAGUGUGUCUGACCAAAAGUAUGAGGCAGCUAUCAAUAGAGACUCAUUUCUCUCCAUAUCGGCAAGAGACAAUCUAAUGCACUCAUCCAUUUUCCGUUCACCCCAUUGGACCUCAUUUGAGUUACUGACUCUCAGGAACCAAUCCUUCCAUCCCUUGGUAGGACUAGGCCAGGAACGGAAAGCAUCCUUCCAUAGAUCUAAAGAAAAAUUCUCGGCUCUAAAAGGGAUUCUGUUCGUCUCAGCAUUUAUAAGAUCGGUGGGAUCCAAGUUUUCUAGUGGACCAAGGCAUUGAAGAUGGGGUUGAUCGGUGGGAAUAACGAUUUUAUCGGUCAAAUCCUAGAAAUUUGUGGGAGCGAAAAGAAGAACAAAAAGAAAGGAUUCGGUAAGAUAGAUUGCAGAUGAGCAGGGAUGCAAUAAAAGUACGAGAAAAAGGGCAGUACGCUGACCUCAGGGACGACGAAGUUGAUGGCCAUCUCCUCGUAGGGGAGAAUAUUGAAAACUUGGGAGUUGUUGGAGGAAGUUCUUGUUGGAGUUCUUGGGGCUCUCGAACAGCGCCGCCGCCAGAAGAGUAGAGUUGGAGCUGUAGAAUGAUGCGAUGGAGAAAGAGUACCCGAGAAGGAAGUAUUUAUAGGACAAAAUGGGCAAGGGCAAAUUUGACUUAUCUCUUCGCCGUAUCCGUGAAAUCCGAGGAUACUCAGGUGGAUAUGGUAACUGUUCGCACGGUAAUCAAGGAAUUGCGCAGGUGAUUUGACAGGAAGCGGUCAUGAUCUGGAGAUAUUUCACUGUGCGGGAUUUCUUGGUCGGUCCAUCGGCAGUUCCCUCUAAUGGUAAUAUUGCCGAUGGGCGCAUAAAGUGGAGAGAUCCGGUUCGGAAGGUUGAGGUAUUUGAGGAACCUACAGGAGAAUCAGGCCAAGGUUGUUCAGAUUUAAACGGUCGAUUACCAAAUUGGGAGAAUUAAUUGUGGAAAGGCAUCAUUACUGCAGAGAAUUUUGGAGCAUUAAUGAUUUCAUACUCCAAAAUUGGGGGACAUGUGUUGACACCGUUUUUGGACACGUACCCAGAGAUCAGUGGAGUAUAGAUCGGCAGGUGGAGCAACGGUAACUAUCUGCAGGGGAGUUGCCGAUGAAAGCGGUUGCCGAUGAAGAGACAGCUAAAUGUGUCUAAGUCCAGAAGUAAUGACAAGUUCGUGCUGAUGGUCAGCGUUAGUCUUUGCCGAUGGCUAUGAUGAGAAGUCUGCCGAUGACUCAGAAGGAGAACAUGAAGGUUGCCGAUUGAUCUAUGGCGGUGUCCCAGUUUGUCACAGGAGGAUAGUUUUAUGUUUUCCAUAGAUAUUUAAAUUCAUUUUGUAUACGGAUUCUGUUUAAUUUGGAAUUCGAGUCCUAGUCGUGUCUGAUUGUAGCUCUUUGAGCAGGGUAUAAAUGUAGACCCUAGGGCCUUGUAAUCAAUCGAUCAAUCAAUCAAACACAAGUUUUUACUCAUAUUCCAGCAAUCUACCUUUCGAUGACUUCGUCAUAUUUUCUCUUUUUACUAUGAGUUCUUAAGGAUGCGUCGACUUAAGCUCGGCGUGUUCUCAAGUUCCGCGUGAUCACCUCUUGGCCGUGACAUCCGGGCGCAUCGCUGUUGUCGGGACCAAAGUGGUCGAGUUAUCACCUUUGCCGAUAGUAAGGUCAAAUCGGCUCGCACGCCUUAACGUUUGAAUCGGGUAUUAGCCCUUUGUGUUUGCAGAUCCACUUUUGCAUCAACACGUUGAAGACUCUAAGUAGGUCAGGAAACGACGCAACCGCAACCAGAGGAGGCAAAUCAUCAAGGACGGAUGGGGAGAUUAUGAAGGAGAAGUGAUAAGGUCUGAAGACAUAGAGUUGAAACAGAAUUAUCCAGAAGAGACUAUAGCACCGAGUCAGGUGUGGAAAGAUAAGAUAACUAUACAUGAAGAGGAGGUGCUGCGGAAGUACCGACUCCGCCACCCAAUGAAUCCUAGGACAACUAGAAAACGAAGAGUCCCGUUCGGAGGACUUAAAAACACAGAACGCCUUGCCAAGAGGUAAACUUGGUAGUUAUCUUUUUUCUUUCAAUAAUUUCAAAUAGUUUGCUUAGUUAAUCAGGUUUAUACUAGCCUAAAAAGAAAAUAAAAAUAUAAAAAAAUAGUAAGCCCCAUAUGAGCAUAUGAGUGGCAUAAACCCAUAAGUACAUUCACUGUGGUGGCAUAAAAAAUAAAAUAAAUAUUUCUUUUCUGCUUUAUUAAACGAAAAUAUAAAAAUAGGGAGUAACAUUUAUUGAGGAGGCUCAACAUGAUGAAGGCUAGAUAUUUAUGCUAACACUUAAUCAGUUCCACAAAGCUUUGUUGUCUAUUUGAGCUCCACAGAAUUUAAGAAUCGAGAAGACUAGCAGACAAAGGACAUUCUAAUCGCUGUCAAGAUACUGCCGACUUUCAAAUACACCUCUGCCAUCUGCUAGCUACAUCAGAAGAAAUUACGUCAAAAUUCAGCUUGGGGGAGAGCACCCCCAUUUAUCUUGAUAAGUAUUUCUAUCUAUCUUUAUACUUAUAUUAUAUUAAAAUAUAAAUAUACAUAACUAUGGAAAACCAAAUAAAGAUUUUGUGCUUAUAUAUAUAUCUUUUUCUUAGUGUGUUUAAUAAAUAAAUAAAGUGGCUAUGCUAAUCUGAAUCUUAAUAAUAAAGCUCUAGCAUGGAUGUGAUGAAUAGUUGCUCUGCCUAAUUUUCAAAUUUGAGUUCUCUCUCAAGUUUAGAUAUAACUGUUAUAAUUUAAAGCUUGCUCUGCAUCUGAACUUGGCGGAAGAAAACUUGAUCUGAAGUCUAAGUUGUUAACGGAUAUGAUAUGGGAAGGUUGAGCUGUUGUUUAUCUGUUCCUAGAGAUGUUAGAAUUCUGGAGAAUUUUAUCUUUGAAAAUCUUUAAAAUAUUACAUGAUGAGUUCCUGUAUGAUGAGAGUUUAAAUUCCUACCACAGCCAUAUAUACAUGCUUGCUAGACUUUGAGCCACACAUUUACUUUUUACUGCUUAUGAGCAUUGAGUGUGGUCAAGCUGUGUAGACCCUUAGGAGCUUGUCAUGUGGUUAAAUCAAGAUUCACUUGCACGUUCACUCACAUAUGCUGCUUCUACUCUGAAAGUACGCAUCCACAUGUAUCCACCUAUUUCCAUCUCGAGAACCACCCAAAAAAAAAUAUUCUACUCCUAAUCCGGGAGAGAAUAGCCAAAAAUAUUUCUAUUUUUUCCCUGAGAAAUAAAUGCUCAAGUUAUCUUGUUGCUACCACUUUCUAUAUUAUUUCAAGAGAUGAGUGCUCUAAUAAUAAAAAAAGAGAAAAUACGAGGAAAUAAAAAGGGGCAAGUGCCCGGAACCUCGAAAGAAAAAAAUGAGACGAGAGAUAAAAAUGGACAAGUGUCCGACAGUAGAAUUAGGGGUACAAGAUACCCACCUGAGAGGAAAGAAAAAGAAAAGAUAGAGCAUCUCAUUCUCCUCAAAAAGUUUCAAAAAGCAAGAAAGGUAUGUAUCCGCUCAAAAGAGCAAAAGUAGAAUUAGACUUUCUCCAUUGUUAUCAUCGUCAUCACCAUACACCAUUCAUUCGCCACACAUGCACAUCUUGAUUUGACUUAUUGGCUUGUUUUUUGGAUCCAUGGUUUGACUAUACAAUAAAUGUAUUGUAAGUAUGUAUACUUUAUCUCCCACCUAUGAGCUCCAGAUAUCAAAAGCCUUAUUAGAGUAGGAUGAGAGAGAAGGCAAUGUUACUAUGCUUUAUACCACAAAUACUACAUACUUGAGAGAAGGCAUAUACCAUCACUGCCUUGGUAAGGAUCCAGAAAUACCACAAAAGAGAGAUUUGAGAGAAUCAUACAAGGAAUCUCUGAGUUUUAUUUGAAAAUCUGCAAAAACUCCAGAGCUAUAGCUGAUCAAGAAUAAGAGACAUGGCACUUGAUUAGACCGUUCUAUCUUUUAACUACUCAAGACAGAAGUGAUGGUUACAAGUCCCAUGGUGAAAGGUAAAGUAAGUAGGUCUUGACAGUUUACUCUAACUCAGAGAUGAGACCUCAUUUUAAAGCAUGUGUACCGUCAAUUUUUAAAGGCAUUGCAACAACUUCUGAUCCGUCGCUGAGAUUAUCCUUGCUCAGGGACGAGCAAGAGGUAAGCUUGGGGGAGUUUGUUGAUGGUCCUUAAGUAUCAAAUUUAAUUAUCAAAUAAACAAAGAAAAGGAUCCAAAUGAAAUCAACAUCCAGACUUAGGGUUUUAUCUGAUAGAAUUCCACGAGUUUUGGUGUUUGUCUAUUUCUGCAGGGGGUUAUCAGGAAAUACGGAAGAAAGGCUCACACGUCAGGAUUACAUAGAGAUAUCAAUGUGCCGCACAAUUAUCUUACAUCUAGAAGACUCCAGAAGCCACAAGAACGAAGUGGAGGCGAAACGGGGCAUGGCCCAGGGCGCCCGCCUAGGAGACCAGGGUGCCCGCCCCUUGUUGGAGUCCAAUGAGGACACUCUUUCGGGAUUACGCUCCACCGACCUAAAGGAUCAAGGAUAACCAUUCAAUCAAUGUCGGUUUGAUCCGACGGCCCAUAUUCACUUGAAGGUACUAUAAAACCAGACCCCCUGGCCCCUGGAGGAGAGAGCCUCUCAACCCUAAUUCAUUAUUCCUCAAGGGAGAAGAAGCCUCUGAUCAAGCCUAGAGCCACCACAUCAAUUAGACAUCUAGAUUAGCAUAGCUACAUAGGAUUAGAACUAGAAGGAGUCAAUCUUCGAUUGGUUUCCGGAUCUGUCAAGAGGAUUCUUGGUAAUUCUCUAAUUGUUAUUCUAAUUGUUCAUCUUUGUUCUUCAAUAUUAUGAAUAUGACUUUGUUCUACUUCAAUAUAUUGUUAUGACUUUGCUCUACUUGUUUAUAUUCAAGAUUAUAUUGUUCUUAGUUUAUCAUAGUUAUAUACUUGGCUUAGUUAGAUUGGAUCUAUAUACAUGUUUAGGAUCGUAUAGCAUUUAUCAAUCGGAUCCACGGGUAAAUGUAGAUAUUGUGUAGGCGUGGUGCUUAUACCGUAUUUAUCUGCGAUUGUACCCAAUAUGCCAGAUCGUGGGGUAGUUUGUGAUAGUGACAGCUUCAUUGAUUCUUAUAUAGUCCCCCUCUCGUGUAUUGGGCUGGCAGAGCAACAUUAUUACAGGGGAGUGAUUACGAUGUUUCUCAUAUUCCUUGCUAAUAUCACUAUGCAUGGGCGUAGUCUUGUCUCACAAUGAUUGCUAAGUAUGCUUGCACUAACUAUGAUAAUGCUAGAUUGUAUAGUUGAUAAUAACUUAGGAAAUAUUCUUGUAGUUCGUUCUAAUACCAUGCUAAUGACUUGCUAGAAUAUCUAAUUGAGGUGCUUAUCAUAUUUAUUAUGUGGAUAAGUUAUGCUGAUCAGAUUAAUUAUCUUUGUCACUAUUCAUUACUUCAUAUAUCUUUUAUGUGACACUUAUUCCUGUAUGAAAGAGUUAGAUAAAUGUUCUCAAUUAUACAUGCAAUGAUAGAUACUCAAUCUCAUAUUCCAUUCUAUAAUCAACAUUGAUGGUUACUAAUCCCUUCCCAGUGGUAAAAAUACAAAUAACGAUACUUGGAAUACUUCCCGGUUAAAAUGCUACAUCCUUAUUAAUCUGCGCGCUUGCAGAUCCCAUUUCAUUAUUUAUUUAGAUGAGCAAUUGCAUAUUUCAAUACCACGUCUCUCAUGUCAUGCUGGGGAUGACAACUUGGCUUAAGUGGUAUGAGGGAUAGGUUUGGCAUUUUUGGCACCGUUAUCAUAAUUAGAAAAUUAAGUCUACUUUUGGUGAUGAUGUUAAGAAUACCCAACACCCAUCCGUCCUUGAUGAUUUCCCUCUUCUGAUUGCGGUUGCGUCGUCUUCUUCUUGUCCUGACCUGCUUAGAGUCUUCAACGAUAUAGUUAGGGUCCGUAAAAUAGCGGCGUACCUUCUCUGAGGGGAAGUGUAUAUGGACUUCUCCAGUUCCAAUGUAGAUGAUUGCUUUAACAGCGCUGAGGAACGGUCUUCCAAGGAUGAUGGGUGGAUCAUAUUCGUCUUCUCCCAUGUCAAUAACCUGAAAGUCUGUGUAGACAAAGUGAUCGUCUAUCUUGACAGGGACAUCAGUUACUGUACCUUUAACCUCUCGAAAUGUCUGAUCUGCCAUCUGGAGCUGAAUGUAUGUUGGUUUUAAGGGCAUGGUUCCGAACAAGAGCCGAUAGGUGACUGCGGCCAUUAUGUCGACGCCCGAUCCGAUGUCGCAAAACGUCUUGUAGAAGUUGUAUCCAUUUAUGGAGCAAUAGAUGCUUGGCAUUCCUGGGUCGUCCUUCUUGGUCAGAAACGGUGACUUAAGUCGAUGAUCUUGACCUCCAUGAACUGCAGUGACCAUCUUAGCUGACUCGGUCCACACUUGCUUGUUCCUGUUCCUCCUGUUGGUCCUCUUCCUUGGUUCAUGUCGGGAUUGCUCUGGGAUUUGUGUAGUCUUGUUCUUGAAGGAAAACAUCUCCUUUCUCCCUUUGAUGUAGAAACUGAUCUUGGCAGCGCUAGCGUAGAUGACGGCUCUCGAGGUGUUUAAGAAUGGCCUCCCUAAGAUGAUGGGUGCCCUCUCAUCAUUUUCGGUCUCUAUCACCACGAAGUCUACUGGGGCGUACAAGGUACCAACUCGGACACAAAGGUUCCUCAAUAUUCCUUUUGGAAAACUUAUCGUCUGAUCUGCAAACUGCAAACACAUGGUUGUUUCUAAUAAAGGAUAUGUAAAGAAUUUUUCAUAGAGAACCCUGGGCAUAAUGUUGACACUAGAGCCAAAGGGGUUCCUCUGAGAUCGGCGACCGUGGGAGGAUCUCAGCGACGAGGGGGGACGACGCCGGCACUUCUGGCGGCGGUGACGCCAAUGAGACCAGGACCUGGGGGUCGGUGGACGACGACGGGCGGUUUCCUUCUCUCAUCGACAUAUUCCUACGCCACGGAGGCUCGCUUGAGACCAUUCAAGAGCUUAUCCGAGGCGUCAAGGCGUGCAUGGAGGAGGUGAUGGAGAACUAGGGCCCCGGUCGGAUCCGUCUUCGAGCCUCCACGUGCCUAGAGGAGCCCAACAUCAUGAUGGAUGACCGGAAGGAGGCCGAAAAGUGGGAGCAUCUCGAGGAGCUUCGGCUUUGGAUGAAGCACGUCAUGGGUCUGAUGUCGGAUAUUGUCAACAACGGGCUCGGGCAAGCUUUCUUUGUAAGUAUCUUUGGUCCUUAGCCAUCUGGGUACCUAGUCUUGUAUCCUUAUCGUUCGACUACUUGCUGCAGGAUCUGAAGGAGACCUCCCGCCUAAAGUCGGGUUUUAUUCAUGCGACGAGAGGCGGUUGGGAACAGCUCCCUCUUCUCAAGGAUCAGCUCCUCGAGUUGCAGGAAAAGCUUCUCUAGGCAUACAAGGACCUCAUGGUGGCUGUAGAGGAGAAGAAGGAGAGGGAGGCUGCCCUGGCCAAGGCUCGGGAGACCUCGAAGAAAGCGGAGGAAGAGGGCCGUGCAGCUGAGGGAGCGGACCGCCUCAGCUAAGGAGACAGCUUCCAAGGCCUAGGAAGAGGCUACGCAUUACAAAGGUGCGGUCGCCGAGCUUGACAAGGAGAAGAGCCUCCUUAAGUCAGAACUCGCCUCUGCUCGGGAGGCCUACCGAGAGCUAAAGGAGGAGUGCGUGAAGAGCGAGAUCGCUCGGAGCGCCGCGGAGGAGGCGGGGAAGAAGGCCCGUGAGGACCUCGAGGCAGAGCGAAUCCGUUCUCGCAGUCUUUCUGACGACGUAGACCGUCUGAAGAUAAUGCUGUUGGAGAAGGAGGGAGCCAUCCUACAGGCGGGUAAGAUGAUCGAGGACCUGCAGGUCGAAAAUUCAGAUCUGGCUCGUUCCUAUAAGGAGAUCGAGAGGGCCAACACCGACUUGGUUGGUGAGAACACGGCUCUCGAAGAAAGGAUCCGCGGUAAGUAUGAUCUGGCUUUCGUGUUUCCUUUUGCUGGGUUUUUCUCUCGUGCUAUCUAACUCUCCCGUAUCUAUCUUUGUAGGGCUCAAGGAUGAUCUCCUGGCCACCCAGGUCGACGCUCGCUCCACUAAGGUUCAGCUCGAGGGGGAGGUCGCUCUAACUAGUCAACUAAGGACUGCGAUAAGUGACCUUUCGGCCUCCUGGGAGCUCAAACCUGCAGAUGAGUCGAGGGAGGUGGCUCGAGGAGAUGCACUGGUCGACCAGUUGUGCUACUUAGGUGCCACGCUGACGGAUCGAGUGCGGGACGCCCUUCAUACCGGGGUGAAGCGAGUGAUGGCAGUCAUCUGCUCGGGCUUCUCCUAUGACAUGGAGGUAGUGUCCCACGGCUUCGUCACUGAUAUUUCCAAGAUCGAUGUCGAGAACGAGGAGAGGCUCCAUGCCUUGAUCGAUGACGCAGAGGUCCCUCGGGAAAGGUUGGCGAAGCUGUUCGAGACAGAGGUACUUCCUCCCGAGACUAGCCCAGGUGCAGAUGAUGGUGGUGAGGGCGGAGAUGUGGACUAAGGCCUGCGAGCCUAUUCUGGGUAUUUAGACCUGUUGUAAAGUACUUAUUACCUGUCUUAAGUGAAUGUUGUGGCUUGAAUGGCCUUGAGACUUGUGUAUAUUUGCUUGUUUUUAUGCUCGAAUUUCCUUUGUUUCUUUUUCUGCCUAAUUUUGCAUUCUCGUUUGAUCUUUUGUGGAGGCAUCUUCGAUUGCCUUAAGGGUGAGGAAUGUGAGUAGAGUUGCCAUAGCCUGGGGGCGUAGGGGUUCUCAGGCUCGACGUUUCUCGGCCCUUAAGGGGCUCGAGGUGCCUUUGCUACUUGGUCUUGCGAAGUUUUCUUAGGACUUAAAAAGAAAAAGUCGUUCGAUUUUUAGGAACCUGGGGGGUCCCCCCUGCUAGCCCCCAAGGGAGUAUCGACUAUGAUGGGUCAUAGUUGGGACUUCCUCCUAACGUCGAGAUUUGAUCGGUGAUAGCGUAAACUACUUGAAAAAGUAUCCUCCUUUGUUCUCAUAUUCAUUCAUAGGGUCUCGGUACAAAGUAUUCAUGAAAACGUAAAGCCUCGAAGCUCUAAGGGUAGAAGCGACGUAGUUGUUCGAUGUUCCACUCGUUGGUGAAGACCGCCCCUUUUUCGUCCGUGAGCUUGUACAUUCCCGGCUUCAAGACCUCGGCCACCACGUAUGGGCUUUCCCAUGGUGGAGUCAACUUGUGGCAUCCUUGGUUACUUUGUCGUCGUCGUAGGACGAGAUCGCCCAUGUUCAGAUCCCUUUUGCGCACGUGCUUGUUGUGGUAUCGUCGGAGCUUCUACUGGUACCUUGCGGAGUUGAGGAGGGCCAUGUCCCGAGGUUCCUCGAGCUGAUCAACUGCGUUCUCUCGGGUCUCCUUAUUUGUCUGCUCGUUGUAGGCUUUGAGUCGCGGUGACCCAUACUCAAGGUCUGUUGGAAGCAUGGCCUCGGAGCCGUAGACCAUGAAGAACGGGGUAUAUUUUGUGGCCCUUCUUGGCGUCGUCCUUAAGCUCCAUAGGACUGAGGAGAGUUCUUCGACCCAUUUCUUGUCAAAUUUCUUCAACCAGUUGUAGAUUCUUGGUUUAAGUCCUUGCAAAAUCAUGUUGUUUGCACGGUCGACCUGACCAUUAGUUCGAGGGUGAGCUACUGCAGACCAGUUCACACGGAUGUGAUACCGGUCAGAGAAGUCCAAGAACUUUUUGCUGGUGAACUGGGUGCCAUUGUCGGUGAUGAUGACAUUGGGUAUCCCGAACCGGUGGAUAAUGUAGGUGAAGAAAAGGACGUCUUGUUCGGAAUGGAUGUUUGUGAUGGGUCGAGCCUCGAUCCAUUUGGAGAACUUGUCGAUGGCUACCAACAAAUGGGUGUAUCCUCCCGCUACUUUCUGUAGAGGUCCCACGAGGUCGAGACCCCACACCGUGAAUGGCCACAUGAUGGGGAUCAUCUGGAGAGUGUGAGCAGGGAGGUGGCUUUGCUUGGCACAGAAUUGACACCCAUGGCACGAGCGAACGAGCUCUAUGGCAUCAGCUAUGGCCGUUGGCUAGAAGAAACCUUGUCGGAAGGCAUUCCCUACAAGGGUUUUUGGAGCGGCAUGGUGGCCGUAAGCCUUUGAGUGUAGGUCCUCGAGGAGAUUUCGACCCUCUUCUAUGGUGAUACAGUGCUGCAAGAUCCCUGUCGGGCUUCGUCGAUAUAGCUCUUUGUUUUCUCCGUAGAUCCCAUACGAUUUGGCUCGUCGAGCGAUACGACAGGCCUCGGAUCGAUCUUGCGGUAGUUCAUCUCGGAUCAGGCAAUCGAGGAACGGCGUACGCCAGUCAAACGGUCGACCGGGACUUUGUUCGACCUCCAUUACUUCUGCUACCGUCAGUAAGGCUUCGACAGCGUCGGUUGGAGUGGGGGUUUCGACAUCAUCCCCCGCGCCCAGGUUAACGGAUGGCUCGUGUAGGUCUCUCGAGAACGCGUCGGGUGGGAUGGUGCCUCGAGUUGACGCGACCUUAGCGAGCUCGUCGGCUGCCUCGUUGUAUCGUCGUGCGAUUUGGACGAGCUCGAGGCCGUGGAAUUUGUCCUCGAGCCUACGUACUUCCUUGCAGUAUGCCUCCAUUUUUGGGUCGUGGCAGCUCGAGGCCUUCAUUACUUGGUCGACGACUAGUUGAGAGUCGCCUCGAACGUCGAGGCGUCGAACCCCUAGCUCGAUGGCGAUCCUUAGCCCAUUGAUGAGGGCUUCGUAUUCUGCAACGUUGUUAGAUGCAGCGAAGUGUAUUCUAAUGACAUACCUCAUGUGGACGCCAAGAGGUGAGAUGAACAGUAGGCCUGCCCUAGCUCCCGUCUUCAUGAGGGAUCCGUCGAAGUACAUCGUCCAUAGCUCUGCUUGGACCUGAGCUAGGGGGAGCUGAGAGUCCGUCCACUCCGCAACGAAGUCCGCUAGGGCUUGAGACUUGAUGGCUUUGCGGGGCGCAUAAGUGAGGGUCUCACUCAUGAGCUUGACCGACCAUUUGGCGAUCCUCCCUGUGGCCUCUCGAUUCUGGAUGAUCUCGCCCAAGGGGAAGGACGAGACCACCGUGAUCGGGUGACCGAGGAAGUAGUGCUACAGCUUGCGUCGGGCAAGAAUCACGGCAUAGAUCAAUUUCUGAAUCUAGGGGUACCGUACCUUGGUUUCCGAGAGCACCUCGCUGGUGAAGUAGACCGCCCUCUGGACUGGUAGCAUGUGUCCUUCUUCCAGCCUUUCGACCACCACAGCCGCACUUACCACAUGGGUCGUUGCUACGACGUAUAAGAGCAGAGGCUCCGCAGGCAGAGGGGGAACUAGGACCGAGGCGGAGGCCAGCGUCUUCUUUAGGCUAUCGAGGGCUUCCACGGCCUCGGGGGUCCAGGAGAAAUGAUCGGCUUUUUACAAGAGCCGAUACAGUGGCAAUGCCUUUACUCCUAACCUUGAGAUGAAACGGCUUAGUGCCGCCAGGCAGCCUGUGACUUUUUGCACGCCCUUGACGUCUCGAAUCGGCCCCAUCCUCGCGAUGGCUAAGACUUUCUUGGGAUUAGCCUUGAUGCCGCGUUGGGAAACUAUGUAACCCAGGAGCAUGCCUCGAGGCACGCCGAAGACGCAUUUCUCGGGGUUGAGCUUGAUUUUAUUAGCGCGUAGACAGCUAAAAGCAAUCUCGAGGUCCUAAAUCAGGUCGCCCCGUUUCUUUGAUUUGACGACGAUGUCGUUGACGUAUGCCUCGACCGUCGACCCUACGUGCUCGCCAAACACGUGGAGCAUGCAUCGUUGAUAUGUCGCCCCAGUGUUUCGAAGCCCGAAGGGCAUGGUUACGUAACAAUACAUCCCAAAAGGCAUGAUGAAAGAUGUCGCGAGCUGAUCGGAUUCUUUCAUCUUUAUUUGAUGGUAACCAAAAUAUGCAUCAAGGAAUGAAAGGGUUUCACAUCCCGCGGUAGAAUCAACAAUUUGGUCGAUGCGUGGCAAAAGAAAGGGAACUUUUGGACACGCUGUUGACGGUCCUUAAGUAUCAAAUUUAACUAUCAAAUAAAUAAAGAAAAGGAUCCAAAUGAAAUCAACAUCGAGACUUAGGGUUUUAUCUGACAGAAUUCCACGAGUUUUGGUGUUUGUCUAUUUCUGCAGGGGGUUAUCAGGAAAUAAGGAAGAAAGGCCCACACGUCGGGAUUACAUAGAGAUAUCAACGUGCCGCGCAAUUAUCUUACAUCUAGAAGACUCCAGAAGCCACGAGACUGAAGCGGAGGUGAAUCGGGGCCAGAGACAGGGCGCCCGCCGACCUCCUGUGGCCAAUCACGCUCAAUCUCGCGGAUUAUGCUCCACCGACCUAAAGGAUCAAGAAUAACCAUUCAAUCAAUGUCGGUUUGAUCCGACGGCCCAGGUUCACUUGAGGGGACUAUAAAACCAGACCCCCUGGCCCCUGGAGGAGGAACCCCUUGAUCAUUAUUCAUUAUUCAUAGACAGAGCAAAAGCUAGGGUUUAGAGAUGAGAGCUCUCCUCUCUUCUCUAAACUAGAGUAGAUCUAGAUAGUAGCGAGAUGGAGAGCGAAGGAGGAUUAGAGGAGAGGCCGGCCUGUCGGUUCUUCCUCCAGUUGUACUUCGCCAUGAUCAAGCUCUAAUCAAGCUUGCUCAUGGGAUGACUCUGGUAAUCUACUUCUAAUUCAUUAUGCAAUUACUAAUCAUGUAUGUUCUGGUUCACAACUCUUUUGAGUACUUCUAAUCUAUAGGACCCUAUAGGUUAGAGUUGUAGUAUAGGUGUAAGCGUGGUGCUUAGACCUAGAUUACUUGUGGAUAUCCCCUGACUAGCUGGAUCGUGUGGUAGGCCGCGUAGGUGACAGUUACGUUGGUCCCCUGUAGUCCACCUCUCGUUAGCAGGACGGGUAGGGUUUAUCGGCCUAUGGAUAAGCAUCCUUUGUGGUGUACUCUUAUCACGUGGUUCGUCCCAGACAUAGACAUACCCCUUUGAAGUAGAGAAACCAUAGUUAUCCUCUCUAUUCUGCUACCAUCGCCCAUAUACUAGAAUUGCUCUACUCUCUAUUCCCAUAUUAUCACUCACUGUUAUCUUACCUUUAAUAUUGUUCUUAUUCGAUUCUACCAUCUUUCCUAUUCACACCUAUUUACUUAUCUUGGUUAAGUUAGAGCGUAGAUCAGUUCUCCCGUUUCCCUGUGGAUACGAUAAAAUCUUUAACCGGGUAAAAGCUUCAACGGUAUCCGUGCGCUUGCGGAUUAUCUAUGUGCGUAUAAAUACCAUAGUACACUCUAGUGCCAUGCUGGGGAUGACAACCUAGUAUUCAAGUGGUGUUAGCAAGUGUCAACACACGCUUUAUUCAAACUCGUGUAAUCGGCACACAUCCUCAUUUUCCCAUUCUUUUUCUUAACUAAUAUAGGAUUUGCUAACCAGUCGGGAUGAUGAACCUCCGUGAUGAAUCCGGCCGUCAAAAGCUUGUGGACGUCCUCGCCAAUGAUCUUGCGUUUCUCUUCUUCGAAGCGACACAAUCGUUGUUGCACUGGCUUGGAACCGGCUCGAAUCUCCAAGGAGUGCUCGGCGACUUCCCUCGGUAAGCCUGGCAUGUCCAAAGGGCUCCAUGCAAACAUAUCGGCGUUUGCACAGAGAAAGUCGACGAGCACGGCUUCCUAUUUAGGGUCGAGGUCGGCACUGAUCGUCAGCGCUUUGUCGUUGGAGCCGUUGGGGUCGAGCGAGAUCUUCUUCGUGCCUUCCGCUGGUUCAAAGCUGCCUGCCUUCCUCUGGAGCCACAGCAGCAAGGGCCUCGAGCUUCGAGGUGAGUUUGGCAGAGUUCUCGACAGCUUCUUGAUACUCGACGCACUCGACGUUGCACUCAUACGCGUGCUCGUAGGAGGAUCUAACGGUGAUGACUCCCUUGGGCCCAGGCAUCUUCAGCUUCAAGUAGGUGUAGUUGGGGAUAGCCAUUAACUUGGCGUAGCCUGGCCGCCCGAUCAUGGCGUGGUAAGUGCCGUGAAAUCCCACCACUUCAAAAGUGAGAGUUUCCUUCCUGAAGUUGGCCGCCAUGCCAAAACAGACCGACAGGUCGAUUCAACCCACCGACAACGCCUUCUUUCCUAGCACGACGCCAUGAAAGCCGCCCACGCUUGGCUGGAGCUGCGCCCUUUCAAUGUCGAGGAGGUCGAGGGUCUGAAGGUAAAUGAUGUUCAAGCUGCUGCUGCCAUCCAUCAGUACCUUGGAGAGCCUAGUGUCGACGAUGAUGGGAUUGACGACAUCGGGUAGACGCCGAGGUCGACCACCCUAUCCGGAUGGUCGUCACGGUUGAAGGUGAUGGGGGUGCUCGACCAGUUGAGGUACAGGGGCACCGCCAUCCUUGCCGCAAAGACCUCGUGGCACUCCCUCUUGCGCUGCCUCGUGGUGAGUUGCGUCGAGGGCCCACCGUAGAUCAUGUAGCAGUCGUGGAUGGCCGAGAAACCUUCGUCUUCCUUGUUGCCCCCCUUGUCGUCGCUUUUGUCUCUCCCUUGGUCGUCUUUUUUCAGCCCCAGGCCAUCGAAAUAUCUUUUCAGCAUACGACAGUCUUCGAGCUUGUGAUUCGCCCCUCCCUUAUGAUACGGGUAGGGCUCUUUGAGAAUCUUGUCGAAGACGGCACCCUCUGGGGGCCCUCGAGGCUUUUUGCGCUCCAUAGCGGCGACGAAGUCAUCGUCUGUAGCCUCCCGCUUAAAUGGUCAUGCCUUCUUCCUUUUCUUUCCUUUCUUAGACCCUCUGCUGGGGCCCUCGUCAUCAUCCAUUGGUUCCUUAUCUUUGCUUCCUUUGUGGCUGAAGAAGGCACCAACCGCUUCCUCGCCCGCAGCAUAGUUUGCCAAUAUGUCCAUUAGCUCAUUGACGGUCUAAGGCCGGUUUCGACCCAGUUCCCGUACCAGGUCCUUGCAAGUGGUACCUGACACAAAGGCCAGAAUGACGUCGUGGUCGGGGAUGUGCGGGAGCUCAGUGCGUUGCUUCGAGAAGCGCCGUGUGUAUUCUCAGAGAGUUUCUCCUGACUUUUGCUUGCAUUUGCUGAGGUCCCAUGAGUUGCCGGGUCGUAUGUAGGUCCCUUUGAAGUUACCCUCGAAUACCUAAACCAAAUCAGUCCAAUCGUGAAUCUGGUUGGCGGGGAGCUCCUCGAGCCAUCUGCGAGCGGUGUCAAAGAGGAAAAGCAGUAGCUGACGGAUGAUGGCUUGAUCGUCUCCUCGAGCGUCUCCCAGCUGACAUGCAAGCCAGAAGUCUGCUAGCCACAGUUCUGGUUUGCUUUCACCGUUGUAUUUAGCAAUGCUAGUCGGGGGUCGAAACGGGCUGGGCAGCGGCGUGCUACGGAUUGCUCUGCUGAAGACUCGAGGGCCCGGUGGUUCUGGGGCCAUCCGGUCUUCAUUGCUGUCAUAUCGUCCGCCGCGGUGGGCGCUGUAGCCGCGCUCCUCUGCAUCCCCAUGUCGAUGGUGACGAUACUCGUUGAUGUUUUGUCGAGCGUCGUGUCGCCGUUGAUUAUUGAUGAGGUGGUCUUGGAUGGGCGCCGUUUUCCUUCGUCGAGGGGGUGGUUUUUGAUGGACUGACACCUCCCUUUCGUUUCAGGCCAGCUCGACGCGUUUCUCCAAAGCUGACCCUCGACGUCGAGAGGCUGAGCUCUCGGCUUGCUGAGCUGCCGCCACUUGAAGCAGAGUCUGCACCUCGUCUCGAAUGUGCCGUGCCUGGGAGUUCGAGGGUUCAAGCAUGUUACGUAGCAACAUGGUCGCUGCCACGACGUUCUGGCCUGCUCGUGGGAAACGGCUAACUGGCAGCUCUGGCUCCUCAUCUCCGACGAUCUGUCGGUACACUUCUCGAGCCCGACCGCGUGCACCUCUGACAUGCGGGUAUGGUUGGUCCUGCUCGAGGGCUCGUUUGAGCUGGGUGAGGCGCUCGCGAUCUUCAUCGAGCUUCGCUUUGAGCUCCCAUAAUUGCGCAAGUUGCACGGCUUUGUCUUCCUGAAGUGGAGGGUCGAGAUGACCGUUGUUCCCAGGUGUCCUGGGGUCCUCCCUUGCUACAGGAGCUCGGCCGCCGGCGGCGGCGUCUUGCGUAUCAUCUGUGGUCGCCACCUCCCCGUCGAUGUUGAAGCAUUCCCUCGUAGGGUCAUAGCUGUCGGAUUCAGAGUCGGGAUCCGGCUCGGCGGCGUAGAAACAUCCAUGUCCUUCUUCCGCCAACCGCUGCCUGAGCGAAGUGAUUGUGUAUCGCCUGGGUCCUAGACGUCGGAGGCCUCGCAUCCGAGAGAAGUCCGGCAGUUUGGCUGCUUGCUGCUAUGCCCCGGCGCCACGCGGGAGGACCAUUGGUCGUUCCACGCACGUCUGGGCGUCCGGGCAUAUCGUCCUGGUGAGUGAUGCCGCGACAUUGUCUAGCCCAAACGGGUGCGUUCUUCUAGAGGCGAACAACCCAUGUGGUAACAACGUUGUCGAGGGCGGGAGCACACGAGGAGCGCUAUCACCCAGUGUCGUCGCGAGGCCGUCUUGACGCCGGGUCAUCGUAUCCGUGGCCUCGGUGCACGGGGCUGUCGACUCCCGCACCACCGCUCGCCUGGCACGAGUAGACGACCGUGAAGCGACAGAGGGGUGGUGGCGGUGCUGUCCACGCUUCUUCUUGGGCGGGGAGGCAUGGUGGCGAGGCCGUCUCGGGGCCUUCGAUCGUGCGGGUGCAACGCGAGCUCCUCCCGAUCCUUUGACCGAGAGCAGGAUCAUGUCAUAGCCGAAACUAGUGGACAUAAACUCAAGGCUCCCGAACCAAAUCACCGUGGAGCGUGGGAUUGGCGAAACGAGAGUGGCCAUCUGGAAGGAGAUGGGAAGUCAGUGAAAAACACACAGGACCCCUACCUGGCGUGCCAACUGUCGGUGUUUUACCCCCGAGGAGUCACACCAACGAGUAAACUUGUAUGCGUGUUCCCUCUCCCAGAUGGUGAUGCGAGAAAGACACAGAGAUUUAUCCUAGUUCGGGCAAGAGAAGGCCCUACGUCCAGCGCGGGGGGAUGUUUUUCUACUAGCUCGCACCUAAGUGCUUGUAUAGGGGUGAAUACAGGCGAGUGUCGCUGAGAAUGGUGAUGUAUCGGUGGCUGUUCUAUGUGUGGUGUUGUUCUUAUACUCUUCCCCGGCCUCCCCUUUUAUAGUUCCAAGAGGAGACCUAGGUUACAUAGUAUAGGUAAUAAAAUAAGGGUCGAUAGGAGCGUGGUGGGCUAACCUACUCGAGGCUUCCGUACCGGCGUGGCUUUGAGUCGUCUUGUUACCGGGUACUUUGGUGAUGAUUGCACAUGCUUCUGUAUUCAGCUCCUGUGCGUCGCCUUGGAUUGGUUUAACUGUGGGCACGCUUGUAUGUCACGGUAGUAGUCGCGUCUAGAGUGGUUGAGGUGCUGUCUUUCGUCACCCGACUCUUCUCUGGGAAGGAAAGUACUCGUUCGAGGGUCCGGCACUACGCAGGGCUUUGUUGAGCGAUGCGCUGACUUUGGGUGCUUCGAGGGGUGCCGUGAUGUGACAUCCCGACUGUCUCACCGUGCUUGGCUGUACUCUUGCUCAUCUGGGGGAUAAAGCUAUGAAAAGUGGGAUUGGACGGGUGCUCGCUCCCUAUCACGUUUCCCGUGAUUGUCGGGUUAGGUGAGAGCGUGGCAGGUGCAUUAAAUGCCCUGACUCCCAUACCCGCGACACGUGGCGGAUGGCGCCCUUGCGCUCGAGGCCUGUUGAUUCACCUGAGCCACUUUUGUAUUCGACGGUUGCCGUUUAGUCGAGCCUCCAUUGAUUCGCACGACCCUAUAUCCGUGUUCGAUGCUAUGGUUAGCGUCGAGCUUUGGUGAUCGUGCAUAUAAGCGGGGGCGUCGAGUUAGGGCCUCGACUUAUGUACGGAUCUCUUCAUUAUGAGCGUUAGUUGGGAUACCCCUUAUUGACACCCUCGACAGGUAGAUGGAAAAGUGAUGAAUGAUCAAUGAGGGAGUUGCCGAUGGGCUAUGAUACCGAUGCUAAAGCAGCGAGAGAGAGAUAUAGCUAAGUCCGGGAAUAGUGAUUGAUCAAUGCCUAUGGCUGAUAUUGACGAUGGCCGAUACCGAUGGAAGAUGAUAUGCCGAUGAUGGUGAAAUAAGACAUAGGAGUUAUCGGGAAGACAAUGGCGGUGUGUCAAUCACUCAGGAUGGAUGUAUUGUUAUGUUCCAUAAUUGAUAGAGUUUGUUUUACGUACGAGUCCUGUUUGAUUUGGAAUUAGAAUCCUAGUCAUGUCUAAUUGUAACUAUUUAGGAUAGAGUAUAAAUAUAGACUUAAUAGUGAUGUAAGAGGACAAUCCAAUCAAUAUCAUACAAAACUUUUACAUCUACUUUUGCAUCUACAUUUUCGACGACUUCGUCAACUCACAUCUUUUCUUUUGCUUACGAGUUCUUAAGAAUUCAUCGAGUCAUACUCUACGAGUUCUCAAGUUCCGCGUGGAUACCUCUUGGCCAUGGCAUCCAGACGCAUCGCUGUUGUCAGGACCAAAGUAUUCGAGUUAUCACCUUUGUUGGUUGUAAGGUCAAAUCGGCUGGCACACCUUAAUGAUUGAAUCGAGUAUUAGCCCUUUGUGUUUGCAGAUCCAUUUUUGCACCAACACAUCUUUUGGCACGCCUGGUGGGACAGAUUCAUCAUCAAGAUCAAUAUGUCUACUACUGAAUUCGACACGGAAAAUAUCAUCACUGUAACGGAGGCCGAUCUCAGGGAUGAAUAGAAGCAGGUGAUGGCAAAGGCUAUGGAGGAAUACAAGCAGUUAUGCUUAAAAUCCUUCAGCGUCAAUCAGAGUGGUGAAGUGAUCUAGAAGCUAGAACUGCCGAUGCCUCGGCAAAUCACGUUUGAAGCCAAUCGUGGUAAAUUGCAAGAUAUGGUUGACAAUGCUAUUAAUCAUGCUUUGAUCAAUCAAUCCAGUGUACUGCCCAAUACUGUUUUCAACGCCGUGGCUAGAACUUUCAAAGAAGGACAGACACCACCAUUAUACAUGGGCCCGGCCUAUCAUCAGCUAGGGUUAUCAUCGAUUAGGGCUCCAUCGACUCCUCCGACCGUUUCGGGGACCGAAGUUACUUCUCCACCAAGUACAUUAGGGAUGAGUAACGGGCAAUCUACACCGAUGAGAACCAAUUCAGCAACAUCAGAUGGACGGAUUCAACUUAACACAGAUCUAUCGGCAUCGGCAAUGUCAGGGUCUGUAUUUCAGAACUGUCAGGUUCCUCCUAAUUGGUGGGGAUAUGGUAUGCCUCCAGAGUUUUUUGCAAAAGGUUCUAGAACAUCUCAGGUGGCUGGCUUGGCAGGAAAAGCUCCUAUGGGCACCUCCAGUUUCGCCGAUGACUCAGAAUUCCCAGUAUUCUACAACUACUACUGUAAGGCCUGUUACUGGAAACUUUCAAAUGCCAAUGUUCCAGACACCUAAUGCAUCGGUAGAUUUAUUGCCGAUGCAACAGAGGUUCAUGACUCAGGUAGGGUAUGUCAACCCAAUGAUGACACCCAAUUAUCAGCCAUCGGUAGGGCCUGUGCUGAUGAAUGCUAACAACGGAUGGAUGGGGCAGUUUGUCUUUCCACAAAUGACACAACAAAAUCAUCAGGCUGUAGGAUUCUAGCAAGGACAGAUGCAGGUUGGUUUCCAGAAUCAAGGACCAGCCAAUCAGCGGAUGAAUAUUGCUCAACAGAUUGGUGGCCAACAAGCUAUGGCCAAUGCUAUGUUCCCUAGAGAUCAUCUGCCUCAGAGGCAUGUGGAAGCCUAUCAACAGGUGCCGGAGCCACAGCCCCUACAUCGACAGGAUACCAAUGCCUAUUGGGCCAAUAAGAUAGCUGAAGUAAUGAGAGAUCAGUUUGGGAUAAAACCCAAAGUCAAUACUUAUUCUUAUCGGACACCGUAUCCUCCUGCAUAUGAUCUGAUUCCACUUCCAAAUCGGUACAAGAUGCCAUAUUUCACUAAGUUCUCUGGGCAAGAUGAUACAUCGACAAUGGAACAUGUCAAUCGAUUCAUCAUCCAAUGUGGAGAGGCUGCUAACAGAGAUGAAUUAAGAGUUUGUUUAUUUUCAUCAUCGUUGUCAAGAUCGGCAUUUACUUGGUUUAUUUCAUUACCUCCAAAUUUGGUAAUUACUUGGGCCGAUCUAGAGAAGCAGUUCCACAAAUAUUUCUUUUCUGGGGUCCAUGAAAAGAAGAUUACCGAUUUAGUAAGACUGAGGCAGCGCAAUGAUGAAUCAGUUGAAUGCUUUAUACAAAGGUUGAGAGAUGUCAAGAAUAAAUGUUAUAGUCUGGUUCUAGAUGAUCGGCAACUGGCCGAUUUGGCUUUUCAUGGAUUGUUGCCACACAUCAAAGAUAAGUAUGCUUCUCAAGAGUUUGAAAGUCUGAGUCAUCUGGUGCAGAGGAUUUUUGAUCAAGAUAUCAAGGCUUUUGAACCGAGGAAAGCUUAGAACAAAAAGGUGUCAUUUGUCAAUGAGGUAGCAAGUUCAGUUUCUGAUGAAGAACCAGUCAUCGGCUUAGCAGAAUUGGUAAAAAACAAAAAGCCGAUGUCCUGUCCUUUUGGCCAUAAAGAACCAAAAAAGUUUGCUUUUGACAUUACAAAGGCCGAUAGGAUAUUUGAUUUUCUGCUUCAAGAGGGAUAAAUUAAGCUAUCACCUAAUCAUGUGAUUCCAUCGGCCGAUGAAUUGAAAAAGGUCAAGUAUUGCAAGUGGCAUAUUGCAACAUCACAUAGCACAACUGAGUGCAAAGUAUUCAGGCAGCAGCUGUAAUCGGCUAUAGAAUCUGGGAGAAUUAAAUUUGAUAAUUCCAAAACUCAGAAGCCGAUGAAGAUUGAUCAACAUCCUUUCCCCACAAACAUGUUGGAUGCCAAUGGUAAGACCAAGGUCUUGACGUUAGAAGCCGCUAAAAGACGUGCAUCGGUUGAUCCCGAGCAUCAGAUAACUACCGAUGAUGCCAAGGGCAAAGGUUUGAUUUAGGAGGGUAGCAGCUCUGGGAGACCUCCUCGAUCUGGCAUUGUGAUCACUCAUAGAAGACAUUGGGAAACAUGGCAGCAACGUGAAGAUCGGUACCGCCGUCAGCAAGAGGAUCGACGCCGAGAAGAAGAAAGACGACGACAAGAGUGGAAUUGGUACAAAGAUCACUGGAAUUGCCCCCUUCUUUAUUCAUUGUUGGGAGCAAAACAUCAAGUUACCAAGUGUUAGAGACUGCCCAGAAUACAAUGGUUAUAGUCAGUAUGAUCGGCCAGAUCGACGAUUCAAAAAUGAUGACUGACGCUUUAAUGAGCCGAUCAGGAGAAGAAUGUCAGUUCAUGAUCGGCUGGGGGGCAGACUUAUCGUGCAUGACAGGCUUGGUGGACGUGUUGGGCAUUUUUCGAGGAACCAAGAGGAGCUUGAAGAAAUAGCAAAUGCCCGGGUUCCCGAUGAAUUUAUUUUUUGCAGGGACACCAAUACUCAUUGGGUGGAAUCAAGGGAAGUUCGCCAUCAGCCAGUACAGAGGACACAACUUCCCUAAUGGUGUCCAGAAGGAUUGACAAGGACAUAGAAAAGGAGGAUGCAGCGAGAACAGCAAGAAGAAUUGGAUAGGGAAGAAAAUUCCUCUAAGUCUAAGAAUCGGCAGCAAUCGGAUCACAAAGGAAAAGGACCAUCGGGAGAUGUUAACAUGGUAUUUAUGUUGCCGAUGGAGUUUCUUGCACCCUUUAGUGAUGAUGAAGAAAUAGACUUCCCUGGACAGAUAGCUCAGUUAGCACUUGAUCCAAUGACAGCCAUGUUUGAGAAGCCUUCCAACGAUGAAAGGCAGCAUCUUAAAGCUUUGUUCGUCAAAGGCAGGGUUGACAGGCAGCCGAUGUCCAAGAUACUCAUUGAUGGGGGAGCUGCUAUCAAUAUUAUGCCUUACACAGUCUAUCGAAAGCUUCGCAAAGGAGAUCAAGAUUUGACCAGAACUGACCAUCGGCAGCAAGACUUUGCUCAUGACUUUCUUUGUCAUCAGUGGAAAAGGUGCAUACAAUUUAUUACUAGGGAGGGAAUGGAUUCAUGCCAAUUGUUGUAUUCCUUCUACAAUGCACCAGUGUCUUGUUCAGUGGGUAGGUGACAAGAUUGAAAUUGUCCCCAGAGAUUCUUCAUAUAUCAUUGCGUCGGUAGAAUCAGAUACUUAUGAGAGGACCAGAUGCAUUUCAGGGGAAGUUUAGGAGAAAGAUUUUCUCAAAGUUGCCGAUUAUGAAAUUCCACCGAUCCAAGCAGUCGGUUCUCAUGAAGAAUUUUAAUGGAUAGGUUCGCCGAUGAUGGAAAGUUAGGACAGGGGUUUACAUCGGCUGAUGAUCUAGUAGAAGUAGAUAUAGGUAAUGGCGAUAAGCCAAGACCUACUUUUAUUAGUGCUAAGUUAGACUCUGAGUGUAAGCAGCAAUUAACCAAUUUGUUAAAGGAAUAUAAAAAUUUCUUUGCUUGAGAUUAUACCGAGAUGCCUGGUUUAGACCGAUCAAUUGUUGAACAUCGGUUGCCUAUUAAGUCUGGGUUUCAGCCGCAUAAGCAACCAACACGCCGAUGCAAUCCUAAUAUUCUCCCUGAUAUUAAGGCCAAAAUAAUCAAACUUAUUGAAGCUAAAUUUAUUCGGCAAUAUUGGUAUGCCGAAUGGAUUUCUCCCUGUUUAUAAGAAGAAUGGAAAGCUCCGUGUUUGCAUUGAUUUUAGGAAUCUUAAUGUCACACUCAUAUUUUAAGAACAAAAUAGGAUGCAUAAAAGACUCAUAUGUGCCCCAAAAACAGUCGCACACGUAAGUAGACAAAUCUCAAAUGUACCAUUACAGUGUUUAUUACAUAGCGAAACAAUAAUAAAUCACAUAGUCUUAUACAUAAAUGAUAACAUGAAGUAAACAACGCUCUCGAUGGAAGCACCACACAGGGACACUGUUGACUGGUUGACUCCAAACAUAGUACUCAUAACGGUAAUCCUCAUUCCAGUCAUCUUCAUUAUCAUAUCCGGAGGUGUUGGGAAAUUGCAAGAGUGAGCACAUAUCGUACUCAACAAGUAUAACCAGGGGUUCAUGAGGCUCAAAUAGCUGACACUGGUUUGACUGCAUUUAGCUUUUAAUGGUGGAUAGCAUAUUCAUAAUUAAAUAGCAAAUGUCAAGGUAGCAUAAAUAACCCAUUAAUCACAUGAUCAAGUGUAAGCAUAAUUAAUUCAAAGCAUAAACGAUAACCAAAUGAACAUAAUAACAUAACAAGCUCAUCAUCUUAAUGUAGAUGUCCCCAAGGCCGCUCCUGACCGUGAGCUCGGCUAGUAUACCAGUUUUACACUCUGCAGAGGUUGUACAUCUUUACCCACGAGUCAUGAUUUACCCUUUCGCCUAACGUAGCUAAUCUCUUAACCCCCUUCCCAGGGAGGUCGCCAGGGAUCACUAUGAAGCCUUUCAAGAGUUCGUCUAACAUGUUAGGGCCGUAAGGUUUCCUUUGCGAGCAGAUAUAGAUACCCCCCUUCCGAAUGGCACAAUGACGUGCAGCCUAUACACAUAGGGACAGGGGCUCGCACUAUACCCGUGUCGGUUCAGCCCCUCCGCCCUUUCGGGUAACCUCUAACAAGCUAGAAAAGGUCUCCAUACUGAGCUAAAGCCAGAGCCAUUAUAGCCCUCAUAGUUGCACUGUUAUCCCGGGUGAUCACGUACAGACAAGAUCUCAUACAGUUAUUUGUCAUUCUUUUAUGUUCAUUGCAUAGCUAUUAAUCAUCUUACAAGAUCAUGGAUUAUAUCAAGCACUAGCACAUCUACACCAAAUGCAUAUCAAGUAGGUAGCAAGGAAUACAGGUAACAAUCAUCUAUGAUUUUGCUAAGGUCGACAAGGUGAUAGCAUGCAUAAGAUAUAUAUGUGUAGUUAUAAGUGAAUAGGUUACAAGGAUAAUCCCAAGUUAUACUUGCCUUGCUCAAAGCUCUCCUGUGCCUGUUGGUCUUCAAAAGCUUGGUCUUGAUCACCAACGUACGACUCACCGUCUAUUCCCAAUCAUCAAUCAACAACACGCAAUCCAAUGUAGACAAUCAUACACAAAGCAAACAAGCUAUAAUUAGAACAUUACACCAACAGUGAGAAAUCAAAGAUAAAAGUUUAUUAAAAUAUUCUACGCAGCGCUACGAUCACACGAACAUAAAGUUCACGAAAAUCGGAAUUAAAACGUGAAAGAUAUGAAUUUUCUUAGAUUUCCUAUAGAGAAAUAAUUAAUUAAAUAGUACCAGGAAAUUAAAAAGUUUCAAAACAGUAAACUAAUAUUUCUAACAUGUAGAGCAUGUAAAUACAGAUCUAACAAAAUUUGAAUGGACAAAAACAGAGUUAAAAUGAGUAUUUUAUAAACAAAACAAAAUCAGUGGCAUUUCUGAAAAUAUGAGAAAACGUAUUUUGAUUCCAAACGGCCAGGAAUACGCGUUCGGAAAGUAGAAAACGUAAAGUUGGGAGUACACAAAGGACGGCGGGUUUAGCCAUCCGAUCUCCCUCCAACGGCUCAAGGCGCACGCGGGGGAAGGCAGGCGGCGGCCGGCCGGCCGGAUUGGCCUCCGGCACGGUGGUGCCAUGGUCGGAGCCACAAAGCUCACCGGCGUCGUCCGUUUUCGCGAUGCCGUGUACCAAAAACCAAGCCGAGGACACCGGGAGAUGGAGAAGAAUGUCGCGAGCUCACCGAGAAUGGUUGUUUAAGCCGAAGAGGAGCAGGAGAGGCGCGUCACGGCGGCGGCUUUGCUCCCAACUCGGCGAGAUCUGUUUAGAGCUGCAGCAGGUUCUAGGGCUCAGCUAUUGCGGCGAAAACGGAAGGAGAACGCGCGGGGUCGGUGCUAGAGCUUUAUAGGGCCUCGAGUAAUCGAUUUGGCAAGAAACCCCAGCUUCCCCGUGAUUGGAUUCGAUCAGAGAUAGAAACCUGCUCGGUUUCGACGUGGAGAAGAAGAAUAGGGCGCUGCCACGCAGGCCCGGGGUGUCAGCGGGAGGAAGAGGGAGAGGGGAGGGAAAGGCGCCUGCGCUGCUCGGCCGCAGCAAAUUGGGCCGGGGCGGGGGAAAGCUAGGUCGCGGGGAAAGAAACGGGGCUGGGCCGAGAGGGGAAGUACAAGGAGCUUCCUUUUUUUUCUUUUUAUUCUUUCCUUUUCCAUUUUAUGUUCUAAAGCUUUCUUUUGAAGAGAAUUUUUGAUGCAAUUAAAUUCAAACCAAAAGUCAACAACACAAAAUUGAAUAUGCUCCAGCAUGAAUGCAUAAACAUAUUUCUAUCCCUAUGUUGGUUUUAAGUUUGACAAAAAUUAUUUAUUUACUAGAUUAAAUGCCCACCAAAAAUGCUUAAUUAAAUCAAAUUAAAUCCUAUUAAUUAAAAGUCAGAUUUUGGGUGUUACACUUAAUAAAGCUACGCCGAUGGAUGGUUAUACCAUGCCAAUUGCCGAUUUAUUGAUUGAUGCUGCGGCUGGACAUCAAAUUAUUAGCUUCAUGGAUGGCAAUGCAGUACAAUAAAAUAUUCAUGGCUGAAGAAGAUAUUCCCAAGACUACGUUUAGAUGUCCUGGUCAUGUUGGAUUGUUUGAGUGGAUAGUCAUGACUUUUGGCUUGAAAAAUACUGGUGCCACUUAUCAGAGGGCCAUGAAUUUUAUUUUCCACGAAUUCAUCGGCAAAUUGGUAGAAAUCUAUAUUGAUGACGUGGUGGUCAAGUCUGGAGAUUUCAUAAAACAUCUAGCCGAUCUACGAAAAGUAUUGGAGUGCACAAGGAAACAUCGCUUGAAGAUGAAUUCUAAUAAAUGUGCUUUCAUUGUAUCGGCAGGACAGUUUCUUGGUUUCAUGGUGCAUCAAAGGGGAAUUGAAAUUAGUAGGAGAUCCAUUGAUGCCAUCAACAAAAUAGUUGCUCCCACCAAUAAAACUAAACUUCAAUCAUUGAUCGGUAAGACUAAUUUUAUCAAACGAUUUAUAUGUAAUUUGUCGGGUAAGAUUCGUGCUUUCAGCCCUUUGCUUAAGUUAAAAGCCGAUCAAGAAUUUGUGUGAGGAAAGGAGCAACAAUUAGCAUCGGAUGAAAUCAAGAAUUAUUGGACAAAUCUUCCAGUUUUGGUUCCACCUCAACAAGGAAAGCCCUUUAGGUUAUAUUUGUCUACCGAUGAUAUGGUCAUCGGAUCAUGUCGGUGUUUUCCCCCUGGGGGGUCACACCAACAAGUAAUUUGUAUGCGUGCUCCCUUUCUCAGAUGGUGAUGCAAGAAGACACUGAGAUUUAUCCUAGUUCGGGCAAGAGAAGGCCCUACAUCCAGUGGGGGAGGGAAGUUUGUAUUAUCUUGCACCGAAGUGCUUGUACAGGGGCGAAUACAAGCGUGGUAUGAAGUGUGUAAGUUCUACUACUUAUGAGCGUGGUGUUGUCUCUCUCCUAUCUAUUCCCAGGUUCUCCCUUUUAUAGCACCAAGGUGAGACCCAGGGUACAUGUAUAGGUGUCAGAGUAGGGGUCGAUAGGACCAUGGCGCGCUGACCUAGUCGAGGCUUCCGUACCGGCGUGGCCUCGAGCCGUCACAUAUCGAUAGCCUGGUGAUGAUUGCGCGUGCCCCUGUAUCCCGCUCCGCGCGCCGUCUUGGGCUGGUUCACCUGUUGCACGCCUGUACGAUAUGGCGGCAAACCCGUCGGAGCGGUGGCAGUGUUGUCAGUCGACGCCCAUCUCGUCCCCAGGAAGUAGCUACAUCUGGUCGAGGGUCGGACGCCGUGUAAUGCCCUGAUGUCCGAAGCGCUGACCUUGGUUGUCUCGAGGGGGUUCCGAUUGGACGUCCCAUCCUUGUUUCCCGCGUCCUGACACGCUCUGGGUCGUUUGGUGGGGAAGGCUGCAAAAAGAACGAUGGGACGGGUGCCUGUUUCCUAUCACGCCUCCCGUGACCAGUGUGUUAGGUGGGAAUACGGCGGGCGCAUUAAAUGUCCUGGCUCUUGUGCGCGCGUCAGGCGGCGGACAGUGUCCUUGCGCUCGACGUGUCUCGAUUCGCUCGGGCCCGUUUCCAUAUUCGACGAUAGCUGGCGCUCGACCCUUGAUCGAUUCGCUCGACGCCAUUUCCGUCUUCGAGGCUGCGGUCGUUGAUGGCUGCGCAUAUGUAUGAUCAGAGCGUCGAGUUGAGGGCCUCGACCUACGUACGGAUAAUCUCGUUAUGUGCAUCGGUGAGGGUACCCUUUAUUGACACCCUCGACAGUAGCCCCCGAGUCUUCAUUUGAGCGCUGGCGCUCGAGUGGAGGCUGUAUUCUUGGGUCGAGUUUCCGUGGGGGCGCGCGAGCGACCCCGCGGGGGUAGCCCCCGAGCCCUUGAAGGAGUUUUUUGACUCCUUCGAGGGUUAUAUUGCCUAGUUCGCAGAAACGCUAUCGACAUCAGUGGUGGUAGGUUCUGAUCGGCUCGUUUUGCGCGGAGGUUUCGACAUACUCUCGAUAGAGCGAGCGUCUCUCCCCCCAGAUUGAGUUCCUAGCGGGUAGUCCAAGUGAGAACCUAUGCCCCUUUCGAGGGGGUCAGCUGUAGCCCGGAGGCGUUCUCAUGAAGCAAGGUCGACGUGGUUGGGGAUACUGGUCUCAUUCGAUAGAGUCCAGCGGCGCGAUGCCUCCCGUCGGAGGGAUUCCUCUCGACUGUCUCGACCCUACCUUGGACAUCGCCAGUGAGUCUUCGAGGCGGGCCUCGAUCUCUGACCGCUCGCUAGGGAUCCCUGACUCUGGAGCUCGAGAUCGGCUGUCGAACCCUUUCGGUGGGCCAGCCUGCGACCUCUCGAGGCUUUCGCGGAUACGCCCCUUGGCUUACAAGGGAAGGAAGAGGCCGUGGCGGUUCGCCUUUCUGCUCGUUGGGCGCGCCUUUUGAGGCGGGUGACGUUACGACACUGCGUCGGCGUGGAAUUCGGAGCGUCCCAUCUGUGAAGAGGGGAAGGACUGUUAGAUGGUGCAUUUAUGGGGGGAGUUACCUUUUUUAUCGGAUCUGCCCGUUGGUGGACUGCUGCCUAUAAAUGUGUCCUGGCGUCGCCGCUGUUCUCCCUUCUGCUUCCCGUCUUCAUUCUCGCCUUAGCCCUUUCGCUGCCUUAGUUCCCUUGCCAUCCCACACGCGUGUGCCCCCUCGAGUAGUAGCGGAUCCGCCAUCCUUUCGGCAAGGAUGCCUGUGAGGCUUGUCGCCGCUGACGACUGGCGCCCGUCGUCGAUGAUAGAGCGCCGGCUGCAGGAGCUUGAGAGGGAGGGACUCCUGCGCCGCCGCACCUCGCUGUCGUCACCGUAGUGGAUCGCGCCGGCGGCGGACCACAGGGAGCCCAGGCCGCCUUAGGGCUAUGUGGUUUCGUUCGCCAAGUUCCACCGCCACGGGCUGGGCGCUCCCCCGAGCCGCUUCAUGCGGGCACUCUGCCAACACUACGGGGUGGAGCUUCAGCACUUCUCCCCAAACGCCAUCACCGUCGCGGCGGUCUUCGCCGCGGUGUGUGAGGGCUAUUUGGGGAUGAUGCCCCACUGGGAGCUGUGGCUCCACCUGUACAGGGGCGAGCUCUUCAACGCCCCUACUGGGACCACCGGCGUGAGCAAGCCGGUGCGGGCGGGCUGCCUCAACCUCGUGCUGAAGACGGGGAAGACGGAGAGGCCACGCGAGUACAUCCCAGUGGGGCUGUCGACCAACCACGCCGGCUGGGACUCCCAGUGGUUUUACUUGUGAAACGACGACGACCUCCUGCCCGCCUACACCGGACGUCUGAUCACGGAGCGUCCGGAAAAUUGGACGUACGGCGUCGUCGUUGCUCACCAAUCUCGGCUCGACCCCCUCCUCGAUGUCAUGAAGAAGCUACGCUCAGAGGGUUUGACCGCCGCUCUCGUUCUCUCAGCCGUCCAUCAUCGAAGGGUUCUCCCCUUGAUGUCUCGCCCGCUGAGGAUGGACGAGAUGGGCCCAGGUGUCUCGUCCCGGGACCUCGAGGCAUGCCGGAUGUCAAGCGUGGCUCCAGCGAACGAUGAAGUAGCGGCCCGGGUCAGGGCCGCCAUUGCUGGCGACUUCAAGCCGGAGCACGUUAACGGAUUCCCCAUGAGGCCAGAUGCGGGCUCGAUCGAUCUGGUAUGCUUUCUUUUCGUGCGCAGCUUCGAUUCUGGAUUUCUUUUCUUUUUUCUAAGUCCACCUUUGUUCUGGCAGGGACGGAUUGACGUCCGGUCCUCGAGGCCUCCAGUAAAGGAGGACGAGGUUGAUUGUGACGCGCGGCGCCGGUCCGCCGAGAAGCAGAAGUCCGCCAAGGACUCUGCGAAGAAAGGGGAGAAAAAGAAGAACCUCGAUCGCCAAGCUUUAGAGGCGUGUCGGGCUAAAUCCUGGCAGAGGAGGGAGCCUGAGGAAGAGUCCCCCAGCGACGAUGAUGGUGGGGAUGAAGACAGCGACGACUCUGAGGGGAUGGCCUCUUGCCUCGACCGGAUCCUCGAGGGUCCGCCUCGAGGCGACGUCGACGCCCCACGGAUAGAAACGCCGAUGGAACGUCCAAGCGGAUCUCACCGCCCCCAUGCCGAUACCCCUCCCGUGCCCGCGAUAGUCCAGACCGCCCCGCGCCCUCCCCCGGUGCCGAAGGCGGGUAGCCAUGCUAAGCCCCAGGCGACGGGGCCGCUGACCCGUGGUCGCGCCGCGGCCUCCGAGAAGGGCGAGACUGGCCGCAGAAGCGUCAGUCCCGGGGCCCGCCUGGCGGAAGGUGCCGAGCCAAGGCCAGCGCCUGCCCUCGAGGAGCCCAAGAUCUUGACACGGGGUGGGUCGAGACCCACCGGUCGGGGCACUGGCAGGCGAGUAGUCGUCCCCGUCGGGUUAGCUCUUCGAUGGUGUGACUUUUGUUCUGCGCCUCCUUGUUUACCAGUCUUUUUACGCUGGUUCUUUUUGUUUUAGAUUAAAGCGGACACUUGAACAAGCUCAGCCUUCGAUGGCGAAGAGGCUCAAAGCGGGGGCAUCCUCCAAGGAGCCAGGUUUGUGGCUUACUUUUGGGACUUGUGAUGUUCUUAUGUUGGGCAUUAUAGUGACCGGCCUCUAUUCUUUGUUUUGCAGCUUCCUCCGACUCUCGACCUCCGGUAGACGACGAGAGUGCUCCGCCUCAUCCCGAGCCUACCCCAAUGCCGUCGACGCGUGACGAGGCACCCCAGACUCAGGGGCAAGAAGGAGCCCCCGAGCCUCCUCAACCGGGGGUCGAGGCGGACCCAAUCUCCAUCAGCGACACGUCUGGUGGAAUCGAGGCGUCAGGGGAUGCCCGCCCUAUGGAGGAGGAAGCGUCGACUUCCCUCAUCGCGGGUCGGACUCCCUGGCCCGCUGGCCUUCGAGCUCUUGAGGAGCAGAAAAGGAAAGAGGAGGAGGAGGAAGAGCGGGAGCGCGAGGCAAUGGGGCAGCCGCAGGACCAGCACCUCUUGACGAGACCACCGUGAUGGGGUGGCCGAGAAAGUAGUGCUGCAGCUUGCGGCGGGCGAGGAUUACGGCGUAGAUCAGCUUCUGGAUUUGGGGGUAGCGUACCUUGGUCUUCGAAAGCACCUCGCUGAUGAAAUAGACCGGCCUCUGGACUGGCAGCGCGUGCCCUUCUUCCUGCCUCUCGACCACCACCGCUGCACCGACAACCUGGGUCGUCGAGGCAACGUAAAGGAGUAGUGGUUCCGUAGGUUGUGGUGGGACCAAGACUGGUGCUGAGGUCAGUGUUUUCUUCAGGUUUUCGAGGGCUUCCUCGGCCUCGGGGGUCCAAGAAAAAUGCUCGACCUUCUUCAGAAGCCGAUACAGCGGUAACGCCUUUUCUCCUAGUCUCGAGAUGAAACGGCUCAGAGCCGCCAGGCAUCCCGUGAAUCCUUGCACACCCUUGAUGUCUCGGAUCGGCCCCAUUCUUGUGAUGGCCGAGACUUUCUCGGGGUUGGCCUCGAUGCCGCGCUGGGAAACAAUGUAACCCAAGAGCAUGCCUCGAGGCACGCCAAAGACGCAUUUCUCGGGAUUGAGCUUGAUCUGGUUGGUGCGUAAGCAGCUAAAAGCAAUCUCGAGGUCCUGGAUCAGGUCUCCUUGCCACUUUGAUUUGACGACAAUGUCGUCGACAUAAGCCUCGACCGUCGACCCUAUGUGUUUGCCAAAUACGUGGAGCAUGCAGCGUUGGUACGUGGCUCCCGCGUUUCGAAGCCGAAACGGCAUGGUUACAUAGCAAUACAUCCCAAAAGGUGUGAUGAAAGAGGUCGCGAGCUGGUCGGACUCUUUCAUUUUUAUUUGAUGAUAACCAGAAUAUGCAUCAAGGAAAGAAAGGGUUUCACAUCCCACAGUGGAGUCGACAAUCUGAUCAAUACGUGGUAAUGGAAAGGGAACUUUCGGACAUGCUUUAUUUAGACUUGUAUAAUCGACACACAUCCUCAUUUUCCCAUUCUUUUUCUUAACUAAUAUAGGGUUUGCUAACCAGUCUGGAUGAUGAACCUCCUUGAUGAAUCCGGCCGUCAAAAGCUUGUGGAUCUCCUCGCCAAUGAUCUUGCGCUUCUCCUCGUCGAAUCGGCGCAACCGCUGCUUCACUGGCUUGGAACCGGCUCGAACCUCCAAGGAGUGCUCGGCGACUUCCCUUGGUAUGCCUGGCAUGUCCGAGGGACUCCAUGCAAACAUGUCGGCGUUCGCACAGAGAAAGUCGACGAGCACAGCUUCCUAUUUGGGGUCGAGGUCGGCGCUGAUCGUCAGCACCUUGCCAUCGGAGUUGUUGGGGUCGAGCGGGAUCUUCUUGGUUCCCUCCGCUGGCUCGAAGUUGCCCGUGUGGCGUUUGGGCUCUGGAGAUUCAGCGGCCAGGGUUCUCGACCACCUCCCCAUACUCGACGCACUCAACGUCGCACUCGUAAGCGUGCUCAAAGGAGGAGCUGACAGUGAUGACGCCUCUAGGACCGGGCAUCUUCAGCUUCAAGUAGGUGUAGUUGGGUAUGACCAUGAACUUGGUGUAGCCCGGGCGCCCGAUGAUGGCGUGGUACGUGCCUCGGAACCCGACCACCUCAAAGGUGAGGGUCUCCUUCCUGAAGUUGGCCGCCAUGCCAAAGCAGACCGGUAGGUCGAUUCGACCUACUGGUAGCGCCUUUUUCCCUGGCACGACGCCAUGGAAACCGCCGGCACUUGGCUGGAGCCGUCCCCUACCGAUGCCAAGGAGGUCGAGGGUCUCGAGGUAGAUGAUGUUGAGGCUGCUGCCUCCGUCCAUUAGCACCUUUGAGAGCCGGGUGUUGACGAUGAUGGGGUCGACGACGAGCGGGUAGACGCCCGGGGCGACUACCUUGUCGGGGUGGUCCUCUCGAUCGAAGGUUAUGGGAGUGCUCGACCAGCUGAGGUACUGGGGCACCGCCAUUCUUGCCGCAAAGACCUCACGACGUUCCCUUUUGCGUUGUCUCGUGGUCAACUGUGUCGAAGGCCCAGCAUAGAUCAUGUAGCAAUCGUGGACGGUGGGGAAGCCGUCGUCAUCUUUGUUGUCCUCCUUGUUGCCGCCCUUCUCUUUCUUGGAGUCGUCGCGCGCGUCCUUUUUGAACCCUAGACCGUCGAAGUGCUUUCUCAGCAUACGACAGUCCUUGAGCUUGUGGUUGGCGCCUCCCUUAUGGUAGGGGCAUGGUUCCUCUAGCAUCUUAUCGAAGAUACCUCCAUCUGGGGGGCCUUGAGGCUUCUUGCGCUCCAUGGCGGCGACAAGGUUGUCGUCGAAAUCUUCCCACUGGAAUUGCUGCGCUUUCUGCUUCUUCUUGUUCUUCUUGAGCCCUCGACUGGGGGUUCCAUCUUCAUCGACGGGCCGCUUGCCUUUCCCUCCUUCACAACUGAAGAAGGCGCCGACUGCCUCCUCCCCUGCUGCAUAGUUCGCCACUACGUCCAUCAGCUCAUCGACGGUCUGAGGGCGAUUUCGGCCCAAUUCCCACACUAAGUCUCGACUGGUGGUACCAGAGACAAAAGCCAGGAUGACGUCAUGGUCAGGGAUGUGUGGCAGCUCAGUGCGCUGCUUCGAGAAGCGUCGAGCAUACUCUCGAAGAGUUUCUCCUGACUUCUGCUUGCAUUUCCUGAGGUCCUACGAGUUCCCGGGCCGUAUGUAGAUCCCUUUGAAAUUUCCCUCGAAGACUUUAACCAAAUUGACCCAGUCGUGGAUCUGAUUUGCUGGAAGUUCCUUGAGCCAUCGACGGGCGGUGUCGGAGAGGAAGAGGGGUAGCUGUCUGAUGAUCGCUCGAUCAUCCCCUCGAGCGCCACCUAGCUGACAGGCCAACCUAAAAUUGGCCAGCCACAAUUCUGAUUUGGUCUCACCAUUGUAUUUCGCGAUGCUGGUCGGGGGUCGGAAUGGACUGGGCAGGGGCAUGCUGCGGAUUGCCCUGCUGAACACCCGUGGGCCUGGUGGCUCGGGGGCCACACGGUCCUCGACGCUAUCGUACCUCCCACCGCGAUGUGCACUGUAACCGCGCUCUUCCGCGUCUCCGGGCCGGCGGCGUCGAUUCUCUUCGAUGUCAUGUCGCGCGUCGUGUCGACGCUGAUUGUCGACGGGGAGGACGAGAGUGGUCUUUCUUCCUCGGGGGGGCGGCUGUUGAUGGACUGACACUUCCUUUUCAUUUUGGGGUGGCUCGUCGCACUUUUCAAUGGCAGCUCCUCGCUGUCGAGAAGCUGUGCUUUCGGCUUGUUGAACUGCCGCGACCUAGAGCAGAGUCUGCACCUUGUCUCGAAUGCGCGGAGCCUGGGAGUUUGAUGGUUCUGGCAUGUUGCGUAGUAGCAUCGUCGCCGCUACUACAUUGUGGCCCGCUUGAGGGAAACGGCUGACGGGCUGCUCUGGCUCUGCGUCUCCGACGAUUUGUCGAUGUACCUCUCGAGCGCGUCUGCGUACACUUCCGCCUGGCGGGUAGGGUAGGUCUUGCUCAAGGAUUUGCUCGAGCAGGACGAGGCGCUCACAGUCUUCGUCGAGCUUCAUCUUGAGCUCCCGUAGCUGUGCAAGCUGCGUAGCCCUGACUUCCUGUGGAGGGGGGUCGACCUGUCCGUCGUUCCCAGGCGUCCUGGGGUCUUCCCGUGCUGCAGGGGCUCGACCGCCCGCAGCAGCAUCAUGCGUCUCGUCGGUAGUCUCUACCGCCCCGUCGAUGUGAUAGCAUUCCCUCGUAGGGUCGUAGCUAUCAGUCUCGGAGUCGGAGUCCGGCUCGGUGGCGUGGAAACAUCCACGUCCCUCCUCCAGCAGCCAUUGCCUGAGUGAGGUGAUCGUGUAUCACCCGCGGCCUAGGCGGCGGAGGCCUCGCACCUGGGAUAAAUCCGGCAGUUCGGACGUCGGCUGUAGUGCUUCAGAAUCACGUGGUAGGACCAUUGGUCUCUCCACGUACGUCUGGGCAUUUGGGCAUAUUCCCCUGGCGAGUGUAACAUCCCUGAUGUUACGGUUACUAAAAAUGGAUCAUGUCAUCAUGAGCAUUGCAAAUCAUAUUUGUUAAAGCACAUUAGUAUGCAUCAACUUAAAACAAGUUUAUUUUUAUUGCUUGAGCUUAGGGAGGUAGAGUGUGUUUAUGUGGGAUGUUGAUGCUUGUGUGGUUGCUAAAAACCCUAGGGUGGAAAUUUUCCGAAAAGCUAAGGGGGGGAAACCCUGAUUUCUGGAUCCUAGAUUUGUCCCCUUUUUGCAUAAGUCAAAAACUAAGCAAAAUUUGAGGUUGAGUUCAAAAGCAAAGUUGUAGCUCUUGGCAAGAUGUACAACUUUGGUGUUUUGAGUUUUUGAAGUUUCAAUACAAAACUCAAAGUAAUUUUGAAAACACAGAUUUCCAGAAAGUGUCCCCUUUUCCAACUUAAACCCCCAAUUCAAAAUCCAUUUGGAAUUUUGAAAAGUGCUCAACAUGAAAGUUGUAGAGCACAAAAAAUUGAGCAACUUUCAUGUUGGGAGUUUUUCAAGUUGUUAUACCAAAUUAAAAGUAAUUCUGGAAAUCAUGAUUUGCCCCAAUUCAAAAAUUUGAAUUUCUUUUGAAUUGAGUUUGAUUUUCAAACUGUUUGGAAAAAUUUCCCUUUUUCCAUUGAGAAUCAGCUUGGGACACCUAAAUAUGAUUUGUAGCUUACAAAAUUUGGCACAACUUUUGUUUUGGUGGAAAUUUGACUUUAGUUCAAAUUUUGGUCGGAUUUCGCAAAAAGACAGACUGUAUGGAUGUGGCCUGCUACAGUGUUUGGCAGGGGGGGGGUGCUCUGCCGCCGCGGCAGAGCCGCCUCCGCGCGCGACGCCACGCAGCUGGCCACGCAGCUGCUUGCUGCUGUGCUUCGCGCGGACGGCCUCAUCCACAUCCCCUGUUCCGCCGCUUGGAUAAAGCCUCGGACGGCCGGAGUGCUUCUUUUUCUUCCUUUGAACCUCACCGCCGACCACCACCAUCCGCGGCCAAAAUUCGUCCUCUCCGUUGCCUUUCCACGCGAUUUGAGCACCCCAGCGACUCCGCCUUGAGCUCCGCCACCGGUUGCGCCCCCAAGCGCAAGCACUAACCCACCAGAGCCCUUUCCCGAGCCGCUCUUCUCCAGCUCCGGCCAAAGCGCCGCCGCAAGCAUCCCACCGUGGCCAGCAUCGCUCAAAGCCUCUCCGCGGCUGUUUGUUGCUCGGUUGAAGUCGUGGUGAGCCUCUGUCGCUUUUGCGCUACUCUCUUCGCGCUCUACUCAAGCGUAGUGGCCGGUGUUUGCCCGGCCGAGGCGGCCGUCCGCCGUGUCCGUGGUCGCGGGGGUUAGGGGAGGAGAAAGGGGCUGAGAAGGGUAUCCAGAGGUGCGCCUUGGAAUGGAGAACGCGACCAGCAGGUCACGAGAAGCAGAGGAGGCACGGAUGGCUCGGUCGCGCCAUCGAUUCGGCCGGCCGGAGGUUGAAGACGGAGCUGACAGCGAGGGCCCGCUGUCAGCGACGUCCUGAGGGGAGGCGAGGGCGCGAGCGCGCGCAGCGCGGGUGCGGGCCGAGCGCGUGUGGGCCGGCCUGCGGCCCAGUUUCCAGGCCGCCCGCUGCGCUGUUUUUUUUUUCUUUUUCCUUUUUGAUUAAAAUUGCUUGAUGUUUGAAUUUAUGUUAUAAAUUUUGUAGUGAUCCAAAAAUGAUGAAAAAUUUUGUAUAAAUUCCCUGAAAUAGUUAGAACCCAAGAAAAAUAUUAGGCUCUGUUUUCUGAUAAUUUGCCAGGAUAUGAAAAUUGGCUCUUUUAAUUACCAAAUAAAGCUUUGAUGAAUUUUAAUAAUUUAUUAGUAUGUCCAAAAAUCACCAAAAAUUGUGGGGAGCCUCUGAAUAUUAUUCCCUGGCUCCACCCAAAAUUUGGUGGCAUUUGGAUAAUGUUUGUUUAAAAUAUUAAUAAACCCUUAUUUAACACUUAAAUAAUAAUUCCAAAAUAAUUAAAUAGUGAUUAUUUAGAUCCUCAUAAUUAGGGUUGAGUGAUUUUGGAUUGUGUGAUGACCUGAGGUCAUUAACCCUAAUGACCUUUGGCAUUUAAUUGUUGUUUAGCCCUAAUGCUUAAUUACUGUCAUUAGUAAUUAAUUAAGAGUUAAUUAAGGUAAUUAGGAUUAAUAAUUAACUAAUUUAAGAUAAGUAUGAAUUAAAUAAAGUCUUAGUUUACAGAUGCAACCUCUUGGGUAAAACCAUUAAGUUAUUAAGCAACUUUAUUUAGCGAUAAUUCUGUAUUGCAUCAAGAAGGCGAGUUGUACUCGAUUUGGUCCUUCUUGCAUAUUUGUCAUACGCAUAUCAUGAGCAUUCAUCAUUUUGCGUAUAGUGUCCGUGACCGAAGGAGCGCCCGUUGAACCGAACCCCGAGGUCGGUGCUCCGUUCGAGGAAGUCGGAUCUGAGACUUGGGAAGUCUCCGAGGGUCCCUCUCUGCCCUGCAACCAAGGCAAGCCCCGGAUGCAUUAACCCCUCCUUGGAUGUUUUAAAUCUUUUGUCACUUAUGAAUUGAAAAUGCUGCAUUAGAUAGUUGAGAAUUGGGUUAACCUACUUGCUGCAUUUACUACCUUGAUAUCUAUAUCCUGUCCUUGACACCUGUUUUAUUUUAAAACUGCGUAGCGAUGCUUAGCCCUGCUACUAGAUAGGUUUUUAAACAAGAAAGUUUGAAGGGUUGUUGUGGGAUACACUUACGAUCAAUGAUGUUUCAAUUUGAGACCGGUCGGUGGACUUGCUCUAAGAAUGGAGUCUUAAAGUAGUGUCUCUGACUGUGUUGAUUAAGGACCGUUCCGUUGAUGGCCUGCUGGGUUGAGAAUUUAUAGUACUAGCCACUUGCCUUCGGUAAGCCCGGUCUUGUGAUCCCUCGACGCGAACAGCUACUCGCGCACUGGGAGUGGAAAGAUGGCGAGAGUAGUGUGUACCCACCUUACGGAUCUGAGAUGACCGGAAAACAUCUAGAUCGGCUGUAGGAUGGUGGAGUACUGUGCUCUCGGGUGCCGCGAACCUGGUCAAAUUUGGGGAGAGCUUGAUUUGGGUUGAUAUAUGCAAGAUUUGGUUCUACAUAUGUCGGGUGGUUAGGAACUCCAGCUGGAUUGCUAAGCGAUUCGAAUCGUCGUUGCUCCCCGAUUGGGAGACUCAAUUCCUUCGACCCUCAUCGUAGUUAAAUAUGUAACUAAGUGAUAAAAUGAGAAAGGGGAAAAUGUCUCAUGAGGUUCGGAUCCCAAUUCCUGGACUCAUAGCGACAUGAAGCUAUGGCCAUCGAUAACUAUUACUUUGUGAUAGGACUAGGAACUCACGGAUUCGUCUGUGAGGAACAACCAGUUAGACUGUCCUCGAACUCCUCGGCCUCUGCGAGGGAGGAAUUCGUGGGUAAAACUUGAAAAUAAGGAUGCACUACUAGUAAGCUUUUUACGCAAAACACUUUGGCUCCUUGCUCAGCCACCCCUUGUCUACCCUAAGCCUGCAUCCCUAAGUUCUCCUCUUUUCCCAUCGGGUAAGUCUUGUUGAGUACUCCCGUACUCAGGGUUUCAAUACCCCUGUUGCAGGUGAAGCUCAGGAGCCGACUUGUUUCGGACCCUGUUGUGUGACCGUCGUCGAGGUUGACGACGAAGAAGAGUGAGCGUGACCCAUGGGCAGGGUCUGUAAAUUUGUUCUAUCUGCAUUAAAGUUUCAGUUGCUCCGCUGGACCAGGCUUGUAAUAACACUCUACUAUUUGGAAGAACUCCUUUUGUAAAUUAAGUUAUGUAAUACUUCCGCUGUUUCACUCUGAAAUAUUAUUUUGGUCUUGUGUCGUUGAGUUACGGCUUUAUCUUCGCAACGAAUGAUCCUGGUGUUAAGGUGGCCACUUGCUAUCCUGUAAGGGCGAGAAGAAAUAGUUCUCGUCGUUCGACCAUUACCAGUGGUCAGGACGAGCCAGCUUGGUACGCCACAGGUAGCAGUGGAAUGAGCGCCCAGCAAUGCUCAUCGGACUUCUAAAGUGGGAGGACUCCCGGCAUCACCGUCAGAGGUCCUUAGGACAAUGGCAGGUGCCGGUGGGGCCCAAACACUUAGGAGGUUCUGCCACAGCUGGUAUCAGAGCAUUCGUUGCUAAGAUGACUGCUGUACCUAUUGAAAAAAAAAAUUUCAAAAAAAAAUUCGUUUGGAUCUACUACUAUGAACCUGCCUAUUUUGAGUCCAAGUGCUUAGUCCUAAUCUACCCCUGUCUAUAGGCUUUCUUAGAAUUUUUGAAGUGGUAUGGAGGAGCAACCUAAAGUAUUGCCCUAUGUUGUAAAAAAAAAUUUAAGGUAAUAUUGUUACGAAUUGUUAGUAGGAAUCGUAAGUUCGUGCAUGCAUCAUGAUGUAUUAACUGGUUAAGUUCCUUCCUCCUUGUUGGGUUGGGUGAAUAGAAUCAAUCCUAUUCUUGCUAACCUUUAAGGUCUCUCUUACUAAUCUAAACUUACCCUCUACAGGAUGGCUCGUCAGAAGCAGACCCUGCGUAAGCGGACCGGUCCAAAAGGAGUUCCCCGACAUCAGCUAGCUCCACGCAGUGAUCAAGCCAGUAGUAGCCGUUCACCGCCUCAGCAGGAGGUGGACAGGUUGUCCGCCGAGUUGACUGAGGUGAUGAGAGAGAGAAUGUACAAUAUUAUGGAGAUUGGCAAACUUAAAGUUCAACUGGCCAAAGAAAAACAAGCUACAGAAAACUGUGAAGCUAUGUUGUCCCGGAUGGUGGAGGAGCGGAAUGCAGCCAUUGCCCGAGAGGAAGAAGCUAGGAGCACCCAUAGGCAUGAGCUAACUAGGAUGAACGCAAAGUUGGGCAAGACAAGGUAUCUUAAGGAUUUGUAUGUGAAGAUGGCGGCCACGGUCACCGCACAACGGGAUGUCGCGUGGCAACGAGAGGACCAGCUCCAGCUGGAGAAACUGGAGCUGGCACAUCACUUAGAUACAGUCAAUGACCUGGCUAUGCAAUAUCGUGAUAUUGCAUUUGAUCUGUAUCGUCAACUCCACCCACCUCCCGGCGAAGGAGAAAUGGAUACGGAUGGCGAGCUGGCAGACGAUGGAGAACCCGAUCCAGGCCUCAGUGAUGAAGAGGAGUCCGACCCCGAUGAUCACAACCCAGGGGGUAAUCAAGAUGAUGGCAAUGACGACCCGGGCUACAGCUCUUGCCACACCGAUUAGUUCGGUGAAACCGAGGGCAACGUCGUUGUAGGGGUCUUAGCUUGCCGUAGUGGGGUUCGGGUUUGUAACAUAAGUUCUCUUUUGGUUUGAAAAGUUGUACUUGUUUACUCUUGGUGUGUCGAACUAAUGUUUAAUAAGUGAAUGAAAGAAUGUAAGAUAUGUUCUGUGUUAUGAAUUUUACGUGGUAACAGGUAUCUACGAUUCUUGUAACAGAUGCCGAUGCGUACUCGCGGAUCUGAUGGAGCUGGGACAUCCCAGGGAGGGGAUGAUAUCCCCAACCCUCCACCUGCUCCGCCUUCUUUGGCUGACGCCAUUGCUGUUUUGUUAAGUGCCACUACUGACAAUGCUCGCUUGCUGCGCGAGCUAGCACAGCGUCAACCACACCCUGCUCCAAACUUCAGGGCACCGCGCAACGGGGACGGAGAGACUCGGUAUGUGGACUUUACCGAAACCAGGCCCCCGGUGUUCACUAAGGCCGAUGAGCCUUUAGAAGCGGAUGACUGGCUCCGAACCAUGGAGCAUAAGUUCAGUUUGAUUCAGUGUUCAGAAACUCAGAAACCCUUAUUUGCAGCUCAGCAGCUUCGGGGAGCUGCAGGUGCCUGGUGGGAGAACUUCUUAGCUAUUCAAGCUCCCGGACACCAAGUCACUUGGACCGAAUUUAAGGACGCGUUCCGCGCCCACUACAUCCCCGAAGGGCUCAUGGCCAUGAAGGCCGAAGAGUUUCUCGCCUUGCAGCAAGGCGAUAAAAGUGUUAUGGAGUACGUGGCAAGGUUUAAUCAUCUCUCUCAAUAUGCCACGGAUCAUGUGAACACUGACAGAAAGAGGAAAGCCUGUUUCAUGCGUGGUCUAAAUACUAAACUUCAGACCAUGAUGACCACUUGCCAAAAUGCUACUUUCUAUGAGGCGGUAAAUAUUGCUAUCGCCUCAGAGGAAAAGAAUAGGAAACAUAAGGAAGCCAAGAAGAAGGCUGCUUCCUCUUCUUUCUCUGGUCGCGGUCAAAAGCGCCAGAGGAUCAUUUAUCAUCCACAGGGCCACGGACGUUUCCAAGCGCCGUCACCUUAUCGUGGUCCUUUCUCCCCUCCACAGUACAGACCCGGGCAGCAGGUAUAUUCUCGACCUACUGCCAUCGCUUUUGCACCACGCCAGCCGAACGCCCCGGGUGUUCGCCCUACUGCUCCGCCCAGCCACAAUUACCCUUGCUUCAAUUGUGGUAAACCUGGGCAUUUCUCUAAAGAGUGCCCUUUUCCCCGCCAAACCAACCCUACCUUUCCAAGGCCACCUAUGGGCCAACCCAGCCGGGUCAGUUCAGAACUGGGGUUCAAAAAGGGCAACAGGUACAGAAAGGUAGACCGGUAAAGAAGACAGGGCAAGUCUUCCAUACUGAAGUGGAGACAAUUCCAGAGGGUGAACCAGUGAUGAUGGGUACGUUUCCUGUUGCGAAGCAUCCUGCUUUAAUGCUCUUUGAUUCUGGUGCAUCCCAUACAUUCAUCAAUCGCACCUUUGUGUUAAAGCAUGGCAUACCCAUUGGGGAAACACAAGAUCAUUUUUAUAUACAGUCGCCAGGAGGACGGCUGAUGUCUAAAGAAAUGGUUCACCAAGUACCCAUCGAAUUUGGUGGGCACAAUUUUCCUACUAGCAUGAUUGUUCUUAAGGACCAAGAAAUUGAUGUCAUCUUAGGCAUGAACUGGAUGGCGCAACGAGGGGUUGUGCUAGACACUUUGCAUCGAACCAUUAAAAUCCCAUUGCCCAAUGAGAAUUCUUAUUUGCUAAUCCAAUUAGUUACUCCCAAACGGACAAUUGGGCAAGUUCAUGCCGCAAAUGUGUCUGAAGUCAAAGAUAUUCCGGUAGUUCGAGAUUUUCCGGAUGUAUUUCCUGAAGACUUACCAGGUCUGCCUCCGGACCGGGAUGUACAAUUCAGUAUAGAAUUGAAACCAGGAACGGCCCCAAUAUCUCGAAGGGCCUACAGAAUGGCACCGAAAGAGCUGGCCGAAUUAAAAACCCAAUUACAAGAGUUGUUGCAGAAGGGUUUUAUUCAGCCCAGUUCUUCUCCAUGGGGUUGCCCAGCCUUGUUUGUGAAAAAGAAAGAUCAGACAUUAAGGCUGUGUGUCGACUAUCGUCCUCUAAAUGAGGUAACGAUUAAGAACAAGUACCCAUUGCCCCGCAUUGACUUAUUGUUUGACCAGCUAGCUGGGGCCAAAGUGUUCUCAAAAAUUGAUUUGAGAUCAGGGUACCACCAAAUUAAAAUUAGGCCGGAAGAUGUGCCCAAGACCGCUUUCACAACCCGUUACGGGCUGUAUGAAUACUUGGUGAUGUCUUUUGGGUUGACUAACGCACCGGCCCAUUUCAUGUACCUGAUGAACUCUGUCUUCAUGCCAGAACUAGAUAAAUUUGUUGUUGUCUUUAUUGACGACAUUUUGAUUUACUCCAAGACUAAGAGAGAACAUGCUGAACACUUGAGAGUCGUGCUGACCCGUCUCAGGGAGCAUCAGCUAUAUGCCAAGUUCAGCAAAUGUGAGUUCUUGCUGGACAAAGUUCAUUUCCUGGGUCAUGUAUUAUCAGCGGAAGGAGUCGCUGUAGACCCAGGCAAGGUAGAAGAUGUGUUGAAUUGGAAACCCCCGACUACGGUACAUGAGGUCCGUAGUUUUCUGGGCAUGGCGGGAUAUUACCGUCGUUUCAUCCCGGACUUCUCCAGAGUCGCCAAACCAAUCACAACCUUGCUCAAAAGUCAAACAAAAUUUGUUUGGUCACCCCAAUGUGAGCAAGCCUUUCAGACUCUGAAAAGGUUGUUGACAACUGCACCUGUCUUAGCCCAGCCAGAUAUUGAAAAACCCUUUGAUGUAUAUUGUGACGCAUCAGGGAUCGGGUUAGGCUGUGUGCUGAUGCAGGAGGGUCGCGUAAUUGCAUUUGCUUCCAGACAACUCAAACCCCAUGAAGAGAAUUACCCGACCCAUGAUCUUGAACUAGCCGCCGUGGUACAUGCAUUAAAGAUCUGGCGUCAUUAUUUGUUGGGGAACACAUGUCAUUUAUAUACAGAUCACAAAAGCUUGAAGUAUAUCUUUACUCAAGCUGAGCUUAAUAUGCGCCAGCGAAGGUGGCUAGAACUAAUUAAAGAUUACGACCUUGAGGUGCAUUAUCACCCUGGCAAGGCAAAUGUAGUAGCGGAUGCCCUCAGUCAUAAGGCUCACUGUAAUUGCUUAACAGUGACGCCUAGGGAUAUAACUUUGUGCCAAGAGCUAGAGAACUUGGGAAUAGAAAUGAUUUCCCAAGGAAGCCUUUCCAAUCUAAAGAUCGAUUUCAAUCUCGAGGCUCAAAUCAUAAAGGCACAAAAAGAAAACAAAGGCAUGAGACAUCUUAAAGAGAAGAUUUCUAAUAGAGCACCCACAGACUUUAAGGUGGAUGAUGCGGGAGUAAUCUGGUUCAAGAACCGGUUAGUAGUUCCAAAGGUACCUGAGCUACGUCAGCAAAUCCUGGAUGAAGCUCAUACCACGAGGUAUUCCAUUCAUCCGGGAAGCAAUAAGAUGUAUCAGGACCUGAAGCAAAGGUUUUGGUGGACAAAAAUGAAGAUAGAAAUAGCUCGCUAUGUGGCCCAAUGUGACACCUGUCGAAAGGUCAAAGCCAUUCAUCUCAAAUCCGCUGGGGAGUUGCAACCUUUGCCUAUCCCCGCAUGGAAAUGGGAUGACAUAAGUAUGGAUUUCAUAGUAGGAUUGCCCAAGACGGCCAAGGGCUUUGAUUCCAUUUGGGUCAUAGUAGAUCGUCUCACCAAAACAGCACAUUUUCUGCCGGUAAAGCUAUUGUAUCCUGCCUCCACCUAUGCUAAGAUUUAUUUCGACCGUAUCCUAAGUCUGCAUGGGGUGCCAAAGACAAUAGUGUCAGAUAGAGGCACACAAUUUGUCUCCCAGUUCUGGAAAUGUUUACAUGAGUCCCUGGGCACUAAGCUUUUAUACAGCACAACCUACCACCCUCAAACUGGUGGGCAAACUGAAAGGGUGAAUCAAACCCUAGAAGAUCUAUUAAGAUCUUGUGCCCUGAAUUUUCCAGAUAAGUGGGAUGACUGCUUGCCUCUAGCAGAAUUUUUCCUACAAUAAUAGCUAUCAAGAGAGUAUCAAAAUGGCUCCCUUUGAGGCACUGUAUGGUCGCCGAUGUCGAACUCCGUUACACUGGUCGGAACCUGGAGAAAGAUGGUUCUUCGGAGUUGACUUAGUGAAAGAGACUGAGAACAAAGUGAAACAAAUCCAAAAUAACUUGAAAGUUGCUCAGUCCCGACAGAAAAGUUACGCUGAUAAAAGACGUCGACCAUUAAAGUUCGCCAAAGGUGAUCAUGUGUAUUUGAAAGUAUCCCCAAUGAAAGGAGUAAAUCGUUUUGGUGUUAAAGGCAAGUUAGCGCCUCGUUACAUUGGUCCAUUUCCAAUUAUUGACCGAUGUGGACAGGUCGCUUACCGCCUUAAACUGCCCGAACGAUUAUCCGGGGUGCAUAAUGUGUUCCAUGUGUCUCAACUAAAAAAAUGUCUUCGGGUACCAGACCGAGUUCAAGAUAUUGAAGAUGUAAAGCUUGAACCAGAUCUAACUUAUUCGGAAUACCCUAUCCGAGUACUGGAUCAAAAAGAUAGAGUUACUCGAAGGACAACCACCAAAUGGUAUAAGGUACAAUGGAGCCAGCACUCUGAAGAAGAAGCCACCUGGGAAUCUGAAGAUUACUUGCUAGAGAAUUUUCCUGAAUUCCAUGCUUCCCUUCAGGACAACAUAUGAUAACCAGAGAGUGUACUCUAGUGAAGGAAAAGAGUCGCCAAAGCCAUGUACUUAAUGUACAUAUAUGCUUAUAAUAAAGUAUUUUCCCCAACUCCUUGCCUUAUGGAAAAGUUGAAGAUGAAAGAGUUUUGACAAAUUUCCUUUUCCAUUACUUACCCUAAGGUUUUAAAUCUCGGGGACGAGAUUUUUUUUAAGGGGGAAGGGCUGUAACAUCCCUGAUGUUACGGUUACUAAAAAUGGAUCAUGUCAUCAUGAGCAUUGCAAAUCAUAUUUGUUAAAGCACAUUAGUAUGCAUCAACUUAAAACAAGUUUAUUUUUAUUGCUUGAGCUUAGGGAGGUAGAGUGUGUUUAUGUGGGAUGUUGAUGCUUGUGUGGUUGCUAAAAACCCUAGGGUGGAAAUUUUCCGAAAAGCUAAGGGGGGGAAAACCCUGAUUUCUGGAUCCUAGAUUUGUCCCCUUUUUGCAUAAGUCAAAAACUAAGCAAAAUUUGAGGUUGAGUUCAAAAGAAAAGUUGUAGCUCUUGGCAAGAUGUACAACUUUGGUGUUUUGAGUUUUUGAAGUUUCAAUACAAAAUUCAAAGUAAUUUUGAAAACACAGAUUUCCAGAAAGUGUCCCCUUUUCCAACUUAAACCCCCAAUUCAAAAUCCAUUUGGAAUUUUGAAAAGUGCUCAACAUGAAAGUUGUAGAGCACAAAAAAUGGAGCAACUUUCAUGUUGGGAGUUUUUCAAGUUGUUAUACCAAAUUAAAAGUAAUUCUGGAAAUCAUGAUUUGCCCCAAUUCAAAAAUUUGAAUUUCUUUUGAAUUGAGUUUGAUUUUCAAACUGUUUGGAAAAAUUUCCCUUUUUCCAUUGAGAAUCAGCUUGGGACACCUAAAUAUGAUUUGUAGCUUACAAAAUUUGGCACAACUUUUGUUUUGGUGAAAAUUUGACUUUAGUUCAAAUUUUGGUCGGAUUUCGCAAAAAGACAGACUGUAUGGAUGUGGCCUGCUACAGUGUUUGGCAGGGGGGGGGUGCUCUGCCGCCGCGGCAGAGCCGCCUCCGCGCGCGACGCCACGCAGCUGCUUGCUGCUGUGCUUCGCGCGGACGGCCUCAUCCACAUCCCCUGUUCCGCCGCUUGGAUAAAGCCUCGGACGGCCGGAGUGCUUCUUUUUCUUCCUUUGAACCUCACCGCCGACCACCACCAUCCGCCGCCAAAAUUCGUCCUCUCCGUUGCCUUUCCACGCGAUUUGAGCACCCCAGCGACUCCGCCUUGAGCUCCGCCACCGGUUGCGCCCCCAAGCGCAAGCACUAACCCACCAGAGCCCUUUCCCGAGCCGCUCUUCUCCAGCUCCGGCCAAAGCGCCGCCGCAAGCAUCCCACCGUGGCCAGCAUCGCUCAAAGCCUCUCCGCGGCUGUUUGUUGCUCGGUUGAAGUCGUGGUGAGCCUCUGUCGCUUUUGCGCUACUCUCUUCGCGCUGUACUCAAGCGUAGUGGCCGGUGUUUGCCCGGCCGAGGCGGCCGUCCGCCGUGUCCGUGGUCGCGGGGGUUAGGGGAGGAGAAAGGGGGUGAGAAGGGUAUCCAGAGGUGCGCCUUGGAAUGGAGAACGCGACCAGCAGGUCACGAGAAGCAGAGGAGGCACGGAUGGCUCGGUCGCGCCAUCGAUUCGGCCGGCCGGAGGUUGAAGACGGAGCUGACAGCGAGGGCCCGCUGUCAGCGACGUCCUGAGGGGAGGCGAGGGCGCGAGCGCGCGCAGCGCGGGUGCGGGCCGAGCGCGUGUGGGCCGGCCUGCGGCCCAGUUUCCAGGCCGCCCGCUGCGCUGUUUUUUUUUCUUUUUCCUUUUUGAUUAAAAUUGCUUGAUGUUUGAAUUUAUGUUAUAAAUUUUGUAGUGAUCCAAAAAUGAUGAAAAAUUUUGUAUAAAUUCCCUGAAAUAGUUAGAACCCAAGAAAAAUAUUAGGCUCUGUUUUCUGAUAAUUUGCCAGGAUAUGAAAAUUGGCUCUUUUAAUUACCAAAUAAAGCUUUGAUGAAUUUUAAUAAUUUAUUAGUAUGUCCAAAAAUCACCAAAAAUUGUGGGGAGCCUCUGAAUAUUAUUCCCUGGCUCCACCCAAAAUUUGGUGGCAUUUGGAUAAUGUUUGUUUAAAAUAUUAAUAAACCCUUAUUUAACACUUAAAUAAUAAUUCCAAAAUAAUUAAAUAGUGAUUAUUUAGAUCCUCAUAAUUAGGGUUGAGUGAUUUUGGAUUGUGUGAUGACCUGAGGUCAUUAACCCUAAUGACCUUUGGCAUUUAAUUGUUGUUUAGCCCUAAUGCUUAAUUACUGUCAUUAGUAAUUAAUUAAGAGUUAAUUAAGGUAAUUAGGAUUAAUAAUUAACUAAUUUAAGAUAAGUAUGAAUUAAAUAAAGUCUUAGUUUACAGAUGCAACCUCUUGGGUAAAACCAUUAAGUUAUUAAGCAACUUUAUUUAGCGAUAAUUCUGUAUUGCAUCAAGAAGGCGAGUUGUACUCGAUUUGGUCCUUCUUGCAUAUUUGUCAUACGCAUAUCAUGAGCAUUCAUCAUUUUGCGUAUAGUGUCCGUGACCGAAGGAGCGCCCGUUGAACCGAACCCCGAGGUCGGUGCUCCGUUCGAGGAAGUCGGAUCUGAGACUUGGGAAGUCUCCGAGGGUCCCUCUCUGCCCUGCAACCAAGGCAAGCCCCGGAUGCAUUAACCCCUCCUUGGAUGUUUUAAAUCUUUUGUCACUUAUGAAUUGAAAAUGCUGCAUUAGAUAGUUGAGAAUUGGGUUAACCUACUUGCUGCAUUUACUACCUUGAUAUCUAUAUCCUGUCCUUGACACCUGUUUUAUUUUAAAACUGCGUAGCGAUGCUUAGCCCUGCUACUAGAUAGGUUUUUAAACAAGAAAGUUUGAAGGGUUGUUGUGGGAUACACUUACGAUCAAUGAUGUUUCAAUUUGAGACCGGUCGGUGGACUUGCUCUAAGAAUGGAGUCUUAAAGUAGUGUCUCCGACUGUGUUGAUUAAGGACCGUUCCGUUGAUGGCCUGCUGGGUUGAGAAUUUAUAGUACUAGCCACUUGCCUUCGGUAAGCCCAGUCUUGUGAUCCCUCGACGCGAACAGCUACUCGCGCACUGGGAGUGGAAAGAUGGCGAGAGUAGUGUGUACCCACCUUACGGAUCUGAGAUGACCGGAAAACAUCUAGAUCGGCUGUAGGAUGGUGGAGUACUGUGCUCUCGGGUGCCGCGAACCUGGUCAAAUUUGGGGAGAGCUUGAUUUGGGUUGAUAUAUGCAAGAUUUGGUUCUACAUAUGUCGGGUGGUUAGGAACUCCAGCUGGAUUGCUAAGCGAUUCGAAUCGUCGUUGCUCCCCGAUUGGGAGACUCAAUUCCUUCGACCCUCAUCGUAGUUAAAUAUGUAACUAAGUGAUAAAAUGAGAAAGGGGAAAAUGUCUCAUGAGGUUCGGAUCCCAAUUCCCGGACUCAUAGCGACAUGAAGCUAUGGCCAUCGAUAACUAUUACUUUGUGAUAGGACUAGGAACUCACGGAUUCGUCUGUGAGGAACAACCAGUUAGACUGUCCUCGAACUCCUCGGCCUCUGCGAGGGAGGAAUUCGUGGGUAAAACUUGAAAAUAAGGAUGCACUACUAGUAAGCUUUUUACGCAAAACACUUUGGCUCCUUGCUCAGCCACCCCUUGUCUACCCUAAGCCUGCAUCCCUAAGUUCUCCUCUUUUCCCAUCGGGUAAGUCUUGUUGAGUACUCCCGUACUCAGGGUUUCAAUACCCCUGUUGCAGGUGAAGCUCAGGAGCCGACUUGUUUCGGACCCUGUUGUGUGACCGUCGUCGAGGUUGACGAAGAAGAAGAGUGAGCGUGACCCAUGGGCAGGGUCUGUAAAUUUGUUCUAUCUGCAUUAAAGUUUCAGUUGCUCCGCUGGACCAGGCUUGUAAUAACACUCUACUAUUUGGAAGAACUCCUUUUGUAAAUUAAGUUAUGUAAUACUUCCGCUGUUUCACUCUGAAAUAUUAUUUUGGUCUUGUGUCGUUGAGUUACGGCUUUAUCUUCGCAACGAAUGAUCCUGGUGUUAAGGUGGCCACUUGCUAUCCUGUAAGGGCGAGAAGAAACAGUUCUCGUCGUUCGACCAUUACCAGUGGUCAGGACGAGCCAGCUUGGUACGCCACAGGUAGCAGUGGAAUGAGCGCCCAGCAAUGCUCAUCGGACUUCUAAAGUGGGAGGACUCCCGGCAUCACCGUCAGAGGUCCUUAGGACAAUGGCAGGUGCCGGUGGGGCCCAAACACUUAGGAGGUUCUGCCACAGCGAGCGACGCCGCGGCGUUGUCUAAUCCGAAUGGCAGUGCCCUUCUUGGAGUGAACAACCCGUGUGGAAGUAGCUUAGCAGCGGUGGGGGAGGGCGCGCGAGACACGUCCCCUCCCGUCGUCGUGCGGUGCUGAGCCGUCGUGCCCGCGGUUCCGGCGCAUGGUGCUGCCGGCUCGUGGCCCACCUCCUGCCUCGCACGAGUUGUCGGUCGUGAUGAAGCAGAGGGGCGGCGGUGGUUCUGUCCGCGCCUCUUCUUAGGCGGGGAGGCGUGGUGGCGAGGGCGUCUCGGGGCCCUCAACCGUGCUGGUGUAACACGAGCUCCUCCUGGUCCUUUGACUGAGAGCAAGAUCAUGUCGUAGCUGGAGCCCGUAGACAUGAACUCGAGACUCCCAAACCAAAUCACCGUGGAGCGCGGAAUCGGCGAGGCGAGAGCAGCCAUCUGGAAAGGAGUGGGAAAUCGAUGAAAAACACGCAGGCCCCUACCUGGCGCGCCAACUGUCGGUGUUUUCCCCCCGGGGGUCACACCAACGAGUAAAUUUGUAUGCGUGCUCCCUUUUCCAGAUGGUGAUUCAAGAAGACACUGAGAUUUAUCCUGGUUCGGGCAAGAGAAGGCCCUACAUCCAGCGGGGGAGGGAAGUUUGUAUUAUCUUGCACCGAAGUGCUUGUACAGGGGCGAAUAAAAGCGUGGUAUGAAGUGUAUAAGUUCUACUACUUAUGAGCGUGGUGUUGUCUCUCUCCUAUCUAUUCCCGGGUUCUCCCUUUUAUAGCACCAAGGUGAGACCCAGGGUACAUGUAAAGGUGUCAGAGUAGGGGUCGAUAGGAGCAUGGCGCGCUGACCUACUCGAGGCUUCCGUACCGGCGUGGCCUCGAGCUGUCCCAUCUCGGUAGCCAAGUGAUGAUUGCGCGUGCCCCUGUAUCCCGCUCCGCGCACCGUCUUGGGCUGGUUCACCUGUUGCACGCCUGUACGGUAUGGCGGCAAACCCGUCGGAGCGGUGGCAGUGUUGUCAGUCGACGCCCAGCUCAUCCCCAGGAAGUAGCUACAUCUGGUCGAGGGUCGAACGCCAUGUAAUGCCCUGAUGUCCGGAGCGCUGACCUUGGUUGUCUCGAGGGGGGUUCCGAUUAGACGUUCCAUCCUUGUUUCCCGCGUCCUGACACGCUCUGGGUCGUUUGGUGGGGAAGGCUGCAAAAAGAACGAUGGGACAGGUGCCUGUUUCCUAUCACGCCUCCCGUGACCAGUGUGUUAGGUGGGAAUACGGCGGGCGCAUUAAAUGUCCUGGCUCUCGUGCGCGCGUCAGGCGGCGGACAGUGUCCUUGCGCUCGACGUGUCUCGAUUCGCUCGGGCCCAUUUUCGUAUUCAACGAUAGCUGGCGCUCGACCCUUGAUCGAUUCGCUCGACGCCAUUUCCGUCUUCGAGGCUGCGGUCGUUGACUGCUACACAUAUGUAUGAUCAGAGCGUCGAGUUGAGGGCCUCGACCUACGUACGGAUAAUCUCGUUAUGUGCAUCGGUGAGGGUACCCCUUAUUGAUACCCUCGACAGAUCAGCUCUCAUUCAAGAAUUUGAAGGGAGAGAGCAUGUGAUUUACUACCUAAGCAGAAGAUUGGUAGAUGCCGAAACAAGGUAUUCGGCUAUUGAAAAAUUAUGCUUAUACUUAUAUUUUCUUGUGUCCAAUUGAGGCAUUACUUGCUAUCAGCCGAAUGCACCGUUGUGUGCAAAGAUGAUGUAGUCUGGUACAUGUUAUCAAUGCCGAUUAUGAGUGGUAGAAUCGGCAAAUGGAUAUUAGCAUUGUCGGAAUUUGACUUACAUUAUGAAUCGACUAAAACAGUUAAAGGGCAGAUCAUGGUCGAUUUUGUAACUCAACACUGUGGUGUGGUGGAUACUUUGGAAAUUGUUCCUUGAACGCUCUUCUUUGAUGGAUCUAUAUGUGAUCAGGGGGCAGGUAUCGAUAUAGUGCUAAUUUCUCCUCAAGGAAAGAAGUAUGAGUUUUCUUUGCCAAUUGUUGCCACGUCGACAAAUAAUCAAGCUGAGUACCAAGCUUUGAUCAAAGGAUUAGAGUUAUUAAAGGAAGUUCAUGCCGAUGCUGUUGAAAUUUUUGGUGAUUCUAUGCUUGUUAUAAACUAGUUGGCUGGGAGUUAUGAAUGCCGAAGUGAGGUUUUAAUAGCAUAUUAUGAGAAAUGUGUACAAUUGUUGAGGGAAUUUAGGGAUUUCCGAUUAGAGCACAUUCCUCGGUUACAUAAUGAAGAAGCUAACCGGUUGGCUCCACAUGCUUCGGGGUAUCAGCCUAUCCUAGAAGUAUUAUCGACAGUCAAUGCCGAUGAUUGGAGAAAGGAAAUUAUUGAUUAUUUAAAGGAUCCAUCCAGGAAGUCGAGAGGCGUGUUAGGUUUCAAGCUAUAAAGUAUGUACUCCUUGAAGAAGAAUUGUAUUAUCGAAUGAUAGAUGGAGUUUUGCUCAAAUGUUUAGGUAAAGAUGAAUCCAAGAGCUUGAUGGGCGAAAUUCAUGAAGGACUAUGUGGAGCACAUCAAUCGGCUUUCAAGAUGAAGUGGAUGAUUAGGAGAAAUGGAUAUUAUUGGCUGACUAUACUUGAGGAUUGUUUCAAGUAUUUCAAAGGGUGUCAAGGGUGCUAGAAGUUUGGGAAUAUUCAGAGGGCGCCUGCAUCGGCUAUGAAUCCUAUUAUUAAACCUUGGCCGUUUCGGGGUUGGGCUAUUGAUCUCAUCGGUCAGAUCUAUCCACCAUCAAGCAAAGGACAUAAGUUCAUCCUAGUUGCCACUGAUUAUUUCACCAAGUGGGUUGAGGCUAUUCCUUUGAAGAAAGUAACAUCAGCCAAUAUGAUUGAAUUUGUGAAGGAGCAUAUCGUUUACCGAUUUGGCAUUCCCCAAACGAUCACUACCCAUCAGGGUACCAUGUUUACCUCAGGAAAGUUUGAUGAAUUUGCAAUCGGUAUGUGGAUUAAAGUGUUAAAUUCUUCUCCUUACUAUGCUCAAGCUAAUGGGCAGGCCGAAGCUUCUAACAAAGGAAUUAUUAAGCUAAUUAAACAGAAGAUGGAAGAAAAUCCUAGGAAAUGGCACACAUUGUUAAAUGAAGCCUUAUGGUCAUAUCAGAUGGCAUGUCAUGGUUCAACCAAAGUAUCGCCUUAUCAAUUGGUGUAUGGACAUGAUGUAGUAUUACCAUGGGAAAUUAAAAUAGGUUCCAGACGGAUGUUUUCUCAAGAUCAACUAACUGCCGAUGACUAUGCUACUUUGAUGAAAGAUGAGUUGGAUGAUUUAGUAGGGCAUCAGUUGAAAGCAUUAAUCAGCAUAGAGCAAAAUAAGAAGAGAGUUGCUAAGUGGUAUGACAAAAAGGUAAAGCCAAAGAGUUUGCCGAUGGAGAUUUGGUGUGGAAACUGAUUCUACCGAUUGGGACUAAAAGCUCAAAAUUUGGAAAAUGGUCCCCUAAUUGGGAGGGUCCUUAUCGGAUAAAUCAAUCUGCUCCCGGCAAUGCUUAUAUUUUAGAAACUCUCGAAGGAGUUGAAUUUCCUAGGGCAUUAAAUGCAAAAUAUUUGAAGAAAUACUGCCCGAGUAUCUGGAUUGAUGCAUAAAUGCCGAUAACAGUCCUAUCGGCUAGACAAAAUGUUAAGUGUAUCUAGAGCCAUGCAUGAAGUUUAAACGCCGAUAACAAUCCUAUCGGCUGGACCAAAAUGAUUGAAGUUUUUGAAAAUAGAAUUAAACAAGUUGCCGAUGAAAAGUUCACAGAUUCAGCAAAGCCUGGAUGGCCGAUAUCGCGCACAGACAGAUCUGGUUGGCCUCUUCUAUUCCCCGAGUAUCUUGAUCGGCAGAACCUUCGACUGGUUUCAGCUUCUUUUCAUCUGUAGCGCUUUGCGGGCUUGGACAUCCCUCUUUUGCUGAAGAGUCUUGAGCGCAUCGGGCAGUUGGCUUUCUUCUUGCUAAGCUUGAGUUAGGGCCUCUUCUACUUGCUUAAGUUCAGCUAAUAGGGCUUCUCUUCUUGCCGAUAGAUUGGAAAUCUUUUGUUUCAGCUCACCUCCUGAGGACUACAGAACACCGAUGCUCUUGUGUUUCUCAUCGGCAGCAUGCUUUACUUGCAGCAUCUCCUCUUUGAGCUAGGCAUAAGCAGCUCUAUCGACAAGAUGCUGGGUGACCUUCUGAUAUUAGAGUUGACGACUUUCUAAGUGGGCAACAUGGAAAAGGAUUUCUUCUACAUCGGCUGGAAUUUUGCCACGGAGGGUCUUGAAUAUAACUUUGGCCGGAUCAGAGUCGUCCACUAGCUGGGCCGUGUCUUGGUGCAAUAGGGCUAGUAGAUCUUCCAACUUAGCCUUGAUCUCUGCCCAUGUAAUUCCAAUUGCCUGAGAGGAGCUUGCUUCUUUGCCUUCAUCAUCAGAGAUGUCGAUAGCAAAGGAGAAUAGGCUAUUUGGGGAAUCCUGCUCCUAGAAACAGAAAAAGAUGAGUUACUCAAAAUUAAGUGUUGAUAAUGCAAAGUCUUGAAUAUUGAGUAACUUACUUGUUUCAGGGCGAUUUCCUAUCUGUGAUGUGGAGAUGCAGUUGGUACUAUAGUUUGAUCGGCUAGAGAUGCCGAUGGAAUGACUUCAACUAAAAAUUUCCAGGGGUGAUUAUAGCUUAUAAAUAAAGUCAUCAGUAAUAAUUUUGCGAUCGGUGCUUUACCUUGAGAAUGUACAGUGAUGGUCUGCUCUGGAGGGACGACCGAUGAUGUGCCCAGGCCAACCGGAUCGGUGAUCUGUUCAGAAACAUCGGCUGGUAUUUCUUACAUCUGGGGCUCCGAUGGAGGAGGAGAAGAUGUUACUGGGAUCGAGGAAACUGGACGAAGUGGAGAAGAUGGUGCGGUCCUCUGCCGCUUUGGCUGGGUCUUGGUGCUCUUUGGCCUUUUCUCUUAGGUGGAGCUUGACUGAGCUAGGGGGCAUCGGCACCUGAUGUUUGAGUCUUCUUGGUCUUUGCCGAUGCACCAGUCUGCUGCUAUUAUGAACAUCAAAAUUUCAUAAGUUAGAUAUAAGAAAGAGAUAUUAAUGGAAUUUGUUAAGGAAUAAAAGUUUAAAGAGGAGUUACCGAUGACGUUCCUAUCGCAGCCGAUAUACCCUGAAAAGAAAAUAUAAGUAGGAGAUGAAAUUUUUGUAAAUAAAGAGAGUCAAAAAAAUUUACCUUGAAAGCCUGUGCCAAAGUGGCAGCAGCUACCGAUGGAGAUACUUUCGAUCGCUUAGUCGUCUUUUUGAAGCGAAUGUUGUGGUGCAUCAGAGCUGAUAGACUCAGCGCAUUGUGGCCGAUCAAAGAAAUUGGGCCUGACUGGAGAAGUUCAAUUGGCCUCCCACUCCUGCUAAUUGUCGGCGCUGGGUCAUUGACCUGUUGAAAUAAGAAUAAGUAAGUUGCUGAUAAAGUUAAAAUUGACAGAGGAACCGAGGUAUCGGCAGGAGACUUACAAUGUCAUCGGGGACUCCAUAGUCGGAGUCAAUCAUGCCGCGAUACGUCUAAGCUGAUACCCUGAAUAGAUGCUCCUUCCAUUCUUCCCAAAAUGUUUAUACAGCUGAGUAAUGAAGAGAGCUGGGACCCAGGCCGAUAGAUCAAUGUCUAUGAUAUUGGCAUCUGGUUGGAGUUAAGCGAUCCUAAUCCACUCAAGUCUGCUGUUUAUUGUCUCUCUUGGUUUUACUAAGUUGGCAUAACAGAGUUUGAUCGGCAGUUGACCAAUGGCCAGUUGGCGAGCCAAUGCCGAUGGGUUGUAAAACUCAUAAGUGGUGUUGAUGUUCUUCGCGCUGCCAAAUCUGUUCACUGGGAUUGCUCUCGGAGUGAUGAAUGCCAUCAUCAGAUCAUUAUCCUUGAUGAGAGCAUUGUCAAAACGGUGGAAAGUGAGUAGAAACCUAGUUUCUAGGUCUUCAUAAGGCAUCCAUGCUCGCUGAUCUUUGGAGAGGCCAUCAUACAGAGUUUGAAAGAAUCGGCCGACCUUGUUUUCAUUGCAACUAGUACCAGGGAGAACUAUGACAGCUUCACCAUAGUUAAGGCGUAAGCGAGUUGCCAAUUCAUCGUCUACUAGUUCAUAGUCUUCGACAAUAUCUCGAGGGAAUCGUUGUGUAAAAAAGUCAAACCGAAGGCGCUUGUGCAUAUGAACAUUGAGCCACAUGUUGAUGAACCACCAAGGGCCUCCCAGAUUGUCGAUGGGUUCACCUAGCAGGAGUUUCUCAGUCACUUGAUGAAGGAGAUGAUAGACGGAGCCUAGCAGGUAUCGACCAAGGGAGAAUCGGCCACCAUCGGCUAAUCUUUCUGCUGCCGAUAAGUAGACAGAGGUUGGUCCUAGCAAUCGGCCACAGAUGAUGAAUUUGUCUAGCCACAUGUUCAGAAAAGUGGCAUGUUCCCUCGGACCGACCGAUCCCUUUUUUGGUAUUUCUGGAUAUACCCUGACCAGCCGCCAAUGUUGUGGGUUUCUACUUUGCGUUCGGCUUUACGGCCGAACAACUGGCCAUCAUCGGCAGUUGCAAUAUCUAACCCAGUGAGCAUGAGGACAUCGACAAGAGUGGGGGAAGCUGGGCCAUGGCAAAAAAAUGAAGGCAUUGAAAUUAUCUGACCAAAAAUAUGAGGCAGCUAUCAGCAAUGACUCAUUUCUAUCCAUAUCGGCAAUGGACAAUCUGAUGCACUGAUCUAUCUUGUGCUCACCCCAGUAUACUUCAUUUGUUUUGCUAACCCUCAAAAACCAAUCCUUCCAUCCUUUAGUGGGGUUUGGCUAGGAUCGGAAGGUAUCCUUCCAUAGAUCUAAAGAGAAGUUUUUGGCCCUAAAAGGGAUCCUAUUGGUCUCUGCAUUAAUCAAAUCGGUAGGAUCUGGGUCACCUAGUGGACCGAGGCAUUGGAGGUGAGGUUGUUCGGUAGGAAUAACAAUUUUCUCGCUCAACUCCUAAAAUUCGAAGAUUGAAAGAACAGAGGGAGAAAGAAGAAGGAGAGAAAGCAAAGUAAGUAAAUUUGCAGAAGGGUAAAGGAUUGCAGUAAAAGGUGGGGGUGGAUUAACCUCGGGCACGAUGAAGUUGACGGCCAUUUCUUUCUGAAUAAGGAGAAGGAGCUGAAGACUUGGAGGUUCUUGGGGAAGUUCUUGUUGCACAAGUUCUUCAGUUCUUCAAUAAUGCCGCCGCCAGAGAGAUGAGUUUGGGGAAUGAAGGAUGGUGAGGUAGAGAAGGAGUGCUGAGGAAGGAGGUAUUUAUAGUAUAAAGUGGACAAGGGUAUUUUUGACUUAUCUCCUUGCCGUAUCUGUGAAAUUCGAGGGUGUUCAGGUGGAUAUGGUAACUGUUCGCACGAUGAUCAAGGGAUUAUACAGGUGAUUUGAAAACAAGUAAUCAUGAUGUUAGGAGAUAUUUCACUGUGUAGGAUCUCUUGGUCGGCUCAUCGGCAGUCAACUAUAACUGAAUAGUUGCCGAUGAGCGGGUGUUUCAGAAAUUUGAAUCGGGUGGUUGGGAAAUUCGAGGUGCAUGCUAGAAACCCGAAUUAAGGUUGUUUGGAUUUGGCAAUUAAUUGCUGUCACGAGGAAAUAAUUGUGAAAAAGGCGUCAUUAUCAGGAGAGAAUUUUGGACCAUUAAUGAUUUUAUACACCGAAAUUGGGGGGCAUGUGUUGACACUGUAUUCUGACAUGAAUCAGGAAAAAUAAUGAAGCCUGGAUCGACAGAUGGAAAAGUGCUGACUAAUCAAUGAGGGAGUGUUGACGGUCCUUAAUGCUCACAUUUAACCAUCAACUAAUCAUGGAAAAGGAUCCAAAUGCAACCAACACCCAGACUUAGGGUUUUAUCUCACAGAAUUCCACGAGUUUUGGUGUUUGUUUAUUUCUGCAGGGGGUUAUCAGGAAAUACGGAGGAAAGGCCCCCACGUCGAGUUUACAUAGAGAUAUUAACGUGCCGCACAAUUUUCUAUCAUUUAGAAGACUCCAGAAGCCACGGGACCGAACGGGAAGGCAAUCGGGCUCGGAGGCAGGGCGCCCGCCCUACUCUCCUGGGCGCCCGCCCAGCUACAGUGCCCAAUCAGGACACGUCUCGCGGAUUAUGCUCCACUGACCUAAAGGAUCAAGGAAAACCGUGCGAUUAAUGUCGGUUUGAUCCAACGGCCCAGAUUCACUUGAAAGGACUAUAAAACCAGACCCCCUGGCCCCUGGAGAUCAUACCUCUUCUACAGAAUCAAAGCUAGGGUUUCAAUUCUUCAUCCAAGUAGAGAGGAUCCCUCUAGUUCUUCUAGUUCUACCUCUAGUUCAUCUAGAUCUAGUUCUAGUUCAUCUAGUUCUAGUUCUAGUUCCUCUAGUUCUAGUUCUAGUUCUAGUUAGUUCUAGUUGUAAUCUAGAAAAUAGGGAGAGAGAAGAGGAGAGCAGAGGAGGAGCCGGAUCUGUCGGAUCUUCCUCAACAUUGUACUUUUGCAGCAACUGGUUCGUUCUUCAUCGUUCUCCAGGUUCUUCAAUUCAUAAUUCCUGAGUUCUUUAGUUACUUUUAUUUACAUUCAAGUUAUUUAUUGGAUUCCCGCUUGCAUCAAGUGCUCUAAUCUUUGAAACAUUAGAGUAGUAAUUAAUAGAUUAGACGUGAUGUUUAGUCUUGCAAUUACCUGGAAUUGCACCCAAUCUUGCAGAUUGUUGUGGUAGCCUUAGGGUAGUGACAGCCCUAACGGUCGACGUAUUCCACCUCGUUCGGAUCGGUGCUUGUAAGACCGUAGUCAGACCUUCCUAGCCCCCUUCUCAUCUCUUUCUGUGGUUAGUGCUCUGAUGUCCCGAAAUAGAUAAUCUUAAAGUAAUUCUUGAUUCUUAGAUCAACUAGAGAACUCUCAGGCAAUGUUUUCCUAAACGCUAAACGGUAAACAGUCGGUCACCUACCGUUUAGCCAUUAUUCGGGCUAAGCAGUCCAUUAAACAGGCUAAACGGUCAAUUAAACAGACUAAACAGAUGAUUAAACGGAAACGGUGUAUCAUUGUGUAGCGUUUACACGGCGUUUAAACGGUCUAAACGGCCGUUUAGGCGAACAGUGCUCUCAGGAAGCUUCCUCUCUUCCCACCAAAAAUAAUUAUAUAGUUAUCCUUGGGCGAUCUUGGAUCUUACUUAGUACACUCAUGUUCCCUGUGGAAAAUCAAUACUCUGGAAUACUCCUGGGUGAAGGCUACAUCGGUAUCCGUGCGCUUGCGGAUUUUUCUGUUUGCGUUUAAAAUACCCAACAAGCUUUCUGGCGCCGUUGCCGGGGAACGGUAGCUGUGCUAGUUUCGAACCAAGUCGUCCGUGUAUCCUUUUUCUUUUCCUUUUUUACCACACUCACCUUAUCACUUUCACCAUACCACAUGGAUUUCACUCUAAGAAUUAAUGAGCAUGGAAUUUAUUUCAUAGCCACUUCAUUUACUCCAUGCUCAUAUGCAACAUCUUCACAAUCCAUUGGUCUCUCCAACAUCACCACAUUCGAGAUCUCCAACCCCCACUUCCUUUCUAUUUAUAAAAACUUUAAAAGGGCGGUUGUCGAUGCAUAUGUCUAUAAUAAAUUUUGCAGAUCUCGUUGAGUUGAUCUUGAUAUAGGUCAGCGUUGGAGGGGAAACCACUUAGCCGACAUAAAUUGAUGGUUUCCCAAGGACAAGCUUAGUGUCCUAAAACAAGCACUGAUCAGAUUGUAACAUGAGCUUUUAGUUAUUUACAACAUUACCUUGUGUGUUGAGCAUAUAAGGAUAAUUGUAAAAAUAUUCCUUCGGGUAUUCUUGUCACUAACCUUUCCAGGAUUGGAGCAAGAAGAUCGGAUGAAUGACAAGCACAAGGUAUGUCCAACCAAUCAUCAUACAACAUUGAAUUAAAUUCAUCCAAACUUGAAUUUUGCAAAAUUCAAGCUUGGGGGAGUACUUAACAUAAAAACAUCCAUUGCCAUGUUGCUAUGUUGGUUGUCCCUACCUUUGAGACAUGCUCAAUUUGUUAAAUACUAAUCACACUACUCUCCACUUGAGUAGAUCUCUAUAAAAGCCAUCACGCUACCUUUGUUUGGUUAUUGAACUAAAAACUGCUUGUGUAGACAUUGGUAUAUUUUGUUCGACUAACCCCUGCAGGAAAACUUUCAAUAUCGACCAGGGAAGUCCUCAGAUAAACUCACAUUGGAGACAAAGAGAGACACACAUGAAGUUUAACAAUUUACACAAGGAAGGCAUAGCUCACAAGAGAUGAUCCAUGGAGGGUGCCAAAAACACGAUGCACAACCGCUAAGAGAGGAAAGCUUCCACAAGGUGAUACUGUACCAUCACUCUUCAAGUAAGGUAACAUCUUAAAGUACUUGACUAUCACUUCUAUAAGCUUCUCCUUGGUUCUGGCGUUCACAUGAAUAAUAGAGACAAACAUGUAUGAUCUACAACUCUAGAUUAACCAACCCAAUCGAUUCAACAUGUUUAGUCCUUCCACCUUUGUGAUUCCACACUCCUAAUCAUAUUAGCUAAAAUGUUGCACACUCAAUCUUUGGAUGAUAUAAACAAAACAUAUAUAUAGAUAGAUUAUCUUUCCAUAAGCUUGAGCAAUCUAAUCUGACAAAUGUUAAAUACUACACUCAUGAUUUUAUUAUCCAUCAACUUUGUCUUGCUCACUAUGCUUGAGGUUAGAGAAGAACAAAUACACUUUUGGUUCUGUUGGUGUUUUCCACCAACAGGGCCCAUGCACUUGAUCUCUGCCUUGUCUCUAUGAGUAGGUACACUUCGAGCAAAAUAUGAAGGAGUUUUACAACUCCCAGACUCCACCAAAGUGAAGAACCUAGAUCUAUGAGCACAAACAUGCUGGAGAUACUGGACACUCAUGCAUCACUGCCCUGAGAUGCUUGAGGAUGUAACUACUGGAGUAACCCCGUUGUGGAAGUAAUUACUGACCUUCUGCCGGUCAAGAGAGACAAUCUAGGAUGCCCCGUCAUCCCAAUCUCCAUCGGCAUGGUGGACUUUCUAGAAGCACUCUGCGACUUUGGCUCCAGCAUCAACAUUAUACCUAGGGGAAGCCAUUCCUGAACACCUCGGGAGCUGUCAUCUAUGCUAGUGCGGCCAAGAUCAGUUUCUACAUCAAGGGGAAGAAGGAGACGUUUUCCUUCAAGAAACAAGACUACACAAAUCCCAGAGCAAUCCCGACAUGAACCAAGGAAGAGGACCAACAGGAGGAACAAGAACAAGCAAAUGUGUACCAAGUCAGCUAAGAUGGUCACUGCAGCUCAAGGAGGUCAAGAUCGUCAACUCAAGUCACCUUUCUUGAUCAAGAAGGACGACCCUGGUGUUCUAAGCAUCGAGUGCACAAUCAACGGAUAUUCUUUUCAGAAGACACUCUACGACACCGGAUCUAACGUCAACAUAUUGGCCGCAGUCACUUAUCAGCUCCUGCAUGGAACCAUGUCCCUACAACCAACAUACAUUCAGCUCCAGAUGGCAGAUCAGACAUUCUGAAAGAUUGAAGGUUAUUGACAUGGGAGAAGACGAGUACGAUCCACCCAUCAUCCUUGGAAGACCGUUCUUUAGCACCAUUAAAGCAAUCAUAUACAUUGGAACCAGAGAAGUCCACAUGCACUUCCCCUCAGAGAAGGUACGCCAUUGUUUUACUGACCCUAACUAUAUAGUUGAAGACUCUAAGCAGGUCAGGACAAGAAGACGACGACGCAACCGCAACCAGAGGAGGCAAAUCAUCAAGGACAGAUGGGUAGACUAUGAAGGAGAAGUUGUAAGGUCUGAAGACAUACAACUUGAAUAGAACUGUCCUGAGGAGACCGUAGCACCGAGUCAGGUGUGGAAAGAGAAGAUAGUUAUACACGAAGAGGAAGCACCGUCGGAACCACCGACUACACCAUCCAGUGAAUCCCAGAAUGACUCAGGAAACGGAGAGUCCAGUUCGGAGGACUUAAAAACACCGAACGCCUUGCCAAGAGGUAAACUUGGUAGCUAUCUUUUUCCUUUCAAUUAUUUAAAACAGUUUGCUUAGUUAAUCAGGUUCAUAUCAUCUUAAAAAGAAAAUAAAAAUGUUAAAAAUAGUAAGCCCCAUGUGAGUAUGCUCAUGGCAUAAAACCCAUAAGUACAUUCACUGUGGUGGCAUAAAAAUAAAAUAAAUAUAUUCCUGUCCUAUAAAAAUGAAAAUAUAAAAAUAAUUUUAUGAUCCUGCUAAAGAGAGUAACAUUUAUUGAGGAGGCUCAACAUGAUAAAGGCUAGGUAUUUACGCUAACCCUUAACCAGUUCCACAAAGCUUUGUUGUCUAUUUGAACUCCACAGAAUUCAAGGAUCAAAGAAGACUAGCAGACGGAGAACAUCCUAAUCGCUGACAGAGUGCUGCCGACAUUCAAAUACACCUCCGCCAGCUGCUAGCUACAUCAGAAGAAAUUACGUCAAAAUCCAGCUUGGGGGAGAGCACCCCCAUUUAUCCAGCUAAGUGUUCUACUCAUGUUUAUAUUUUACUCAAAUAAUAAAAAGAUGCAUGAUCAUAAAAACCCAAAUAAAGAUUUUUUGCUUAUAUAUAUAUCUUUGCUUAGUUUGCUAAAUAAAUAAAUAAAGUUUGCUAUGAACCCUCGUGAUAAGCUCUCAUAUGGAAAUGAUAAAUAGUUGCUCUACCAUGGCUAGUUCUCGAAAUUGAAAUCUCUCUCAAGUUUAGGCAUGACUGGUAUUAAUUAAUAUUUGCUCUAAACCUGAUGUUGUGGGG
rnacentral:lncRNA from 1 species